rnacentral:lncRNA from 1 species
AUAUUUCCCAGUGCAUAAAACCAAUGCUAUUCGCAGGGAAAUCUCGGAGUUUACCCAAAGAGAGGACGAGCAGUUUUUAGAAUUUAUUCUCGCCAUUUCAAAACCAAUUUUAGAAUUUAUUCUCGCCAUUUUAAUUUAAGUUGUAGCAUAUUUCAAAUCAUUUCCACCAUAAUUCCAACCACCCAUUUACAAAAUUAAUUCUAUAUAUAAUUAAAAUCCACCUCCUCGUGGGAUCGACACUCGUCACCAUUGAUCUACACUACAAUAGAUUCGUGCGCUUGCGAGUACAUUAAAAUUUGCACAACACCCAGUAACAGUAAUCAAGUAAAAAGUCAAAACCAGAAUCAAACGUAGAAUUUUGAAAUCCAUACGAACUCUAAUGUAUUAGAGUGAAAGAAUAAGGACGAUCGAUAAACUAGACUCAAACAAAAACAUGCCUAGUUAAAAAAUGAAGAUAAAUAAAUAAAAAUGGUAUAAAACUGUGAAAAAAAUUAAUGAAAUGAAGAGAAAAUCACAGGAAUCCUAUGAAGAGGAAGGUAAACAAAACCUUUGGGAGCCAAGAAGAUGCCUUUUUUGUUGACGUUUGUGCCUAUACAUGCAUUUUUUUUUUUUUUGUAAUUUUGAAGAAAGUAUUGGUUAAUAUUGUCAGAACGAAAUAUUAAAAAUAGAUGCUGGCAAUUUCAACAAGGACAAUCUUCGACUCAAAUGUACCCCUAUGAUAAAGAAAAAGCCAGCUUGGCUAAAUUUUGAGCACCACAUUACAAGAUCUAGGUGUAUGUUUAACUAUGCAAAAUGAAACAUCUAUUAAUUGUAAGUCCCUUGACCUCUGGAACCAGCCAACCGAUCUCUUUCCUACUAGACAACCUUCCAUCGAUCAGACUAAUAAUAUUUACUAAAUCAUGUUCUACAGUUAAUGAAGUUGGACCCAAGGCAAGUGUUAGCUUAAUGUCAUAGGCCGCUCAAAUUUCCUGUAAUUGGAGGAUAAUUAUGUGCACAUGAGUUCGCUUAACAAAAGUCCGCCUAGGCGUGGAGUGCACUUAAAAGUGGGAUGCGCUUAGCAAAUCAUCCAAGCCCAACCCGAGAUCUAGAGCUCUCUGCAAAUUAUAAAUAUGCUAAAAGUUUUUAUGUUUCUCCACGUAGGUCCCUAGGAUAUUUAUGGAAGUUGCUAGGAAGUUUCCUCCCCUAGAACUCUAAUACCUAUAAAUAGGGGUGGGCCGCUUCAUUUGCCCACCAACCACACCGCACACACAAACACUCCAGCACACACACAAGCUCUCUAGCUUUUGUAAAAAGCUCUCUUGUAUAUUCUCUUUUUGUGAGUAAUAAAAUCAUAUUAAGCUAUAUUGCUCUACUUCUCUCUAGCAUUUUCCGCAAGUGUUCUUGCUUCGCUACUUUGAGGAGUGAUCUAGGCUUGCUUAGCAACUUGUUUGCUACAAGGACAUCUUGGUCACAAAACAUGGACAUGCAAGGAAAAAAAUAUAUUGAUACGUUCUAAAAAUAAUAUGCAUUCUUCUCCAGUGAACCAAAAAAUUUAGGCUAAUGGUAGCAAGUGAAGGAAUUGUGAUUUCACGUGCAUUUUGUUGACAUGAAGGUAAAGAACUUUUUAUAGUUUAUAUUGUUCAAUAUAAUAUUUGAAUUGCAAAAUAGGGGUACAAAAUAGAUACACGAAGAGAUAAAACUAAUCUGAUUAUGAUAAAUAUUGAAUUAUAAGAUUUAGGUUCCCAGCUACAAAGNNNNNNNNNNNNNNNNNNNNNNNNNNNNNNNNNNNNNNNNNNNNNNNNNNNNNNNNNNNNNNNNNNNNNNNNNNNNNNNNNNNNNNNNNNNNNNNNNNNNCACAAAGUCACGAAUUGAUAUCAUCCACGAUGCAAGUUCAAACAACUGCAUAAUAAGUUGCCCCAAGCUAAACUAUUAAUCUAAUAACUACUCCAGUCGAUGUGGGAUAAUUUUCCUAUCACCAUAUAUCACAUGCAAGCCGAAUUUGUUGCUUGGUUCUUACAUGUGGUAAGGUAAUAUGAACCCACUUGUGCAUAAAUUUGGCUCCAAUAUUAUAUAGAAGCUUAUGACCCAAAAUUAUACUUAAAGGUUAUUUCAAGAUUUGAAGGUUGCCUCAAGCUAAUAUUAUUAUUAGCCUGGUAACCCUUUUUUUUUUUGUUGAUAUGUGAUAUUUUCCCUAUAACUUUUUAUUAAUCUUUAUGCUUAUGUUUUGUCAUUUAUCCCAAAAUAUAACAUUAACAAAAGUUCCAAAAUUUCCUUCAAGAGAUAUAUUUGAGACAAGUAAUUUGUGCAAUAACUUUGUGAAUUGAUGAGCAAAUUCAGAGAAAAGAAUAUAUGUGCCAAACGUAACGUUUAUUAUUGUGUUUAUUUGUAGAGCUAUUUAAAGCCUAAAAAAAAAGCACCGGUCCGCUAUUAUUUCAAAUAAGUUCAAGCCCUAUGUCAUUAUUGCUACAAAAAUGUAUUAGAAUGGUUAAAAACUAUCUUUAUUUAACUUGUAAACUUAGGAAAUUAUCAACUGUCCACCCUUAAAUUGCACUGUUAUAAAAAAUAUUACAACAUUUUCAGGUUGUAUCAUUCAUCUACCAUAAAUUUACAAUCUGCAUCAUUUAUCCACCAAAUCAUUAAUUUUGUUAAAAAGUGAUAGAUGUCUCAGGGGUAAUUUAGACAUUUAACACACAAAAAAAACUAAAAGAGAAAUUAUCUAAGCUUACCAUGUUAUCAAAAUUGCUACAAAAUUUUAAAUUUGUUCAAUUUUCCAAUCUAAGUUUAUGACCUCCAAGAUGUCAAUUGCAGUUUGUAAUUAAUGAGUUCAUAAGGAUAAUUUAGUCACUCAAUAUGCAAAAUAAAAAAUAAAAUAAUGGCUUAAAACAUUAAAACAAAAAAACUACUUUUUAUAAUUGAUAUUCAAUAAUACACAUAAACUCUAUUUUUUCUUAAUUAAAAAUAUUCUAAUUUAUUUUCUCAAUUUAUCAUCAUAAAUUUAUAUUAAUAAACUAAAUCCACAAAUUACCCUAAACCCUAAUUCAUAAAUGCCCAAUCAAUCUAAUAGUUUAAUUCGAUUUCAUAAUUAAAAAAGCUAAAUUUAUUAUAUUAGUUAUGGUGCAAAGUCAAAAAUGCCCUUAAAUUCAAGGGUAAAAUAACAUUUUAUUUAAAUUCUAUAAAUUAUCCUAACAAUGUUAACAUUUUGGUGGACGGUUAAUAUAAGUUACAAACUUAAAAUAGAAAAUCAAAUAAAUUCAAAUUUUCAAACUAUUUAGGGCAAAUUUAGGACAUAUGGUUAAUAAUUUUCCCAUAUCUUUUUACAUUGGUUGGUAUAAGUUACAAACUUAAAAUAGAAAAUCAAAUAAAUUUAUAUUUUCAAACUAUUUAGGGCAAACUUAGGGUAUAUGGUUAAUAAUUUUCCUUUGUCUUUUUACGUUAAAUUGAGUUUCAAAGGUAAAAUGGUUAAUUUAUUAUAAUUCUGUUAAUUUUUUAGUGGAAGCAAACGAUAUAAUGGAUGAAUGAUAUAAGUUGUAAAAUUAAGGUGCAUGAAUGAUACAACUUUAAAGUAUUGUAGUAAUUUUAAUAAUAGAACAAUUUAAGAGUGGAUUGGCAAUAAUUUAAACUUUGAUGAAGCAACUAAAAAAAAAUUUUAACAAAAGAAAAAUAAUUGAAAUGCUUUAAGAAAAAUAAAGGAAAUUAAAUAUCUUUAUAAAAACAUAAUUGAGUAAAAUCAUUUUACAAAAUGCUCUUUCAAAUGCACAUUCCACAAGCCAGGGAGAACGGGUGACUAACAAAAAUCUCACUUUUUAUGAGUUUAUAAAAUCUCAUUUUUCGCAGAAUAAAAAAAUAACCAAUACUAAUCACAUAAAAAAUAAAAAUUAUUCACGACAUUACGCACUUUCUUCGCUGUCUAGAAAGGUAGAACAUUUUGAAGUUUCUCAAUACAAAAGGCGUGCUACUACUAAAUUGGCCCAAUUAAUGCCCAUCGAAAAGGCCAUCAAUUUAGCCAUCAAUUUUGUCAAAAUUUCAACAAUUGAAGAAACAUUGAUCACAAACGGAACAGGUGAAUUUUGAAGUUGAAUAAAUCUUGAGAUACAUACAACAAAGCCUUGAAACUUUAUUCUUCACAAUUUGAGCACGCACUAAAUAUUAAACAAGUAUAGAACAAAGCUUAUUUUUAGCUUCUUGUGCGAACAGUACACGCUGAAAUGUGUUUUUUUUUUUUUGGAUUUUUGGAAUUUUUUAAAAUCAUUUAUGUUCGCUGCCAUCUUUUUCUUCGCUGGCGUCUUCAUUGGCAUCUCUCUCUUGGCUAGCAUCUGCCACGUCUGUAGUUUGCUGUGCCUAUAUAUCCAACCAAUUAAUUGGGCAUUAAAUACGAAUGAUCAAUAAAAUAAUAAAAAAAAACAAACAGAGAAAAUUAUAACAUUAAAACAGAAAUUUUGAUUUAGGAUAGAUCAAUUAGCUAUCACAAACGAAAACAUAAACCAACUAUGUACAGAGUCAAUUAACUAAAGUUCUCAAGAGUUGACCUGUGCUCCAGAAUUCUUGGAAUCAUCUAUCUCCUUCUGAAUUUCCACGAAGCUUGGGACAAUUAUAAACAACUCCGUCGAAUGCAGAUGGAAAUGGGAUCCGAUAACCCGCAGGCCAAAAGUUGGUGAGGUUUGGUAAAUCUAACAGUCUAAACCCCUGAAGUGCAUUCAUAACAAUUUCAUUGUACUCCGUGACGUGUGCUCCAUCUUUAUGCCAGAAUACUUCUUCUAAUUCAUCAUUAGCUGCUAUAGAUAUGUGCUUCAGUUUUUGAAGACUUGGAGCUACGCUGAUAUGAAAUAGAUGCUUUAGUUUGGGGCAACCACAGACAGUGAUGCUUGUGAGUUUUGGGAAACAUAGGGGUUGGAGAUGAUCCUCAUCCUCAUCCUCAUCAAUGAUUUGCUCUAAUUCCCGACAAUUAUAAAUUUCCAACUCCUUCAAUUGCAACAGAUUUCGAGCAAGUGUUGAUGAGAGGAGACGUCUCAGCGUAGUGCACCCGUCCACUCUUAAAUUGAUAAGACUUUGCAGGCUAAAAUUAUGAGUGGGACCUUCAUGAUAUAAUACUCGCAGUUCUCGAAGAUAUUCUAAGUUCAACUUCUUCAAACAUGGGAAAAGUUUGUUUUCUUGUCCAUCAGCGAUAAUAGCUUCCAACUGAAAUACCACUUGUACUCCAAUUGUGAUAAUAUUCAAUUCUUCCAAAUUUUUUAAACCAUGCUUCAACAGUGCUGGAAUCGUGUCACUCAAAUGGGAACAACUUCCCACUUCUAGAAUUCGUAAGUUCUGAGACAAAUAAAUAAAUAACUUGAUGCAAUUAAAAUCUAUUAGCAGCUAGGAUUAUCACAUGAUAAGUGAUGAACACCGCAAAAAACAAAAACAGAAAACAAAAUCCAUACAAAAAUAUCAUAAUACAUAUGUAAACUAAUAAAAUAAUUAAAAAGUAAUGGAUUUAAAAAAAUGAAAUUAGUUAAAAGAGAUCAUGUGAAGUGAUAUAAAUAUGACAUUAGAUUGUUUUAGAAAAAUUAUUAUUCUAUUAAUUUAUAUGGCUUGAUCAACUAUUUAAUUAAAUUUGAGUAAUAUUACAUACACUUCAGAAGUGUUUGCAUCAAUUCUUUCUAAACCAAAAUGAGAUAUGACUUUCAUUUGAAAAAUGAUUUUAGGCCCUAAAAUAAAGAAAUUUUCCUAAGAUAUUUGAGCAUUAUGAUUAUCAUUUUCCUAAGAUAUUGCUAAACUAUCAUUUUGAGUAAAAUUGAAUGAAAAGAAAAAACAUGAACCCAAACAAACAUACCUCUUUGAGAUACUGCAAAUUGGCUUCAAGUUCAUUACUGUUGAUGGUCAAGUUGGGACAGCAAUCAAGCUUUAACUCUUCCAAUGCUGUCCAAAUUGAACAAUAAUUCUCUGAACAGAACUUGGUGAGUUCUGGGAGACCUUCAAGUUUUAAUUUUCUCAACAAAGGGAGGGCGAGCAUCGUAUUUCCAUCUCCGACACUUAUUUCCCCUUCAUUAUGAUCAAACUUUGCUUCGACAAUAUAUUCCAGUCUCUCGCAUUCACUUACAUAGAGACUUUUAAGCUGCUCCAAACUUCUAGCUUGUGACAACGUGAAGAUAUAUGUCAACUUCUUGCACCUAUGCACAUUCAAUUUUGUAAGAGUUUGGAGACUGAUCACAUGUUGGGCGGGCGCCUUCCAUAUCCACUUCAGUUCUGGUAAGUCCCACAUAGAUAACUCUGCUAAUCUUGAGAGACUCUUUCCAUGCGGGGACUUAGAGGCUUCCAUUAUGCAUUCUAAAUCUUCGCAAUCGCCGACAUUAAGACAAGUCAACUCAUUUAAGCCCCUUUCAUCUAUGCUUGGCACAAUAUUGUAACAACCUAUAAUCCCACUUAAAUAAAGAAUUUUCAGUUCCUGAUACAAUGCUGAAAAAAUACCGAGCGAGGUCGCCGCUUCAUGAGGGCAAUUCUCAAUGAUUAAUUUCCUUGUCUCAUCACCAUCUUCCAUUUCAACAUCAACUCCUUCACCUUUACAGAUGACGUACCUUUGCAAUUUCGGGAAUGUAAAGUCUUUUGGAAGACAUACAACAGAUCCGUCGGCUUGGGAGUUCAACUCAGCAUUACUUUCUUCUGAACUCAUCCCUUCAACCUCCCAAUCUUUUAUGCAACCAUAAAAUUCUUCUAAUUGAGGAAAUUUUUUUAUCGUAAUAGGAGAAACAGAACUGGUAUCAAUAUAUAGAAGUUUCAAUCUACUACGUUUAUCCCCCAAUUCUUCUGGAAUUUUAAUGGGAGACUUCUUGAGAAAAAUAAUUUGAAGCCUCUUCAACUUUCCAAGCAAAGACGCAUCACUCACCUCACAUCGAAUCAACUGCAGAACCUGGAGGUCGGUGAGGAUCUGAAGCGAUUUAAGUGAAAGAACUCCACCUAUUAUAGUGACAACUUUCAAUGCUGGCAUCCCUUCGAAAAAAUGUUCUGGAACAUGCAAUCGGUGGUCGUAUUCAGGAUUCUCCAAUCGCAAAAUAUGAAGGUUAGGGCAUACCAAACCACUAGGAAGCUCUUCUCUUUUAUUUCCCACCAAAGAGAUUCCUCUGUAUUGUUCCAGGCCUUCUUUCAUUGCCCGUUCUGCCAAUCCAAUGCCAACUUUACUAAAAAAUUUCUUCUCCUCUAGAACUAUUGAGCCUAUCCAUAUGGCUACAUCACGAACUAUGUCAUGCAUUUUCACAUAUCUGUCAUUACCAGUGUCUAACAGCAGUGACGCAGCUUUGAGCGCGUUAAUCGUUCCAUGCAGUCGGCUUCUGGCGUUUUCUAUUGACGGAUCACAUUGAUACCAAAUAACCCCCACUGCGUAUCCAACCAAAUCCUCCAAAUAAAUCUCAUAAUCUUCUGGAAACAGAGAACACAACAAGAAGCAUAACUUGGACUCCUCACUAUUUAAAUUGUCGUAACUGAAUUUGAGACAACCGUAAACGUCUUGGUCAUCCUUGUCAAUACCUUCUAUUGCAUAGAGUUUUGCUUCCCUUAGGUUAUAUAGUGCUAGAUUCCAAUCAUCAAAUCCUUUUUCCCUUAGUGCACUUCCAACAGCUUCAAUAGCUAAAGGCAGCCCCUUACAUUCGUCAGCAACUUGUUUUGAAACACCAUCCAAGGAGGAGUCGUUUACAUUAAUACGGGCAUUCAUUUUUAGGAGAGUCAAUCCUUCUUCUGGUGUUAGUGUACCAAGUUCAAUCUGUGGGUAACAACCGAAAAAACCACAAAUUGACUUUUUGCGAGUGGUUAGAAGGAUUUUGCAACAACUGUCUCUAUCACCAAUGGGAAUACCUAAUUUUUUCUCCAAGUCGAAUUGUUUCCAAACAUCAUCAAGGAUUAUGAGGAUUUUGCUGCCUUUACUCUCAGAAAACAUCAACCGCAAUCGAUCUGCUCUCUCUUUUUCAUCUGUCUCAUAUAACGCCCAGCCUAACGACUUUGCCAGCUCACCUUGAACCUUUAUUAUAUCUGGAUCCUGAGACAUAGUGGCUAUCCCCACCUUAUCGAAAUCCUUUUGUUGCCGAAGUUGAUUGCCCACAAAUUUUGCCAGGGUUGUCUUUCCUACACCACCGAGACCAUGCAAUCCCACCAUCUUUGUGCUGUCUUUUUUCAGUGCUUCAGUGAUCUGAUUACAAGCCGAUUCUGUAGUCUCGAAAGUAGAAGUAAAAUGACUUGGCAAACUUAAUUUUCUCUCUAAUGGUAGAGGUUUAGGAAAGGCAACUGUGGUGAAUUCGCUGCAGUCUUGUAGCAGAUCAGACAACUUGCUAGUCUUCUGUGAUGCUUUUCUACCCAGCCAAUAUCGGCAACACCAAUUAGGACACAAUCCAUGAAGACUACUAUCCUUUUCAUCUAUCUCUGCUUUCAACUUCCGAACAUCGUCCAAUUCUGUGUCUACAUUCUUCAGCCACUCCGUUACAUUUUCAUCGACUACUAUGUCGGGGCAUUUUCGUCGUUCAUCGUCUAUUCUUGUUUUGAUGCCAUCUCGUGCCUUCUCCAACUUAGUUUCUUUAUCCUCAAGUUCUUUAACAAUGCUGUUGAAACAGAACAUAUAGCGAGCUUGGUCAAUGGCUGCAUUCACCAAUAAUUCUUCAACCUUUGAUUUUAAAGCUUCCAUGCUAUUUAUCUGCAAAUAACGAAGUUGAUCUCAGCACGCUAUUAGCGAAACAACAAGGUUUGAUCACCAGACAAAAUGAGAACGUUUAAUUACCUCUUUCUGUACUGUGAAUGCACGUCUAUUAACACCAGCUUUGACCAAUAAGAGCAAAAUGCAGAGGUGGGGCCUUAAGAGUUUCGGUGGCCUUUAGCUGCAAAACGGCAGAUGACAAAUAAGGUGAACGUUCCUAGCAAACGUGAUUUACGGUGAAUUAUAUUCAAAUUAGAUUAUUUUAAAAGUUGGUAAAUUAUUUAUCACUCUAUCUUAAUGAUACCUUAUUUGGGAUGGUAAAGAUUGGGGGUAAAUUUCCUUUUAUUCUCACAUGUUUUUAUAGUAUUUAUAUUUUUAUAAAUUACCUAAAACAUCCACGUCACUACUUUUAUAGCUAUUGAGCAUAUCAUUUCAAAUAUAAAAUACUAUUUCUGUCUAAUAUAAAUUAAAAAUCAAACAAAUCUAUCAUGCAAUAAAUGAAAAGUAAAGAAUAUUAAUUAGGUUUUAAUGGAAACAAAUAUAAAACAUAGAGGUUUUGAGUAACUUCUGUGAUUUUUUUUAAUGUUCAAUUUAGAAUUGAAUAAUUUGCAUAAUGAAAUUUUGAGGUUUCUAUAAUUUAUAUGAAGAUAAACUGCAAAAUAAGUUUAUAUGCCGAAAUUAAAAUAGUUAUAUAUUAGCAAUCAUAUAAUAAUAAAAAAUUUUAAUAAAAUUUAUUUAAAAAUUGGCCAAUUGUGUUUCAUGAGUAAAACAGAGAGCAUAAUGGACUUAUGUUGGGUCUUGGGAUUGAAAGACUAAGGGUAAGGGGCCGGGAGGUAGGACGGUAGGAAAAUUAUUAUUAUUUUUUUUUUAUAAAGUAUGGUCAACAUUAGUGACUCGGAGGUGAUUGCCGUUAAUCAAUUACCUUUAACUUAAGAAUUAAUACAAAUAAAUGGCAAAAAUAAUUUAAUGAAAAUUAAUUUAAUAAAAAAUUGCACUAAAAACUUGGAACUCAAAUUCUCGAUCAUUUUAUCCGUACGUUUUAAUCCGACGCUCAGAAUUGGCAUAAAACAAACUAAUAUAGCCAUUGGAAGUAAAACAAACAUCAAAUUUAGAGCCUAUAUCUCGUACCUUCUUCCUUAUAGAUCCUCAAUUGCUGCUGAAAGCUCCAAUUAAGAGAGUCGCACAAGUUCGCAGAAAAUUAAAAGCUGCAUAUGGCAAUAUAAAUAAACAUGAGAUCAAAAAAUCAUAGGAUAUAUCUAGCCAAUUAACAUCAUAUAUAACUCCUUGUUCUCAGUCAAAUCUUUCAUUCUUAGGAGGAUAAAAAAAAGAUUGAAAUAAUAACAGUAAGUGAUAUAGGAAGCAAAAGUAACAUACCAAAACGAGAGCAGCUAGCUCACAGAUCUGGUGACUUUCAAGAGCAUGAAAAAUGAUUAAACUUUGGUAGAAAGGUUUGAGCCGUGUUUCACAAGUUGCUAUUGACUUCGUGGCUUCGCUUUUGUUUAUUAUUAUUAUUAUUUUUUCAAAUUCUAUAUCAGUGAGAAUUGAAAUGUGGAAAGUGAAAUGAUACACAUGCCUUAUCAUCUAUCAUGAGGGGUGAUUUGGUAAAACCGAUUUAAAAUAAAAAAGUUUAAAAAGAUACUUUGUGUCUGACUGCUUGUAUUUGGGGUAUUUUUCGGGUUGUUGAGAGUGAGUUUAAUUAAAUAUAAGAUUUUCAUUUUUCUUAUUCUAUUUUUCUCUUUAGAAUGAAUUUAAAUCGCAUUCUUAUUAAAUUCAUUUUUUUAAAUGAAAGUAGAUUUCUCUCCACACAUUUGAGAUAUAUUUUAAAACAAAUUAUUGAAUCUGGUCCCGCUGGCUUACAGCUUAUGUAAAGUUACAUUCAUAACAAAUUGAUACUUGUCUUUAUUAUAAAUUGUUCUUUUAUUCAAAUAUGCGUUCAUUUCUUCAAUCAAGUCCUCAUAUUCGUUCAAUUUAUGAUAAGAUCCUUGUAUGGGAGCAUAUCUGCAUAUGUAAUAAUUAUUCUUCUAUUUCAGAUAGUUUUUGUGAAAAAAAUACUUUUAUCAAUUAUUUAUGUUUACUAAUUCUUAUGUCUUUGUUUAUUACUUUUCAUAGCUCUAUACAAAUGUUUGCUAUAAAAUUUGUGCUAUUUCGUUAUAAUAUAAUUUAUAUUGUAAACCUCUGUUCAUCUGUAAAUAAAAUGACAAUUUUUUUGUUUACUCCUAAAAAAUAUAAAAAUAUUAAUUUACUCUCAUAUUUAUUUAGAAGACAAUGGCAAAUAAGAUCGCAUUGAUAAAUUUUUUUAUUUACUUAUUAAUUAAUUAGAGUAAAUUAAUAUUUUCACAAUGAAAGAUACAUUGAAGAUUGUCAUUCUUAGUAGAGGGUAAAUUAAAAUUUACCUAAUUAAUUUAAAAUAUCAUUAAAAUUUUACAUUCUAAUCUGAAUUAGAUUUGCGCGGGGGGGAGGGGGGGGGGGCAACGUCCUUAUUCGGAUUAGACUCAGCUGGAAGAGGCAUAUCCUUAGCUGGAUCAAUUUGUUCAAGUUUGGAUGCAUCCAUCGGUUUCAAAUUAGUCUCUUGUAAGUAUCAUCGGAUUUCUUGACUAAAAUUUAGCUUAUCAAUCACAUCUAAAACUUAUUGAAUGAUACAUUUCAUUUCUAUAAAAUUGAGUUACUAUUACCACCUCACAUCUUAUAAAUUCUAGAAAAUAAUCAAGGCUUGACAUACUUUUAUUUAUGCAAAAGCAUAAGAAAAUAAUUCAAAGUACUAAUUAGUGUACUAUUCCUCAAAAUUCUAGAAUAGAUUUGCUAGUUCUCUUUAGCCAUAGAUUGGUCCAUGAUUGGCACCGCAAUAGCUCAGAAUCACCUCAACGAUUGUUCUACACGGCCCAACAUGACACGCUGUAAACUAGUCUAACAUGAACUUUCUGAGUGGCUUUCUAGCAAUAGUCUUAGAGAAAGUGUUUAGUAGUAUGAAGUCUUCUUUUUUUAACACAAAUAUUGACAUGAUAUUCUUAAUAUAUUUCUAAAAUCAAAAUAAGAUGCAUAGAGGACGACGAUAAUUUUAUUUCAUAAUUGAUUUUUUUGCAAAGAAAGUUUGAACAUGAGAGUGAUGAGAGAUGAGAAUAUUGAUGAUGGUGUGUACUUUGGAUGGAAAAAUAGAUUGGAAAUAUAUAUAGACAUAUUAAAAGAAAAAAAUUUGGUCUAUUUCUUAAGAGAAACAAAAAAUUAUAAACGCGGGUGUUAAAAUGUAUUCAGAAUUUAUAAAUUUUUAUAAAUAUGAUAAUCAUCAGACCCUUAUAAAAGUAUAACAAAAAAGUUUAAAUUUUUUUAAUAAAUGUAGAAGAGAUGAACGAAGAAAUCAUCCACCAGUUCAGAAUUAACAAUCAAAGAUAUGAGGACUUGAUUGAAGAAAUGGUGAAAAAUAAAAGGACACUGGGUUGCUGUCAAUUUCUACCGUGUAGGUUCAUAGCCGGGGAAGUAAUUGGGCACAAAUAUCUCGGAUGAGAAAUAACCAUUUUAUCCCGCAACCAUAUGUUUAUGGCCUCUAAAAAUUUUCACCUCUUUCACUUCUGGAACCCGUGCUUUCUGGCACAUGCACAAUACUUGGUUGCUACUUAUAGAGCGUUUUUAGAAUUGCAACGACAUGGUGCUCUUUGAUAAUUCAAAAAUCCAAUAUAAUUUAUAGAGAAUUACAGAAUUGUUUGUGGUACGUGAUAAUUUGCUGAUGCAAUGAGGCGCCGAAAUUCUUAUACAUGUGAUUUAAGUUAUAUAUGUAUAGUUAAGUACUUAGCAAGCACUAGUUGGGGGUAUUUGUGUCCAUGGAAAUCUACAGCUGGUUGUUGACAUUACACUGCGGGUGUGUAAUUAUUACAUAUGCAGAUAUUCUCCCAUGCGAGGAUCUUAUCAUAAAUUUAAAGGAUACGAGGACUUGAUUGAAGAAAUGAACGAAUAUUUGAAUAAAAAAAUUUUUUAGAAUAAAGACAAGUAUUAAUUUACUAUGAAUGUAACUUACAUAAGCUGUAAGUUAGCGGGACACUAUUGAAUCACAAGCAAAAAACAAUCUGUCUUCUUCUUCAUUCCGUAAUUUGGCUGUCAAAAUACAAUCUAUAAAGAUUACGAUACCUCGAUUCAAAAAAUGUUGUUUCUGAUGAAAUAAAUGAAAAUUGAACGUACAAUCUGCCACGAACACUAUUCAAUUAACCGUUUAUUUCCCCUUAAAUUUUUAAUUUCAAUGAAACAUAGAUCUAAUGGGAACUACAUAUAUAUAAAAAUACUAUAGAUUGAAGAAGUUGAAUUUUUCUUGUGUGUUAAGUAUUUUUGGUUAAUACGAAAGGAUUCUAGCAAGUUAAUACAAAAGUAUCAUAAAUUCAAUGUAGUACAAGAGAUUUUUUUUUUCCUUUGAUGUUAGGAGUUUUGGAGAUAAAAAAAAAUAGGUGAAAGAAGAAGAUGAGAGAAGAAAAAAUAUUAAGAAUAGUUUUGGCAUUUUGAUGCGUUUUAUAGAGUAAAAUUUAUAUUUUAUGGUAUAAAAAGGUACACCCAGAAUUUAAUGAUAAAAUUUUAGGAAAAAAUUGCACUCGUCAAAAAAAAAAAAGGGCUCAGCUUAGCCCAAUUUUUUUUUAUUAAUCUUCUAGUCGCUAAUGUAAUCUCUUUUUUAUGAGAUUCUUUGGCGUUUUAAUUUAGUCCAUUGUUAGCAAUCCUAAUAGUUUUUAUGUGAAAUAUGUUUCAAGCUUGAAUAAAAUCUGCGGGACAACUGGUAAGUAAUAAAGCUCAUCAUUUUUUUUUUAUUUUGAAAAUAAAAGGGAAUCACUUACACUUAGCAUGAUAUUAUUUUUGAUAAGUCAUUUUUUUGGUAGAUUAUUUUUUCUGACACGCUCUUAGAUUUAGUGAAAAUAAAUUGUAUACUUUUAAUGAAGAAAAGUAAAGAUCAACAAAAUAUUUUAUUGUUUUCGACAACUUUCGCGUUGUCAAGUGCGCCUGAUACCCUUUUUGUUUUUUUGAACAUGGGCCCACGUGCCAUUGUUUCCAUUUCAAGUUCAUAAUUUAACAGUAGAAAUGGGUUCCAAAGAUAAUUUAUUUUAUAAUUUUUUAAAAAAUUACCAAAAUAUAAUAAAUAAGGUAAUAAUAAUUAAUAAAAAAGUAGAUUUUAAGAUGGAAAAAUCUUUUUGUGUACUUAAUAAAAAGAUGAUAAGAAUGGGAUGCUUUUAGUUAAUUGGUUUACAUUCUCAUGGUUAUUUAUACUGAAAAAUUACAUCAAAAUUUAAUUAAUAAAUCAGUGAACUGCAGACUUAUUAAAUUUAAGUUAUUUUAAUAAGUCAUAAAUAUACUAAACUAAAAUAGUAAUAAACCCAUUGUUAUACAAUACUCUCCAUUGAGUGUUCACCAUUUUAAGAUAAUCAUAAAAUGACACCGGAAGUGCUAUUAUAGCUGUCUCAUGGAAAGCCUUCACCUAGGGGUGGGCAAAUCGGAUUUCAGUUCGGGUUGUUCGGGUUUCGGUUCGGGUUGGAGAAUUGAACCCAAUCGGGUUCAAAACGCCAACCCGAACCGAACCGAACCGAAUUUAAUUCGGUUCGGUUCGGUUUGGGUUGACAAUUCGGAUCGGAUUGGGUUGAUAAUUCGGGUUACAAUUUCGGUUCGGGUUAAUUCGAGUUAGUUCGGGUUAGUUUGGAUUGAAACAAUUUAAUCUAAAAAUUCUAAGUUUCUAACCACUUAAAAUCUAAAAAUUUAAAUUCCAAAUAUUCUUAACAACAAAUAUCCAGUACAAUCAAACUACAAAAAUUAUAAAUCUAAAAAUUAAAAUGGCAAAUGGCAACCAUGAUUAAACAUCUCCAUUCUCCACAUGACAAAUAAGGCUAAUAAUCCAUCUCUAAGACUAACACCAUCAAUACUCAACACAACAUCUCCAAAUUAGCAAUAAUUAACCACCACCAUAGAAAAAUAUCGAGCAACAACGGAUAGAAAAUGAAGCAAAUCAGUCCAUGCUGCAAAAAAAUUAAAAAACUUAAUUAAAAUUUAGUUGAAUAACUCAAUAUGCCUUAACAAUUCUCAAUAUUACUAGUAGCAUAUUUGUAUUAUGACUAUGCCUUAAUUGUAAAUGAUUAUUAAGUUUGAUCUAAAUCGAUAACAAACUUACUGUUGCAGCAAAAAUCUUCAUAUUAGAACACUUGGAUGUUCUGCUUAUGUCGAUUUACGAAGCUCUACAUAAAAUAAAAAGAUUUGAAGUAAAUAACUCUUUAACUUAAAGUAAACAAAUCUAAAAAAUAAAUAAAUAAUCAUUAAUAUUUAUACCUUCUGUAAGAGCAUCCAUGAACUCAUUUUCCUCCACCAACACCUGAAGGUUUGUCGUUGAAUCAAUAAAAAGUGAAGUUCGCAACCAAUUUUGUGUCAGUAUCAAUGCUUCCACCAUAUCAGGAGUCAUAGAACUCCUAUUAUUCAUCUAAAAUACGACCUCCUGUGCUAAAGGCGGACUCAUGAAUUCUUGAGCCACCACUAUCAGACAUCUGAAUCAUAAAUCCAUAACAUGAUCGCAUUAGGUUCUCAUUACAAAACCUCAAAAUUUCAUAAUGUUAUAACUUAUAAUAUCCUAAAUUGAACAAAUAUCACAAUUUAAUUAAUUGAACAACACUUAAGUUAAAUACAAACAAUAAUAAUAACUACAUAUCAACAAUUCAGCAUAUUACCAUUUUCUAAAUUAAAAAAACAGCAAAAAUUAAUCAAUUAAUUAACAAUCUCCAAUUUAAUUAAUAACUUCAAUUUAAUUAAUAACCAUCUCCACCCUCCAAUUGUUCAAUUAUCAAUAAACUCACUCCAAUUUAAUUAAUAACAAUCUCCAUUUAUUCAAUUAUCAAUCAACAACAACAAACCCACUUCAAAUAAUUGAAUAAUUAUCAAUCAAUUAAUUAAAAAUUUACAAUUUAAUUAAUAUCAAUAGGCUAUUAAAAACUUAAAAUUUGAAUCGGGUUGUUGCCAUCAGCUGCGUGCAAGUCAGCAAGUUAUAGCGUCGCCGUCGGCAAGGUAAGACAAACCUUGAUCUCGGAGGUCGGAGUAGCUACAACGUCGGCAGAUCGAGGCUUGCUGGGCUGAGUGGGACGCGAGCUGAACGGCGAACGCACAGCGCAGUUGCGGGCAAGGCGUGCUGGCUGACGUGAGUGGGCUGCGGUGAACGGAGAUGCUGGCUGCUGCUGUGAGUGUUCUUGUCGUGGGAGGGAGUGAGACGGUGAACGGGGCUGCUGGCCGCUGCUGCUGUCCGCUGCUGGUGGCUGCUGGUGGCUGCUGCUGGUGGCUGGUGGCUGCUGCUGGUGGUUGCUGCUGGUGGCUGCUGCUGCUGGCUGAGCUACUGCUGCUGGCGGCUGCGAGCUGCUGCUGCUGGCUGCUGCGAGCUGCUGCUGCUGGCUGCUGCGAGCUGCUGCUGCUGGCUGCUGCGAGCUGCUGCUGCUGGCUGCUGCGAGCUGCUGUUGUUGGUGUCUGUUGGAGCUGAACGGGGCUGCUGUGGCUGCUGCUAAGGGGCUGCUGCAGAAGUCGUCGGCCACAGUUCACAGAAAAUGAGAAGAGGAAGCAAGGAGGGGAGGCCGAGAGGGAGAGCUUUUUGUUUAGGGUUAGGGAUUUUUUAGUUUAAUUAAUGUUUAUAACUAUAUAUAUUUUUAAUUUAAAAGUUAAAUGUUAAAAAAAAUAACUUCAACUUGAACCGGUUGAAAAUUCGGUUUGGGUUCAACCCGAACUAAAAUAUAACUUGAACGGAUUAAAAUUUUGAACCCGUUCGGAUUUCACAGGUUAAUCCGAACUGAAUCAAACCCGAAAUAAAUUUCGGGUUCGGUUCAGUUCGGGUUAACCCGAACCGAACGCCCACCCCUACCUUCACCAAUAAAAAGGAGGAUAGAGCACAUACAUCCAGUUUUUAUACCCUUUGAUGCUCAGUCGACACGUGCCAAUGCUAUAGACUAUCGGAUAAUCUACUAAGGUGACGCAUGCCAAUGCUAUAGACUAGCUUUUCAAAGGUUGAAGUGGGUAUACUAAUAGUAAAAAGAGACUUAAUUCUCAGAGGCUACUCAUUCUAAGUCUUAAAGAAAAAAUUUUCUAAUUUCUAAAGAUUAUAUGGGGAAAAAUCAUUAUUUUCUAACAUGGAAAAUUUGAUACGGUGUUUAAUGUCUGAUCACAAUCAUAAUAUGAGUACUAACAAAAACAUCUUUAAUCGGCAUGGUGCAAGUAAAACACCAUCACUUCAUCUUUGAUGGAAAGAUGAUAAUAUAAGGAGAUGGUGAAAUGGUUUUGGUCCCUGGCAGCUUUAAUCAAAAGAAAACAAAAAACUACACUAUCAUUAAUGAUUACCGAAGCUACAAAAGUAUCAAAAUCGGAAAGUAAACAAUUGCAAAACACAUCAAUGACUGGAGGUUAGAUUCUAAAACUUCCGCAUUUAAUUUUCAGAGCAUGUUAUGUAUUAUUCAGAAAUAUGCUUUCACUUCAGGAAUUUGACCAAGACGCAUUAAACAUAAAACGCGGCGUUUUCAUGGACUAGUACAUUCCAUGCUUCGAAAGUUUAUGUUUUAGACUGAUUGGUUUGAUACAUUAUUUGUUUAUUGCGUUUUUCUUGCUUUAAAUAUUAUGUUGGAUUGAUAAGUUUUGUACACAUUUAUAUUGCUCGCAGUAAAUAAUUUAUGACAUUUAAAAGACUAUCAACCGUCUAUCAAAAGAUUUCUACUAUAAAUAUAUAUGCACAAAAAACUUUUAAUUUGGUCAAUUUGUUCUCUUAUUUAUUCAACCCAUCAUCCACAAAAUCACCAACCCGUUUCACCUUCAUCUCCUUGGGCUUAACAGGGUACUUUCCAGCAAGCAAAACAAAAAUUCUGAGAAUCAUCGCCUAACAACUAGUUCAAGCUGUCAAUCGGCAGAAAACAAGCGAAUCACACCCAAUAAACUCCCUGAUUUCCUCAACGCUCAUCCUGUUGGAAAUCAACUCCUCAGUACUUGGAGUGUCUACUCCGUAGUAACAAGAAGCUAUGAUUGGUGGGCUUGCAAUUCUCAUGUGAACCUCUUUAGCUCCAGCCUCCUUAAGCAACCUAAAAAUUUUUGAUGAAGUUGUUUCUCACACUAUCGAAUCAUCCACAACCACAACUCUCUUUCCCUCCAACCACAACCUUACAGGAGACAGCUUAAGCUUGACACCAAAGUCCCCAAUUUUCUGGGAAGGCUCAAUGAAAGUUCUCCCAACAUAAUGUGACCUUAUCAACCCUUGUUGAAAUGGCACCCCGGCUUUCGCAGCGUACUCAAGUGCAGCCACCACUCCAGAAUCUGGUACUGCAAUCACGACAUCACACUCAACAGGAGCAUCGGUAGCAAGUACUUCCCCAAAAUGAUACCUCGACUCAUAAACAGACCUUCCACAAACAACAGAAUUAGGCAAAGCAAAAUAAAUAUGCCCAAAGAUGCACUGCUUACGUUCAGGGUGAGGCAUCAAACAAGGUGAUUGAACCCCAUCUUUAUCAACCAUCAAAACUUCACCGGGAUAUACCUCUCUCUCUCUCUCUCUCUCUCUCCCCCUCUCUCUCCCUCUCUCUCGUAUGUGGCCUCAAUCAAAUAGUGCACAAGUCUCCGACGCAAAAACCAGAGCACCAUUACUCCUCCUACCCAUCACCAAUGGCAUAAACCCAUACGGGUCACGAACCGCAACAAGCUUAUCCUCAGUAACAAACACCAUUGAAUAAGCACCCUCAAGCUUCUCACAAACAUCCACAAUCCUCAAAAAGAACGGCCUAGCUUUCGAUAUCGGAAUCAAAUGGAGAACAACCACAGUAUCAGAACUAGUAUUGAAAAUGGAUCCAUUAUCUUCAAGCUUAGCCCUCAAAGUAUUAUAAUUAACUAAUGUGCAACACCAACAGAACCAAACCUGUACCCAGCAACAAAAGGCUGCACAUUCUUAAGCAUAGAACUACCCGCAGUCGAAUAUCUAGCAUGACCAAUGGCCAUAUCACCCGGCAAUUGAUCAAGUUUAGACUGAUUAAACACAUCAGAGACUAAACCAACACCAGUAAUAGACUGAAGAACUUUGUUAUUCACAGCAACUAUACCUGCACCUUCUAGGCCGCGAUGCUGCAUCGCGUGUAGCGCCAAAUAGCACAAACGCGAGGCCUCUGGGUCACCAUAGAUGCCCACAACACCACACUCCUCACGGGGCUUAUCGUCGUCAUCAUCAUCAAAACUGCCAAAACCGUCAUCUGGGUAUUCUUUAUUUGUGGUGAAAAACUCAGAGAUGGGGUUUUUUGAUAGAACAGUGAAGUUAUUUUUGUGGAUUAAAGAUUGUUGUUUCUGAGGAGAAAAAAGGGUUUUUUUGCAGGGUUUUGGAGAAAAGAGAAAGAUGGGGUUUUUGCGACGGCUUAGGGUUAGCAGAGGGAGAUGGGUUUGAGAGAGUGCAGAUGUUGGCGGUGCCUGUUGUGGUGGCUGCCAUUAAUGGCUGAAUUUAUUCUAUUUUAUUUUAUUUGUUUUGGGUUGCCUUGCUCAAAGAAAAAACAGAGGAGGUGUGUGGAGGAAGACAGUGGCGAAGGGUACUUCAAGUAGAGGGGAACUUGUUCUAGGUUUUUUUCUGGAAUUGUGAGGGAAUCGGAUCCUGUGUUUGUGCAUAUGAUUCAAUUACUUAUAGGUGAUACUGUUGUGCCACUACAAAUUCUAUAGGUGAUACUGUUGUGCCACCACAAAUAAUUUAUAAUUUAUUUUAAAUUAUAAAAUAAAUAUAAUUUAAAAAAAAAAAGAGUUUCACGAGGGGUGCAAUAGUUCAACUCUUUUGUUUAUAAGUUUUAAUGUGUUGGUAUCCUUAACUUAACUUUUUCCUAAUUAUUAUAUUAAAAUGUAACAACAAUGAUGAUCAACCCUAAUUUCAUGGAGGUCAAAGAUUUUGGUCAUGCCGCAUUAAUUAGUUCGAUCAUACUUUCUACAAAUUUAAAAGCACGCUCAGAGAAUAAAUGAGUAUGUAGCUAGUAAUCGUGGGCGAAAAUGUGGACCAACACCAAAGCACAAACGUUACGUUUGGAAUCUUUAGUUUUCUUUCUUUUCCCUUUUUUUUCUUUUUAAAGAAUUAUUUAUUCAGAUGAGUCAAUCUCUCAUGCGGGUCUAUAAAAGUGAUCCAGUUGGGGCCUAGUGUGCAAUAAUACAUUGUAAUAUGUGUGUGUGGGUGUGAAAUUAUUUUUAAAAAAUAAACUGUUAUUGCCUGCCUGCCUUCCAUUAUCGAUAGGUCAUUGUUCUGUAGACUAUGUGAUCAAAUAUUGUCUAAGAUUCUGUUUCGGUUUAAUGCAUGCUGAAGGCCGGAAUUUUUUUAUGAUUUUGUGUUAUAAGUCCACAUCUUUCUGUAAAUUAAUACAAUGCCGACUGCCCAUUAGUUUAGUAUAGUGUGUUAUGAUAAGUUUGAUUAUACGUACUCUCCCAGACGGGAACUCUUUGUGGAAAAGGAAAAGUAAAGUCCUUUGUCUCAAUGUUAGCUUUUGUAAACUAAAAUGAAUAAUUUAGUUGCAGAAUUUCAACUGCUUUUAGAUUAAAAUAAGUAAUCUUUAACCGCCUGCUUACACAUUAUUAUUAAUAACGUACUAAGGAUAGGCAGAACGAACAAAGUGUAGUCCUCUGAUACGCUCAAAAUCAAGUGGCCUACUUCUUCGGUGUCAAACAAGUCUUGUUGACACAUGUCAUCAAUAUCCUAGAAUUAAUGCAAGUGCUCGUGAAAACGUGCAAUUAUUUUAUCCCAUCAUCUUAAGAGUAUUUCAACUUAUUGGAAUUAGAUCCUAUUUAUUAUUAAGUUUUCUAACUUAAAAGCUUACUAUUGGAAAAAAAUUUCCAACACUGAAAUAGAAGUUAAUAGUAUUUAGUAAAUAUGAUGUUUAAAAAAAUAAUUUUUAAAAAAUUAGUAAAGAUAUUAUAAAUUUUUCAUUACACAAGUUGUGGAUCAAAUUAUUUUUGCUUUCAAGCUAUGGUAAUUAGCGUUUAUCAAAUAUUUUAGUGUCGAAACUUAAUUAAAAAAUACAACUACUCAACUUUCAUACCAAACAACACCUUAAUGAUAUGUUGUAUUAUAUGCUCCCCUUUGGCAAGUUAGCUAUAAGAUUAAUAAGACCUGUAGCAGAUUCCACUACUCUGCGAAAUGAUAAAGCCCCAUUAGACAGACUGACCAUGUCUCAUAUAAAAUUUUCUUACACACACACACACACGGCGGUUGUAGCUGUCACUAUUUAGUCCUCAAAUCCAAGAUCGGAUCACAUUCAUCAUCAUUUACUUGACAAAUAGAUCACAAAAGAUCUGUACUUGUUUACCCAUGCGUGAUAAUUACCACUAACUAAAAUUCUAAUCACCAUUCGGAUGACAAAAACUAUAAACAAAGGAGAGAAACAUAACUGGCCCUUGCAUUUGGUUGGAGUUCGUUUCAUAUUUUAUGGCCAUAUUAUUAUUAAAUAGAGGCAAGAGAUAAGAAGCAACUUUUUGGUAUAAUAACUCAUAUAUGAUGAUCAGAAAGUAAUUCUCGUUGUGAUAAGCACCACUAAUUAAAGAACAAAUAUAUAUAUUGUAUAUAAUUGUCCAACUUUAAUUCUUCUUGUGACGAACUCAUAUCUGCUGCAUUAAAUCUAAACAUAAUUUUGAAAAUUUAUGCUAUUACAUUGAGUCCAUUGACAUUUGAGAUAUAUACUUUGUCGAUUUCCAGUAUUCCUAAGGAGAAAAAAAAAAGUGUCAGUAUUCUUUAUCUCUUAUCUAAGCAAAUAAACUUGCAUGAUUAAUGGGUAAUAAAUAAGAACAUAAUAAUUAAUUAAAUUUUGAUCAUAUAUAAAUAAAAGUACAUAUGUAUUAAAAGAUCCUUCGAAACUUGGAUAUUAUUAAUUAGAUCAUGAGAGGAUUCUUAUAAGAAAAAAAAAAAAAAAGGCACGCAAUGAGUCAUGACUGCGAAAUUCCAUCAUCUACAAGUUACACCGCCCUUUGAAAUUCAUGCACGAAGACAAAUAUUUCUUUUCGGUUUGGAAUAAAGGCAAAAGGUGAGAUAUGAAUAGCUUUGAUUCUUAUUCCAAACGAUAUACCUAAUACCGAUCCUAUAUAUUUUUAGCAUCUUUCAAAGAUAUGCUACUGUCAUGUUAUAUAUAGUGUCUAAAAUAUAUAUAUGCAAUUAGGUUAUUGAGAAUAAACACAAUUUUCUAAUACUUUGAACCUAAAGUUUAUAAUAUUCGUUAAAGAAUUAGAAUAAUUGAUCUGGCUUGGUCGAGUACUUUUCAAAUAAGUUUCUUUGGCUAACCAACCGAGUUUAGCGGGAAGUUAAAAAAUUAAUUUUAACUGUAAGCUCCAAGUUCAAAUAUCUCAGAUUCACAAACUAGGGAUUGUUAAUUGUUUCAUGAAUAAAGGUCAAAGAUUUUGGUCAUGCCGCCUGGAGUCAUAGAAUUUUAUAUGUCAAAAGUGCGUUUCACUUCAAUUAAGCCAUAAAUGUCGUUUAAUAUGCUCAUUUUGUAUUUUUUUUUUAAAAGUUUUAUUAAUUUUUUUUUGUUUUUAAAAAUAUUAUUUAUUUUUUUAUUUUUUUAAAGGUAAAGAAGUGGGUAAAGUUCAAAUUUAAUUUUUAUCCCUUACGUCAUGACCCCUAAAAUUUGAACUUAGGUAACCAAACGUAUAAUAAUGAUAUCUCAAAUUUCAUUUCAAAUGAUAUGCAAUAUAUUAAGUCAUUGUUAAUUUUUAUAAGAUCCGAGUGAAUGAAUUGUAUUAUUUCACUAAUUAAUUGAUGAGUGUCAUAUCAUUUAUGAUAACUUUUGUAUAAAAAAAAUUGCGAUGGAUGAAAUAUCCUUUUGAGAAUUUAAUGGUUUAUCUCAUUUAUGAUUUAUUGUUGCAUUUAAUGAUAUUGCAAAUAAUUUUUCUGAAAAGAUUAUUGUUUUGACGAGUAAGUAAGUUUGGAGUAAAUAAUACAUAUGGCAAGUGUGAGGUUUGUUAUUGCAUUUAUUUUGUGGAUCUAUUUAAAAGCCAAAAAAAGGCAUUUCGAUUCAUUAUGAUUCCAGAUAAUUUCAAGCCAUGUCAUUAUUGGGAUAAAAAUAAAGUAAAAUGGUUAAAACUAUUUUUAUGUAAUUUAUAAAAAUUAAUGAAGCAACUACAGAAUUUUUUAAACGAAAAACAAUUGAAAUGUGUGUGGAAAAAGAAGAAAAAAAUAAGGCAUUUAAAUAUCUUCUUAAAAAAUACGAUUGAUUAAAAUUAUUUUAACAGAAUGCUCUUCCAAAUACAAUUCCACAUUUUUUUUAUUGCAGUGGGAUAUUCCAAAAUUGGCACAACUCAUUAAGAAUUCGGCAACUCAAAUUUUAUUUAUCACUCUAUGCAUUUGACAAAUUAAAAAGAAAAAAAUUCAUAUAUCUUCUGUUCAAAAGAAACCUUGGUAAAUAUUGUAAAACAAAUUACCAAUUUUUUUAAUUUAUGCCAUUAUAUCGUCGCUAUUUUCUCGCCCACUUUCUUAAAAUAGAAUCAAUAUUUAUUGAUGGGUUGGGUUCCAAAGUAAGCACCAAUUCAACAAAAUGGUUUUAUAGCAGAAAAAACACUUGUAAGACAUUCAGAACACAUUUUUCAAUUUUGUCUUUUGAAAAUGAGUCUUGAGUUUCCGCAAGCCAAGUAGAAUGGCUAAAACAUGUAUGGUAUCAAAGAAAGAGAAACACACGCACACACAGAGAUUAGUGGGGAGAUAUAUGAGUGUGUAAUUUGUAUAUAUAUCCCCAUUAAUUGUUGAUAGUCCAAUGGGUCUAUGCAAAAGGAAAAAAUUGGCCGUCCUUUAAGACAAAAUUGACUGUCACAUGACAAUGUUAGCACACUUGCCACGCAACGAAAAUAAAGAUUCCAAGAACAACUUUAUGGUCCCCUUUCUGUCCAAACAUAUGCGAUAGAAAUUAGUGUAAACGACACUUGAAAUAUUUAUGUAGAUCCUCACACAAUUGAUUAAAUAUUUAUAGUAGGAUGGAGUGAUAAAUAGUUUCACAAAAUUAUUGGAAUUAACUAUUUAAUACAUGAGAUCUAUCUCAUUAAGUAUAAAAGAUUGAGUGCUGCUUCAAAAGAAUGACGUUGCUGGCAACAAAUUUAACACAAAAAUUUAAUUAACUAUCCUAGUUGAGAUAAUAAAAUCUCAUGUUGAAAACAAAAGCUUUAAGGUUCGAACCUUCUCAUUUAAGAAAAUCAAGUCAAAAUAUUACAUCUUCCAGCACAUAUCAAAGAUUUUUUCAAAGGCAGACUGAUAAUUCAGGGUAAAAAAAACAAAAGGAAUAUAUGCUAUUCAAGACAGGUAUACCUUGGACAUGAAGUCUGAGUCCAGAACAAGAAGCAAUUAGCUGAUCUUUCAAUUUCCAAAACCCAACAAAAUCUUUGUCAAAAUAUAUGAUCUAGUCCCAUAUUAAGCACAUUCAUAGCCAUAUCACCAGGUUCAAAAUAUUUUCCCCAAAAAGAGAUGGAGAUUCCAUUGAAGUUGAGUUGUGACUGUCCCAACGUUUUGCAAUUAUAUGGUUCAGGAUACCAUGCCUAUGAAUCUUUUUUUUUUUUUUUCAUGUUUCGAAGUCUAUCAAAUGAAAAACGAAGGUAAAUAAAUAAAAAUUGUAUAAAACUGCGAAAAAAAUUAAUGAAAUGAAGAGAAAAUCACAAGAAUCCUAUGAAGAGGAAGCUAAACGAAACCUUCCGGAGCCGAGAAGAUGCCUUUUUUGUUGACAUUUGUGCCUAUACAUUUAUUUUUUUUAAUUUUGAAGAAAGUAUUGGUUAACAGAACGAAAUAUUAAUAAUAGAUGCUGGCAAAUUUUGAGCCAGCUUGGCUGAAUUUUGAGCACCACAUUACAAGAUCUAGGUGUAUGUUUAACUAUGCAAAACGAAACAUCUAUUAAAUGUAAGUCCCUUGACCUCUGGAACCAGACAACUAGUCUCUUUCCUACUAGACAACCUUCCAUCGAUCAGACUAAUAAUAUUUACUAAAUCAUGUUCUACAGUUAAUGAAGUUGGACCCAAGGAAAUUGUUAGUUUAAUGUCACAAGCCGCUCAAAUUUUCCGUAAUUGGAGGAUAAUUAUGUGCACAUGAGUUUGCUUAGGAAAAAUUCACUUAGGCGUGAAGUGCGCUUAAAAGCGGGAUGCACUUAGAAGUGGGAUGCGCUUAGCAAAUCACUCAAGCCCAUCCCAAAAUCUAGAAUUCUCUGCAAAUUAUAAAUAAGCUAAAAGUUUAUAUGUUUCUCCACAUAGUUCUCUAGGAUAUUUAUGGUAGUUGUUAGGAAGUUUUCUCCCAAAGAACUCUAAUACUUAUAAAUAGGGGUGGGCCCCCUCAUUUGCCCACCAACCACAUCACACACACAAACACUCCAACACACACACAAGCUCUCUAGAUUUUGUAAAAAGCUCUCUUGUAUAUUCUCUCUUUGAGAGUAAUAAAAUCAUAUUCAGCCAUAUUGCUCUACUUCUCUCUAGUAUUUUCCGCAAGUGUUCUUGCUUUGCUAUUUUGAGGGGUGUUCUAGGCUUCCUUAGCAACUUGUUUGCUACAAAGACAUCUUGGUCACAAAACAUGGACAUGCAAGGAAAAAAAAAUAUUGAUACGUUCUAAAAAUAAUACGCAUUCUUCUACAGUGAACAAAAAAAUUUAGGCUAAUGGUAGCAAGUGAAGGAAUUGUGAUUUCAUGUGCAUUUUGUUGACAUGAACGUAAAGAACUUUUUUAUAGUUUAUAUUGUUUAAUAUAACAUUUGAAUUGCAAAAUAGGGGUACAAAAUGGAUACACGAAGUGAUAAAACUAAGCUGAUUAUGAUAAAUAUUGAAUUAUAAGAUUUACGUUUAAUCAUAAAAACAUAAGUGGCGCACAAAGGCACGAAUUAUCAUCCAUGAUGCAAGUUCAAACAACUGCAUAAUAAGUUGCCCCAAGCUAAACUAUUAAUCUAGUAACUAUUCCACGUGGGAUAAUUUUCCUAUCACCAUCUAUCAUGUGCAAGCCAAAUUUGUUGCUUGGUCCUUACAUGUGGUAAGGUAAUAUGAAUCCACUUGUGCAUAAAUUUAGCUCCGAUAUUAUAUAGAAGCCUAUGACCCAAAAUUAUACUUAAAGGUUAUUUCAAGAUUUGAGGGUUGCCUCAAGCUAAUAUUAUUAUUAGUGUGGUAACCUUUUUUUGGUUGUUGAUAUGUGAUAUUUUCCCUAUAACUUUUAUUAAUCUUUAUGCUUAUGUUUUGUCAUUUAUCCUAAAAUAUAACAUUAACAAAAGUUCCAAAAUUUCCUUCAAGAGAUAUAUUUGAGACAAGUAAUUUGUGCAAUAACUUUGUGAAUUGAUGAGGAAAUUCAGAGAAAAGAAUAUAUGUGCCAAACGUAACGUUUAUUGUUGUGUUUAUUUAUAGAGCUAUUUAAAGCCCAAAAAAAAAGCACCCGUCUGCUAUGAUUUCAAAUAAGUUCAAGCCCUAUGUCAUUAUUGGUACAAAAAUGUAUCAGAAAGGUUAAAAACUAUUUUUAUUUAACUUAUAAACUUAGGAAAUUAUCAACUGUCCGCUCUUAAAUUGCGCUAUUAUAAAAAAUAUUACAAUAUUUUCAGGUUUUAUCAUUCAUCUACCAUAAAUUUACAAUCUGCAUCAUUUAUCCACCAAAUCAUUAACUUCGUUAAAAAGUGAUAGACGUCACAAGGGUACUUUAGAUAUUUAACACACAAAAAAAUAAAAGAGAAAUUAUCUAAGCUUACCAUGUUAUCAAAAUUGCUACAAGAUUUUAAAUUUGUUCAAUUUUCCAAUCUAAGUUUAUGACCUCCAAGAUGUUAAUUGCAGUUUGUAAUUAAUGAGUUCAUAAGGAUAAUUUAGACACUCAAUAUGCAAAAUAAAAAAUAAAAUAAUGGCUUAAAACAUUAAAACAAAAAACUACUUUUUAUAAUUGAUAUUCAAUUAAAUACACAUAAACUCUAUUUUUUUCUUAAUUAAAAAUAUUCUAAUUUAUUUUCUCAAUUUAUCAUCAUAAAUUUGCAUUAAUAAACUAAAUCCACAAAUUACCCUAAACCCUAAUUCAUAAAUGCCCAAUCAAUCUAAUAGUGUAAUUCAAUUUCAUAAUUAAAAAAGGUAAAUUUAUUAUAUUAAAUUUAAAUUUAUUCAUAAAUGCCCAAAGUAAAAAAUGCCCUUAAAUUCAAGGGUAAAAUAACAUUUUAUUUAAAUUCUAUAAAUUAUUCUAACAAUGUUAACAUUUUGGUGGUCGGUUAAAAUAAGUUACAAACUUAAAAUAGAAAAUCAAAUAAAUUCAAAAUUUCAAACUAUUUAGAUUAAAUUUAGGAUAUAUGGUUAAUAAUUUUUCCAUGUCUUUUUACAUUGGUUGAUAUAAAUUACAAACUUAAAAUAGAAAAUCAAAUAAAUUUAUAUUUUCAAACUAUUUAGGACAAACUUAGGGUAUAUGAUUAAUAAUUUUCUUUUAUCUUUUUACGUUAAAUUGAGUUUCAAAGGUAAAAUGGUCAAUUUAUUAUAAUUUUGUUAAUUUUUUAGUGGAAGCAAACGAUAUAAUAGACGAAUGAUAUAAAUUGUAAAAUUAAGGUGCAUGAAUGAUACAACUUUAAAGUAUUGUAGUAAUUUUAAUAAUAGAACAAUUUAAGGAUGGAUUGGCAAUAAUUUAAACUUUAAUGAAGCAGCUAAAAACAAUUUUUAACAAAGAAAAAUAAUUGAAAUGCUUUAAGAAAAAUAAAGGAAAUUAAAUAUCUUUAUAAAAACAUAAUUGAGUAAAAUCAUUUUACAAAAUGCUAUUUCAAAUGCACAUUCCACAAGCCAAGAACGGGUGGUUAACAAAAAUCUCACUUUUGCAUAAUCCAAAAAUAACCAAUACUAAUCACAUAAAAAAUAAAAAUUAUUAUUGUCAUGACACACUUUCUUCGCCGUCUAGAAAGGUAGAACAUUUUGAAGUUCCUCGAUACAAAAUGCGUGCUACUACUAAAUUAGCCCAAUUAAUGCCCAUCGAAAAGGCCAUCAAUUUAGCCAGCAAUUUUGUCAAAAUUUCAACAAUUGAAGAAAUCUUGAGAUGCAUACAACAAAGUCUUGAAACUUUAGUCUUCACAAUUUGAGCACGCACUAAAUAUUAACCAUCCAUCUACAGAGCAAGUAUAGAACAAAGCUUGUUAGCUUCUUGCGCGAACUGAACACGCUGAACAAAGCUUUUUUUUUUUAUGGAUUUUUGGACAUGCAACUCAGAGUUUAUAUCAUAGAGCUACACUUUUUGGAGUAAGUGCUGACUCCAGCAAAAAAGAAACAAAAGAAUUGAAAUUAAUGGAGAAACAGAGAUAGCAGGAGAGACGGAGAGAGAGAAGAAGAAAUAUUUGCCAGUUUUUUAUUCUCACUUUUUGACCUCUUGCCCUUUUUUAAAUAUCCUCUUUUAUCCCACAACAAUACAAGCGUAACUAACUAACUACAACAUAAUUAACAAAACAAAUAGUCACAACAAAAUAACCAAAAUCACAGCUGUCACUCUUGAAGUAUGUGGGUGCCCUGCGCAUACGAGAUAGACCUUUGAUGGGCUCCUCGACCAGCUGGGUUUCUUCCUCUGUUUCAAGUGUUGAUUUGUCAUUAGUCUCGAGCAAAGUUGUAUCAUUUAUGUUCGCUGCCAUCUUUUUCUUCGCUGGCGUCUUCAUUGGCAUCUCCUCCUCUGUAGUUUGCUGUGCCUAUGUAUCCAACCAAUAAAUUGGGCAUUAAAUACGAAUGAUGAAUAAAAUGAUUAAAAAAAAAAACAAACAGAGAAAAUUAUAAUAUAACACAUAUAUAUUGAAAGAGAAAUUUUGAUUUUAGGAUAGAUCAAUUAGCUAUCACAAACGAAAACAUGAACCAACUGUGUAUAGUGUCAAGUAACUAAAGUUCUCAAGAGUUGACCUGUGCUCCUGAAUUCUUGGAAUCAUCUCUCCUUCUGAAUUUGGACGAAGCUUGGGACAACGACGAACAACAACUCUAUAGGAUGCAGAUGGAAAUGGGAUCUGAUAACCCGCAGGCCAAAAGUUGGUGAGGUUUGGUAAACUAGACAAUUUCAACUCCUGAAGUUCAUUCAUAACAAUUUCAUUGUAAUCCGUGACGUCUGCUCCAUCUUUAUGCCAGAAUACUUCUUCUAAUUCAGCAUUAACUUCUAUCCUUAGGUAACUCAGUUUUUGAAGACUUGGAGCUACGCUGAUAUGAAAUAGAUGCUUUAGCUUGGGGCAAUUAACAACUUCGAUGCUUAUGAGUUUUGGGAAACAUACAGGUUGGAGAUGAUCCUCAUCCUCAUCCUUAUCAAUGAUUUGCUCUAAUUCACUGCAAUUCCAAACAUAUAACCCCUUCAAUUGCAACAGAUUUCGAGCAAGUGUUGAUGAGAGGAGAUGUCUCAGCAUACCGCACCCGUUUACAGAUAAACUGGUAAGAUUUUGCAGGUUAAAAUUAUGCGUAGGACCUUCAUGAUAUAAUACUUCCAGUUCUGGAAGAUCUUUCAAUUCCAACUCCUUCAAACAUGGGAAUAGUUUGUUUUCUUGUCCCUCAGCGAUAAUAGCUUCCACUUGAAAUACCACUUGUACUCCAAGUUCUCCAAUAUACAAUGAUUCCAAAUUUUUAAAUCCGUGCUUCAACAGUGCUGGAAUCGUGUCGCGCAAAUGGGAGCAUUUGCCUACUAGUAGAAUUCGUAAUUUCUGAGACAAAUAAAUAAAUAACUUGAUGUAAUUAAAAUUAGUUAGCAGCUAGGAUUAUCACAUGAUAAGUGAUGAACACCGCAAAAAACAAAAACAAAAAACAAAAUCCAUACAAAAAUAUCAUAAUACAUAUGUAAACUAAUAAAAUAAUUGAAAAAUAAUGGAUUUAAAAAAAAUGAAAUUAGUUAAAAGAGUUCAUGUGAAGUGAUAUAAAUGUGACAUUAGAUUGUUUUAGAAAAAUUAUUAUUCUAUUAAUUUAUAUGGCUUGAUCAACUAUUUAAUUGAAUUUGAGUAAUAUUAUAUACACUUCAGAAGUAUUUGCAUCAAUUCUUUCUAAACCAAAAUGAGAUAUGACUUUCAUUUGAAGAAUGGUUUUAGGCUCUAAAAUAAAGGAAUUUCCUUAAGAUAUUUGAGCAUUAUUAUUAUCAUCACCACAUCCACGAUCAUCAUCAUCUCCAUCGGACCAAAUAAUUAAUGGCUGAUCAUAAAAUUUAUUGCUAAACUAUUAUUUCGAGUAAAAUUGAAGGAAAAGAAAAAACAUAAACACAAACGAACAUACCUCUUCAAGAUACUGCAAAUUGGCUUCAAGUUCAGUACUGAUAGUCAAGUUGGGACAGUGCUGAAGGAAUAAAUCUUCCAAUGCCGGCCAAGUUGAAUAAUAAUUUUCUGAACAGAAGCUGAUGAGUUCUGGGAGAUCAUAAAGUGAUAAUUUUCUCAAUAAAGGGAGCACAAUUAUUGUAUUUCCAUCUCCUACACUUAUUUCCUUUUCAUUAUGAUCAGAUUUUGCUUCGACGAUACAUUUCAGUCUCUCGCAUCCACAUACAUGGAGACUUUUAAGCUGUUCCAAACUUCGAGCUUGUGACAACGUGAAGAUAUAUGUCAACUUGUUGCACCCAAACACAUACAAUUCUGUAAGAGUUUGGAGACUGAUCACAUGUUGUGGGGGCGCCUUCCAUAUACACUUCAGUUCUGGUAAUCGGAACAUUUUUAACUCUGCUAAUCUUGAGAGACUCUUUCCAUGCGGCGACUUAGAGGCUUCCAUUAUGCAUUCUAAAUCUUCGCAAUCGCGGACAUCAAGACAAGUCAACUCAUUUAAGCCCCUUUCAUCUAUGCUUGGCACAAUAUUGUAACAACCUAUAAUCCCACUUAAAUAAAGAAUUUCCAGUUCUUGAUACAAUGCCGAAAAAAUACCGAGCGAGGUCGCCGCUUCAUGAGUGCAAUUCUCAAUGAUUAAGCUCUUUCUCUGACUACCAUAUUUCAUUUUAUCAACAACUUGUUGACCUUUACCCAUGACGUACCUUUGCAAUUUCGGGAAUGUAAAGCCUUUUGGAAGACAUACAACAGAUCCGUCGGCUUGGGAGUUCAACUCAUCAAGCCUAGCAUUACUUUCUUCUGAACUCAUCCCUUCAACCUCCCAAUUUUUUAUCCGACCAUAAAAUUCUUCUAAUUUUUUUAUCGUAAUGGGAGAAACAGAACCGGUAUCAAUAUAUAGAAGUUUCAAUUGGCGAAGUUCAUCCCACAAUUCUUCAGGAAUUUCAAUGGGAGACUUUCGGAGAAAAAGAAUUUGAAGUCCCUUCAACUUUCCAAGAAAAGACGCGUCACUCACAUCACAUUGAAUCAACUGCAAAACUCGGAGUUUUUUGUCGAGGAAUCGAAGCGAUUUUAGUGAAAGGACUCCACCAAUUAUAGUAACAACUUUCAAUGCUGGCAUCCCUUUAAAAAAAUAUUCUGGAAUUUGCAAUUCGUAAAAAUAUUCGGUGUUCUCCAAUCGCAGAAUAUGAAGGUUAGGGCAUUUCAAAUCACUAGGAAGCUCUUCUUCUUUUUUAUCUACGACAAAAGACAUUCCCCUGCACUGUUGCAGGCCUUCUUCCACCGCCCGUUCCACCAUUUCGAUGCCAGUUACACUAAAAAAUCUCUCCUCUUCCUCCUCCUUCGUUUUGCUUAUCCAUAUGGCUACAUCACGGACUACGUCAUGCAUUUUCACAGAUCUGUCAUUACCAGUGUCUAACAGCAAUGAAGAAGCUUUGAGCUCUUUCAUCGUUCCACUCAGUAGGCUUCUGGUGUUCUCUAUUGACUCAGCUUGAUACCAAGUCAACCCUACUGCAUAUCCAACCAAAUCAUCCAAAUCUAUCUCAUAAUCCUCUGGAAACAAAGAACACAACAAGAAGCACGACCUGGAAUCCUCACCAUUCAAAUAAUCGUAACUAAAUUUGAGACAACCGUAAACAUCUCGGUUCUCCAUAUCAAUACCUUCUAUUGCAUAGAGUUUUGCAGCCUUUAGGUUAUGUAGAGCUAGAUUCCAUUCAUGAAAUCCUUUUCCUCUUAGUGCACUUCCAACAGCUUCAAUGGCUAAAGGCAGCCCGCUACAUUGGCCAGCAACAUCUUUGGAAACAUCAUUCAAGGUGGAGUCAUUUGCAUCAAUGCCGGCAUUUUUUUGCAGUAAAGCCAACCCUUCUUCUGCCGUUAGUGUACCCAGUUGAAUCUGCGGGUCACAACGCAUGCUUUUACAAACUGACUGCAGGCGAGUGGUUAGAAGGAUUUUACAAAGAUUGUCGCUAUCACCAACAGGAAUACCUAAUUUUUCCUUCAAGUCGAGAGCAUUCCAGACAUCAUCGAUGAUUAUGAAGAUCUUGGUGCUUUUACUGUCAGAAAACAUCGAGCGCAAUCGGUCUACUCCAUGGUUUUCAUCUUCCUGUUUUAAUUCCCAACCUAACGACUUCAUCAGCUCGUUUCGAACAUUUAUUAUGUUUGGAUGCCGAGAUAUAGUGGCUAUCCCCACCUUAUCGAAAAUGUUUUUUUGCCGAAGUUGAUUGCCCACAAAUUUUGCCAGGGUUGUCUUUCCUACACCACCGAGACCAUACAAUCCCACCAUCUUUGUGCUCUCUUUUUUCAGUGCGUCAAUGAUCUGAUUGCAAGCUGAUUCUCUGGUCUCGAAAGUAGAAGUAAAAUGACUUGGCAAACUUAAUUUUCUCUCUAAUGGUAGAGGUUUAGGAAAGGCAACUGUUUCGAAUUGGCUGCAGUCUAGCAGAUCAGACAACUUGCAAGUCUUCUCUGAUGCUUUUCUGCCCAGACGAUACCGGCAACACCAAUUAGGACACAAUCCAUGAAGACUACUAUCCUUUUCAUCUAUCUCUGCUUUCAACUUCCAAACAUCGUCCAAUUCUUCGACUCCAUUAUUCAGCCACUCCAUUACAUUUUCAUCGACUACUAUGUCGGGGCAUUUUCGCAGUUCAUCGUCUAUUCUUGUUUUGAUGCCAUCUCGUGCCUUCUUCAACUUAGUUUCUUUAUCCUCAAGUUCUUUAACAAUGCUGUUGAAACAGAACAUAUAGCGAGCUUGGUCAAUGGCUGCAUUCACCAAUAAUUCUUCAACCUUUGAUUUUAAAGCUUCCAUGCUAUUUAUCUGCAAAUAACGAAGUUGGUCUCAGCACGCUAUUAGCGAAACAACAAGGAUUGAUCACCAGACAAAAUGAGAACGUUUAAUUACCUUUUUCUGUACUGUGAAUGCCCGUCUAGUAACACCAGCUUUGACCAAUAAGAGCAAAAUGCAGAGGCGGGGCCUUAAGAGUUUCGGUGGCCUUUAGCUGCAAAACGGCAGAUGACAAAUAAGGUAAACGUUCCCAGCAAACGUGAUUUACGGUGAAUUAUAUUCAAAUUAGAUUAUUUUAAAAGUUGGUAAAUUAUUUAUCACUCUAUCUUAAUGAUAUCUUAUUUGGGAUGGUAAAGAUUGGGGUAAAUUCCCUUUUAUUCUCACAUGUUUAUAGUAUUUAUAUUUUUAUAAAUUACCUAAAACAUCCAUGUAACUUACUUUUAUAGCUAUUGAGCAUAUCAUUUCAAAUAUAAAAUACUAUUUCUGUCUAAUAUAAAUUAAAAAUCAAACAAAUCUAUCAUGCAAUAAAUGAAAAGUAAAGAAUAUUAAUUAGGUUUUAAUGGAAACAAAUAUAAAACAUAAAGGUUUUGAGUAACUUUUGUGAUUUUUUUUUUAAUGUUCAAUUUAGAAUUGAAUAAUUUGCAUAAUGAAAUUUUGAGGUUUCUAUAAUUUAUAUGAAGAUAAACUGCAAAAUAAGUUUAUAUGCCGAAAUUAAAAUAGUUAUAUAUUAGCAAUCAUAUAAUUAUCAAAACAUUUAAUAAGACUUAUUUAAAAAUUGGCCAAUUGUGUUUCAUGAGGAAAACAGAGAGCAUUAUGGACUUAUAUUGGGUCUUGGGAUUGAAAAACUAAGGGUAAGGGGCCGGGAGGUAGGACGGUAGGAAAAUUAUUAUUAUUAUUUUUUUAAAUAUGGUCAACAAUACUGACUUGGAGGUGAUUGCCGUUAAUAAAUUAUCUUUAACUUAAGAAUUAAUACAAACAAAUGGCAAGAAUAAUAUAAUGAAAAUUAAUGUAAUAAAAAAUUGCAUUAAAAGACUUAGAACUUAAAAUUCUCGACCAUUUUAUCUGUGUAUGUUUUUAAUCCAACGUGCAAAAUUGGCAAAAAACAAAGUAAUACAGCCAUUAAAAGUAAAACAAACAUCUAGUUAAGAGCCUAUGAAACAAUAAGAUCUCAUACCUUUUUCGUUAUAGAUCCUAAUUACUGAUGAAAGCUCUAAUUAAGAGAGUCGCACAAGUUCAGAGAAAAUUAAAAGCUGCAUCCAGCAAUGUAAAUAAACAUCAGAUCAAAACAACAUAAGCAUAUAUCUAGCUAACUAAACAUCAUCUAUAACUCCUUGUUCUCUGUCAAAUCUUUCAUUCUUAGGUUAAAAAAAAAAAUUGAAAUAAUAACUAUUAAGUGAUAUAGGAAGCAGAGGUAAUGUACCCAGACAUGACAGAUCUGUGACUUCAAGAGUAUGAAAAAUCAUUGAAACUUUGGGAGAAAGGUCUGAGUCAUGAGUCAUGUUUCACAAGUUGCCAUUGACUUCGUGGGUUGCUUUUAUUUAUUAUUAUUAUUUUUUCAAAUUCUAUAUCAGUGAGAAUUGAAAUGUGGAAAGUGAAAUGAUACACAUGCCUUAUCAUCUAUCAUGAGGGGUAAUUUAGUAAAAUUUAUUUAAAAUAAAAAAAAAGUUUAAAACAAUUUAAUAAGAAGCUUUGUGUCCAACUGUUUGUAUAUGGGGUGUCUCUUGGGUUCUUGAGAGAAUCAGUUUAAUUAAAUAUAAGAUUUUUAUUUUUCUUUUAUAUAUUCCUCAAUUCAAAAUAAUGCUUUUUCUGAUUAAAUAAAUGAAAAUUGACGUACAAUCUGUCCUGAACACACCAUUCAAUUGACCGUUUAUUUCCCCUUAAAUUUUUAAUCUCAAUGAAACAUAGAUAAAAUAGGAACCACACAUCCAUAAAAAUACUAUAGAUUGAAGAAAAUGAAUUUUUCUUGUAAGUAUUUUUGGUUCAUACGAAAGAAUUCUAGCAAGUUAAUACAAAAGUACCAUAAAUUUAUAGUAGUACAAGAGAUUUUUUUUCAUUUGCUGUUAAGAGUUUUCGAGAUGCAAAAAAAUGGGCGAAGGAUGAAGAUGAGAGAAGAAAAAAUAUUAAGAAUAGUUUUGGCAUUUUGAUGGAUUUUAUAGAGUAAAACCUAUAUUUGCAAAUCUGACAAUUUUUAAUGGGGUGUUAUGAAAUAAAGGUGUUUAAAGUAUAAAUAGGUAUACCCAAAAUUUAAUAAAGUUCGAUCAUUUUCUAUUAUGAAAACCUAUAUUUGACUAGUAUGAUGUUAAUUUUGGGGUCCAACUAUAGUGUACAGUUGUAUAGUACGACAGUUAGAUUCAGCUAUUGAAUUUAUCUCUAGUGAUAAUUAGAGGUUAAAUUCAAUGAUCAAAUAUAGUUGUAGUACCAUAUAACUGUGGUAUCAUAAAUUUGCCCUUAAUUUUGAUAAGUCAUUUUUUGGUAGAUUAUUUUUCUGACACGCUCUCUAGUUUUGGUGAAAAAAAACUGUAUAGUUUUAAGGAAAAAAAAUAAUAAAUCAACAAAAUAUAUUGUUGUUUUCGACAACUUCUGCGCUGUCAAGUGCGCCUGGGCAUUGCCUUCUUCAUGAUCAGUAGCAAAACGGGCAAAGUGGAUAUGCUAAAAGUGAUGAAAAUUGAAAAGCCACACGUUAUAAUAGUUAAAAAGAGUAAUAGAGAUUCGAAGACUUCAACAUCCUUUUGCAAGUGCACUCAUGAUAAAAUUUGAAGGAUUUCAGGGCUAUUACCCCCUUUUUUCUUUAAUCAAUAUUUUUAAUAAAAUAAUAUCAUAAUUCCCAAAUAAUAUCCGUUUUUUUAUUCAAGUUUUCAUGAUACCCACCUAUUGGAUAAUUAAUUUAAUUAUUUAUUACUCUUAACUUAAAAUAUAUAAAUAAGUUAAUUUUUUGUUAAAUUAUUUAUUACUCUUAUCUAAUGGGUAUUUUAAAUAAAUUGAAGUGAAGAGUAUUUUAGUAAGUUAAAAUAAUCCAUCAAUAUUUUUAAUGUAUAAAUAUGUUCACUUACUGAAUUACUUUUGAUAAUAAAAUAUAUUAAUGGACCAAUAUGUUAAAAUUUUAAAAAUUAAUAUUUUUUUAUUCUUUUAGUAAAACAUAAGAGACUACAUCUUUAAUAUCCAAAUAAUAACUUCUUGGUUUGGUUGGAUCAAUGGUUUGAUCACAAAAAGACAAAAAAAUAAGUAUGAAACUACAAUUAUACUGUAACUGGACUCAUUAAUUUAAUCAUUUGUUAAAUUAUUUAUUAUUCUAUCUUACCAUAUAUCCAAUGUAUAUAAAUGUCACCUUAUUUGGGGUGGUAAAGAUUGGGGUAAAUUGAAUAAUUUGUAUCAGAAUAAUUUAGGUUUGUGUAAUUUAUAUGAAGAUAAUCUGCAGAAUAAGCUUAUAUGUCAGUUUUAAAAGAGGGAUAUUAGUAAUCAUAAAUUUAUCAGACUUUUUAAUAAAGAUUUUGUUUAAAAAUUGGCCAACUGGGUUUCACGAGGAAAAUAGAGGAGCAUGAACGGCGGCACUUUUAAUUUUUAUUGUUGUUGUACAAAUGAAAUUUCAAAAGAUUGAAAGGCUAAGGGGCCAGACGGCCAAUAGGAAAAAUUAAUUUUAUUUUUAAAGUAUGGUAAACAAUACUGACUUGGAGGUGAUUGCCGUUAAUAAAUUAUCUUUAACUUAAGAAUUAAUACAAACAAAUGGCAAGAAUAAUAUAAUGAAAAUUAAUGUAAUAAAAAAUUGCAUUAAAAGACUUGGAACUUAAAAUUCUCGACCGUUUUAUCUGUGUAUGUUUUUAAGGCAAAGCUUAUGUUACAUUGGCAGUAUGUUACAGCCAUAAAGUUUUAAAGCCUUAGAAAAUACAAUAAUUGUUAAAAAGUUCAAUAAGUUCUAAAAUUUUACUUUCAACCCCAAGCUGCAGCUAGACAGCAGUACUGCAAUUACUUCAAUUUUUUUUGAAGUUUUUCAUUUUAUUUUAUAACAAAUUUAGUACCAAAUUACUCAAUAAUUAUUUUUAUUUUAUUUAAUUGAAUCUCUAACUUAUUAUCUAUUGAGUUUUUAUUCAUUAUAUUAAUAAUCUCUUACUUUAAUAUAUCAUGAUUUUCAAUGUUGAAAUCUUUCAUUAAUUGUUUAACUUUAUUAAAUUAUUUAAUCAAUUGAUCUCUUAACUUUUUAUUUUUUUAUUUUUUUCAUUAAAAUUAUUAAUUUCUAAUAUGUUGUUUAUACUUUCUAUAUCAUUUAUAAAUAAAUUUGGAUUUUCUAAUUUAUUUAAUAAAAAUAAUGACAUUCAGUUUAAUCGAUUAUUUCUCCAUAUCUAAAUCAUUGAUCAUAUCAAAGGAUUUAAAUCUUCUAUAGAAAAAUUAUUUUUGCCUAUAACUAGAAGGUGGUAACUUAUUGAUUUUUAUGUUUUGUGAAAUUAUUGGAGGUUUCGGUAAUUUAUUCAUUAUACUAUCUUUCUAAUAAUUUAUUAAAUUCAUAACAUAUUUAUCACAUAUAAUAUCUCUUAUAAUUCAAGAUACUAAAUGUAGAUUACAAAAUCUAUGUGACAAAAUUGAUGGUAUGUUUUUAGGAUAAAAAAAUAGAUUGAAUAUAUUUGUGUGUGCGCAUUAGAAGAAAAAUCUUGAUUAUGUCACAAGAGGGACAAAAAAUUAUAAAUACAUGUGCAAAAAGACAUUUAAAAUUUGUGAAUUUUUAUGAAUAUGAUAAUGGUAAAAACUCUAUAAAGUUUAAAAAUAGAUAUAGAAGAGAUGGACAACAAAACUAUUUAAUUAUACAAAAUCAAUGAGAACUUAUUUUAAAAAAUAGUAAAUAUGUGAUUAAAAAUAAAUUUUUUAUAAAUUACUAUCACACCUAUACUUGAUUUUAGGUUAAAAUAGUUCACCAUUAGAUUUAAAAAUUUGUCAAAAUCAAUAACCCAUAUUUAUUGAUGAUUUGUUACAUUGUUUGUGACAUAAGCUUUCCUAACGUGCAAAAUUGCCAUUAAAAGUAAAACAAACAUGAAGCUAAAAGCCUAUGAAACAAUAAUAUCUCAUACCUUCUUCCUUAUAUAUCCUCAAUUACUCCCCAAAGCUCCAGUUAGAGAGUCGCACAAGUUCGGAGAAAAUUAAAAGCUGCAUCCGGCAAUAUAAAUAAACAUCAGAUCUAAACCACAUAAACAUAUAUCUAGCUAAUUGAUAUAGGAAGGAGAAGUAACGUACCGAAAUGAGAGCAGCUAGUUCACAGAUGACAGAUCNNNNNNNNNNNNNNNNNNNNNNNNNNNNNNNNNNNNNNNNNNNNNNNNNNNNNNNNNNNNNNNNNNNNNNNNNNNNNNNNNNNNNNNNNNNNNNNNNNNNUUAUUGAGAGGAUGAGUUUAAUUAAAUAUAAGAUUUUCACUUUUCUUUUAUAUAUUUUUCUUUAGAAUGAAUUUAAAUCUCAUUCUUAUUAAAUUCAUUCUUUUUAAAUGAAAGUAGAUUUUUUUACACAAAUUUUAGGUCUAUUUUAUAAUUAAUGUUCAACAAAUCUCUAAAUUAUAUUAUAAAAUUUUAUUUAAAAUCUCAACAGAUUUCAUAACACACAAAAAAAAUACAUAUAUAUAUAUAUAUAUUUAUAUUGUAAUGUUCUAACAAGAGAUCUUAAAUUUAAAAUAAAAAAAUAUGUGUUUUAACAUAUUACAUAAUAAAAUAUAUUAUAUUAAAGUGAGUAAUUUAUUUAUUUUUUAUUUUAUCUCUUAAUUUAAUAAUUUAAAAUAUCUUUUAUUUAAUAAUAAUUAUUAAAAUUUCUGUUUCCCAUUAAACGCAGCAUAAGUGAAGCAAAGGACAUUUUGGAGGCGUCUACCGACCUACCAUUUUGGAUUGCAAUAAAGUGAAGGGUCCCGCUAACUUACAGCUUAUGUCAAUUACAUUCAUAACAAAUUAAUAAUUGUCUUUUGUUCAAUUAUCUGUUCAUUUCUUCAAUCAAGUCCUCGUAUCCUUUUAAUUUAUGAUAAGAUCCUCGCAUGGACCAGAUCUGCAUGUGUGAUAAUUACGGCGGGACCCCCAUUUUUUAAUUUCAAUGGUCAGAUCAUGAUUACACUUACAGACCCACAGAAUAAUGCCAACAACCAAAAAACUGUAAAUUUCCAUGGACACAAAUACCCCCAACCAGUGCUUGCUAAGUACUCAAACUACACAUAUAUAAAUUAAUCACAUGUAUAUUUUACCAUUGACUCUAACAUUAGAUUCCCGCUAAACCAACCCAGUGUCCUUUUAUUUUUUAGCAUUAAUAUUAGGGUCCCGCUAACCUUAAUAUUAGCGAGACCCAAUGUCCUUUUAUUUUUCACCAUUUCUUCAAUUAAGUCCUCAUAUCUUUGAUUGUUAAUUCUGAGCUGAUGAAUAAUUUCUUCGCCCAUCGUUUCUACAUUUAUUAAAAAAAUUUAACUUUUCGCUGUACUUUUAUAAGGGUCUAAUGUUUAUAAAAAUUUAUAAAUUCUAAACACAUUUUAACACUUAUAUUUAUAAUUUCUUAUUUUUCUUGAAACAUAAAUUAAAUUUUUUCUUUUAAUAUGUCUAUAUAUAUUUCUAAUCUAUUUUUCCAUCCAAAGUACACACCAUCAUCAAUAUUCUCAUCUCUCGCCACUCUCAUCUUCAAACUUUCUUGGUAAAAAUUUCAAUUAUGAAACAAAAUUAUCAUCCUCUAUGCAUUUUAUUUUAAUUUUAGAAAUAUAUCAAGAAUCUCAUGCCAACAUUUGUGUUAAGAGAAGAAAACUUCAUACUACUAAACACUUUCUGAGAGACAAUUGCUAGAAAGUCGCCCAAAGAAUUCUUUUUAGACUAAUUUACAGUAUAUCAUGUUGGGCCGUGUGGAACAAUAGUUACAUGGUAAUUUUUUAAUGGGAUAUCUUUAAAGUUAUUAAGUUAAAAAUAAAAAAAAUACAUAUUUUAACAUAUUACAUGGUAAAAUAUAGUGUAUUAAAAUGAGUAAUUUAUUUAUUUUUUUAAUCUUAUCUCUUAAUUUAAUAAUUUAAAAUAUCUUUUUAUUUAAUAAUGGUUAUAUAUAUAUAUAUAUAUAUAUAUAUAUAUAUAUAUAUAUAUAUAUAUAUAUAUAUAUAUAUUAUAAAAAUAAAAAUAAAACAAUUUAAGUCUACCGACUUACCAUUUUGGAUUGCAAUAAAGUGAAAACAGUAUACUACCAAUCUCCUGUUUUGGAUUGCAAUAAAGUGUAAAUGGGUUACUUUCAAAAAAGAAAAGGUCACAGUGAGUUGUCAAUUUCAUCCUUGUCGGCCAAUAAUACAUCAACCUUUUGCUGGAUUUUUAUCACCGACAAAGACAAAUUAUUGAGUCGGGUCCCGCUGACUUACAGCUUGUGUAAAGUUACAUUCAUAACAAAUUGAUACUUGUCUUUAUUAUAAAUUAUUCUUCUAUUCAAAUAUGCGUUCAUGUCUUCAAUCAAGUCCUCAUAUUCGCUCAAUUUAUGAUAAGAUCCUUGUAUGGGAGCAUAUCUGCAUAUGUAAUAAUUAUUCUUCUAUUUCAGAUAGUUUUUGUGAAAAAAAUACUUUUAUCAAUUAUUUAUGUUUACUAAUUCUUAAGUCUUUUUUUAUUACUUUUCAUAGCUCUAUACAAAUGUUUGCUAUAGAAUUUGUGUUAUUUCGCUAUAAUAUAAUUUAUAUUGUAAACCUCUAUUCAUCUGUAAAUAAAAUGACAAUUUUUUUGUUUACUCCUAAAAAAUAUGAAAAUAUCAAUUUACUCUCAUAUUUAUUUAGAAGACAAUGGCAAAUAAGGCGGCAUUGAUAAUUUUUUUAAUUUACUUAUUAAUUAAUUAGAGUAAAUUAAUAUUUUCAUAAUGAGAGAUACAUUGAAGAUUGUCAUUCUUAGUAGAGGAUAAAUUAAAGUUUACCUAAUUAAUUUAAAAUAUCAUUAAAAUUUAACAUUCUAAUCUGGAUUAGAUGGGGGGGGGGGGGGACGUCCUUAUUCGGAUUAGACUCAGCUGGAAGAGGCAUAUCCUUAGCUGGAUCAAUUUGUUCAAGAUUGGAUGCAUCCAUCGAUUUCAAAUUAAGAUCUUGGAAGUAUCAUUAAAUUUUUUUACAAAAAUUUAGAUUAUCAAUCCCAUCCAAAACUUAUUGAAAGGGACAUUUCCUUUCUAUAAAAUUGGGUUACUAUUACCCCCCCCCAUCUUAAAAAUUCUAAAAAAAAAUCAAGGGUUGGCAUAUUUUUUUUUUUGCAAAAGCAUAAGAAAAUAAUUCAAAAGACUAAUUAGGGCACUAUUACUCAAAAUUCUAGAAUAGAUUUGCUAGUUCUCUUUAGCCAUAGAUUGGUCCAUGAUUGGCACCGCAAUAGCUCAGAAUCACCUCAAUGAUUGUUCCACACAGCCAAACAUGACACACUGUAAACUAGUCUAAGAUGAACUUUUCUGAGUGGCUUUCUAACAAUAGUCUUAGAGAAAGUGUUUAGUAGUAUAAAGUAUUCUUUUUUUAACAUAAAUGUUGGCAUGAUAUUCUUAAUAUAUUUCUAAAAUCAAAAUAAGAUGCAUAGAGGACGAUAAUAAUUUUAUUUUAUAAUUGAAUUUUUUACAAAGAAAGUUUGAACAUGAGAGUGAUGAGAGAUGAGAAUAUUGAUGAUGGUGUGUACUUUAGAUGGAAAAAUAGAUUGGAAAUAUGGAUCAGGCUACGGUACCACAGUGGUACCGUGCCACAUCCUUUGUCUUUUAUGGCUCCAAUAUUGUAAAUUUUCAUAUAACCCCCUUUUAUUCGUUUUUAUUUAAACUUUAAUUCACAAAUAUUAAGUUAAUAUCUAUUACAUCCACAUAGACAUUUUAGUUAGCACCUUAUACUAUUUAUUAUUUACAAAUUCUUAUUAUAUAUUGCACUUAUAUCACAAUACCCCCUCUGUGAACCGAAAUGCCCAUGCCGAACCCACAACCCGACCCGGAUGCUAUUUCCAUUUCCGGCCACUUCACCGGCCAAGGUUGGUACCGAUCGGAAGAUCGUGCGAUGCCGGUCAUCUCCAUGCCAAUCUUGUCGCCGAAAAGCGUUCGGAAAGCUCCCGAUUGAAGCCGUGAAAAGCCGCGGAACCGCCGCUUCAAUUCGCCGCGAUUUCUCCGGUUUCCGGUGAUGCUAUCACUUGAGUUUUGCUCCCCACGAUCCCUCUGUAUUUUCCGACCAAUCACAGCCACCGGAGGGAGCCGAUUUGCCGUUGAUCGGUCAUUAAAGGAUUCACGGCUUUGGGAGCUCGAUCCGGCGCCAUCACCACGCGUGAGAGGUCACCACCACCACCGUUGGACUCAGCUCGGCCAAAAGUGUCUAACUCGAGUUUCCCGUCGCCGUCAGUUGAAAUCCGGUCACCGUUGGUCGGCAUGGGUAUUUCGGUAAUGUUUAUAUGGAUGCAGUUGAAAUUAAUUUAAUAUUUACAAAGUAAAGUUUAAAUAAAAAAGAGUGAAAGGGGUUAUAUGAUAAUUUGCCACAAAAGACAAAAGGAAGUGGCAUGGUGCCACUGUGGUACUGCAGGCUGAUCCUGGAAAUAUAUAUAGACAUAUUAAAAGAAAAAAAUUUGGUCUAUUUCAUAAGAGAAACAAAAAAUUAUAAACGCGGAUGUUAAAAUAUAUUCAGAGUUUAUAAAUUUUUAUAAAUAUGAUAAUCAUUAGACCCUUAUAAAAGUAUAGCAAAAAGUUUAAAUUUUUUUAAUAAAUGUCGAAGAGAUGGACGAAGAAAUCAUCCACUAGUUCAGAAUUAACAAUCAAAGAUAUGAGGACUUGAUUGAAGAAAUGGUGAAAAAUAAAAGGACACUGAGUUGGUUAGCGGGACCCUAAUAUUAAUGGUGAAAAAUAAAAGGUCACUGGGUUGGUUGGCAGAACCCUAAUAUUAAUGGUGAAAAAUAAAAGGACACUGGGUUGCUAUCAAUUUCUAUCGUGUAGGUUCAUAGCCGGGGAAGUAAUUGGGCACAAAUAUCUCGGAUGAGAAAUAACCAUUUUAUCCCGCAACCAUAUGUUUAUGGCCUAAAAAAUUUUCACCUCUUUCACUUCUGGAACCCGUGCUUUCUGGCACAUGCACAAUACUUGGUUGCUACUUAUAGAGCGUUUUUAGAAUUUCAACGACAUGGUGCUCUUUGAUAAUUAAAAAAAUCCAAUAUAAUUUAUAGAGAAUUACAUAGUUGUGUGGGGCCGAAAUUCUUAUACAUGUGAUUUAAGUUAUAUAUGUAUAAUUAAGUAAUUAGAAAAUACUAGUUGGGGGUAUUUGUAUCCAUGAAAAUUUACAGCUGGUUGUUGACAUUACACUGCGGGUGUGUAAGUGUAAUCAUGGAUCUGACCAUUCAAAUUAAAAAAUGGGGGUCCCGCUAACUUACGGAGUCAGUAAUUAUUACAUAUGCAGAUAUGGUCACAUACGAUAAUCUUAUGAUAAAUUUAAAGGAUACAAGGACUUGAUUGAAGAAAUGAACGAAUAUUUGAAUAAAAACAAAUUUUAGAAUAAAGACAAGUAUUAAUUUUCUAUGAAUGCAACUUACAUAAGCUGUAAGUUAGCGGGAUUAGACAUGUAUUCACCUAGUUGAAGUAAUGAAAGUCUUAUUUUCCUAACAAAAAAAAAGUUAGCGGGACACUAUUGAAUCACAAGCUUGUCUUCUUCUUGAUUCUGUAAUUUGGCUGUCAAAAUGCAAUAUAUAAAGAUUACGAUAUCUCAAUUCAAAAAAUGCUAUUUAUGAUGAAAUAAAUGAAAAUUGAACGUACAAUCUGCCACGAACACCCUUGAUUCAAAAAAAUAUUGUUUCAGAUUAAAUAAAUGAAAAUUAAACGUACAAUCUGCCACGAACACUAUUCAAUUAACCGUUUAUUUAUCAAUGGGCUUUUAAUUUAUAAGGAGAACCCUUGCGCUUAAAAUAAUAAGGGUUCGAGUCUCCAUAAAAAAAUUUAUACGAUAUAUUUAUAUAUUUUUUAAUUAUUAAAUAAUUGAGUAGAAUUAGUAUAUUCUUCACGAAAUAUGAGUAAAGUGGACAAUUUUCGAAUAUUUGAGAGGGUUUGAAGAAUUUGGGCAGUGCUUCAGAGGAGUACAUGCCACGAAAAAGGUUCCAAUUGUAAAAUCUGUUUAUAAAUAUUAAUUAUUAUACCUACAGUCAUGUAUAACAGUAUUAAAAAAAAAUUAACCGUUUAUUUCCCCUUAAAUUUUUAAUCUCAAUGAAACAUAGAUCUAAUGGGAACUACAUAUAUAUAAAAAUACUAUAGAUUGAAGAAGUUGAAUUUUUCUUGUGUGUUAAGUAUUUUUAGUUAAUACGAAAGGAUUCUAGCAAGUUAAUACAAAAAUAUCAUAAAUUCAUUGUAGUACAAGAGAUUUUUUUUCCUUUGAUGUUAAGAGUUUUGGAGAUAAAAAAAAAAAUAGGUGAAAGAAGAAGAUGAGAUAAGAAAAAAUAUUAAGAAUAGUUUUGGCAUUUUGAUGCGUUUUAUAGUGUAAAAUCUAUAUUUUAUAGUAUAAAAUGAUACAGCCAAAAUUUAAUGAUAAAAUUUUAGGAAAAAAUUACACUCGUCAAAAAAAAAAAAAAAGGCUCAGCUUAGCCCAAAAUUUUUUUAUUAAUCGUCUAGCCUUAAUCUCUUUUUUAUGAGAUUCUUUGGCGUUUUAAUUUAGUCCAUUGUUAGCGAUCCUAAUAACUUUUAUGUGCAUCUAUUUUUAAUUGAAAUAUGUUUCAAGCUUGAAUAAAAUCUGCGGGACAACUGGUAAGUAAUAAAGCUCAUAUUUUUUUUUUAUUUUGAAAAUAAAGGGAAUCACUUACACUUAGCAUGAUAUUAUUUUUGAUAAGUCAUUUUUUUGUAGAUUAUUUUUUCUGACACGCUCUUAGAUUUAGUGAAAAUAAAUUGUAUACUUUUAAUGAAGAAAAGUAAAGAUCAACAAAAUAUUUUGUUGUUGGAAAAUGCUACUUUCCCUGGGUCAAACCCCGAAACUCAUCCAAACGACGCCGUUUCAUCUUUUUUUUUCCUCUUUCAUCUUUUUUUUUCCUCUUUCAUUCUCCCUAAACGACGCCGUUUUGGCUAAGGCAAAACCAUUGCUCUCUCUUUCUCUUCCGUCUUCCCCUUCCUCUCACAGCCAUUGAAUGCCCAGCAAAUUCAUAUCUCACUGCCAAAUUCAGUGACAUACACUUAGUAGGUACAAUCGCAAAGCAUCUGAUUUUGUUCCUCUCAAUGUUCCCCAACUUGUCCAGAUUCUGAACCACAAUCAACACCAACAAUGCCACCACCCCUGCCCCCAAUGAAUGCCCAGCAAAUGUCAAAGUAUAAUUUGGGUUCCUGUCAACCAAGCCCCUUAAAAAUUCACAUUGGGCAUCGAAAACCCACCUUCCAGCCUUCAAUGACCCAUUGUGAACAUAUCCACCAUCAAACUUUGUCUGCCCAAGUUUGUUAUCCACAACCCAAUUUGGAUUGAUUAUAGAAGAGAAGAGAACGAGGAGACUAUGCAGGUAUCCUGUAUUUUAGUUUGAUGAAGGAAAAUGGAACGAGGCAAACGAAGGGGCAGCUGGGUUCUGAAGAGAAUGAAGAGAAGAGAACGAAGCAAUGGGUCUGUAGUUGGGUUAAAUGAAGAGAAGGAAGAAAUCAGAACAAAGAAAAAAAAAAAAAGCAAAACGAUGUCGUUUGAAGACGAAUCAAAACAAAAAAAAUAAGAGUUGAAAACGACGAACUAUGCUGCCGUUUCGGAGUUUGACCCGGGAUUUGACCCGGAACUCUUUGUUGUUUUCGACAACUUUUGCGUUGUCAAGUGCGCCUGAUACCCUUUUUUUUUUUUUUUUACUUUUGAGUUGUUGUUUAUUUUGUAUUAUAAUUAAUUAUCAUGGACUCACGUGUCAUUGUUUUCAUUUCAAGUUCAUAAUUUAACAGUAGAAAUGGGUUCCACAAAUAAUUUAUUUUAUAAUUUUUUAAAAAAUUACCAAAAUAUAAUAAAUAAGGUAAUAAUAAUUAAUAAAAAAGUAGAUUUUAAGAUGGAAAAAUCUUUUUGUGUACUUAAUAAAGAGAUGAUAAGAAUGGGAUGCUUUUGGUUUACAUUCUCAUAGCUAUUCAUACUGAAAAAUUACAUCAAAAUUUAAUUAAUAAAUCAGUGAACUGCAGACUUAUUAAAUUUAAGCUAUUUUACUUCUCAAAAAAAAAAUUUAAGCUAUUUUAAUAAGUCAUAAAUAUACUAAGUUAAAAUUGUAGUAAACCCAUUGUUACAGAAUACUCUCCAUUGAGUGUUCUCCAUAGACUAGCUUUUCAAAGGUUGAAGUGGGUAUACUUUUAGUAAAAAGACCUGCAAAAUUAUAGUGUACCUAUUUGACAUCAACUUUUUUUAUCUGGUUUCGUAUUAUCAAAUACCUUCCCUACCCAUUUGUAUUCCAUUUGAUAUUUUCUAAAUGGUUGAAGGUAAAUUAGUAAAAAUUCAUUUUAAAAAAAAAUCAAAGAAAUUCAAGAAGAAGUUUUGUAUCUGCCAUUUGUAUUUGGGGUAUCUUUUUUUGGUUGUUGAGAGAAUGAGCUUAAAUCUAAAAUAUUUAUUUUCUUAUUAUAUAUUUUUCGUUGGAAAGAAUUUAAAUCUUAUUCUUAUUAGAUUUAUUCUCUUUAAAAAAAGGUAGGUUUUUCUACAUGUAUUUAGCGUGUAUUUUAAAACUAUUGUUCAACAUAUCUUUAGAUUCUAUUAUAAAUAUUCAUAUCUAAAAUCUCAAUAAUUUCCAACAUAUAAAUAUAUAUAAAGGGAGAUAGUAACAUUCUAAUAAGAAAUUUCUUAAGUUAUCAAGUUAAAAAAUAAUUUAAAAGAUAAAAAAAUACACAUUCUAAUAUAUUAUAUAACAAAAUAUAUUGUAUCAGAAUAUAUAUUUUGCUUACUUUUUUAAUAUAUCCCAUAUUAACUUAACAAAUCCUUUAUUUAACUGAUUAUAUAUAUUAUAUAAUAUAUAUAUAAUAAUAAUAAUAUAUUAUAGUAGUUUUCUGAUAAAAAAUUUUAAAAUGUGAGAAAGUUUGGAAAAAUUUUAAAACCGUACGACUUUAAAAAUUUUAAGUUUGCUUUUAAAAUCAUAUGAUUUUAAAAUUUUAUUAUAUUUUUUUGUACUUUAGAAAUUUAGACUGAAAUAUAUAUAUAUAUAUAUAUAUAUAUAUAUAUAUAUAUAUAUAUAUAUAUAAUUUUUUAAAAAUAAACAAUUUAGAGUAAAACAAAGGACAUUCUCCGGGCCUUUUACCUGACUAGCAAUCAACCGUUUUGGAAUGCAAUAAAGUGAAAAUACUAGACUACCAGUCUACUAUUUUGGAUUGCAAUAAAGUUAAAAUGGGUUACAGCAAAGACGUUAGAAAAAGAAAAAAGUGACAAUCAAUCUUGCCGGCAACAUAUCAACUUUUUUGCUGGAUUAGUAUCACUGUCAAACACAAAUUAUUGCAAGCACUAGCAAAAAGCAAUCUAUGAUUUCGCAAUUUGGCUGUCAAAUUGAAUAACAAUAUGAAACAUAACUAGAAAUAUAAGCAAGACAGGAUUUCGAAAUCACCCAAAACUUUUUUAAUAGUUUGUUUUCUUCCAAUACCAACCACUUCAAACGUGGUAAUAGUUUGUUUUCUUCUCCUUCAGCGAUAAUAGCUUCCAAUUGAAAUACCACCUGUACUCCAAGAUCUCCAAUACGCAAAUAUUCCAAAUUUUUUAAUCCGUGCUUCAACAGUGCUGGAAUCGUGUCACUCAAAUGGGAACAAUUGUCCACAAAUAGAAUUUUUAAGUUCUGAGACAAAUAAAUAAAUAACUUGAUGCAAUUAAAAUCUAUUAGCAGCUAGGAUUAUCAGAUGAUAAGUGAUGAAAACCGCAAAAAACAAAAACAGAAAACAAAAUCCAUACAAAAAUAUCAUAAUACAUAUGUAAACUAAUAAAAUAAUUAAAAAGUAAUGGAUUUAAAAAAAAUUAAAUUAGUUAAAAGAGAUCAUAUGAAGUGAUACAAAUGUGACAGUAGAUUGUUUUAGAAAAAUUAUUAUUCUAUUAAUUUAUAUGGCUUGAUCAACUAUUUAAUUGAAUUUGAAUAAUAUUAUAUACACUUCAGAAGUAUUUGCAUCAAUUCUUUCUAAACCAAAAUGAGAUAUGACUUUCAUUUGAAGAAUGGUUUUAGGCCCUAGAAUAAAAAAAUUUCCCUAAGAUAUCUGAGCAUUAUUAUUAUCACCGCCACAUCCACCACCAUCAUCAUCUCUAUAGGAUCAAAAAAUUAAUGGCUGAUCAUAAAAUUUAUUGCUAAUCUAUCAUUUUGAGUAAAAUUGAAUGAAAAGAAAAAAACAUGAACCCAAACAAACAUACCUCUUCAAGAUACUGCAAAUUGGCUUCAAGUUCAGUACUGCUGACAGUCAAGUUGGGACAGUGCUUAAGGUAUAACUCUUCCAAUGCCGGCCAAGUUGAAUAAUAAUUUUCUGAACAGAAGCUGAUGAGUUCUUGGAGAUCAUAAAGUGUUAAUUUUCUCAAUAAAGGGAGCACAAGUAUUGUAUUUCCAUCUCCUACACUUAUUUCCCUUUCAUUAUGAUCAGAUUUUGCUUCGACGAUACAUUUCAGUCUCUCGCAUCCACUUACAUGGAGACUUUUAAGCUGCUCCAAACUUCUAGCUUGUGACAACGUGAAGAUAUAUGUCAACUUGUUGCACCUAUGCACAUUCAAUUCUAUAAGAGUUUGGAGACUGAUCACAUGUUGGGCCGGCGCCUUCCAUAUCCACUUCAGUUCUGGUAAGUCCCACAUAGAUAACUCUGCUAAUCUUGAGAGACUCUUUCCAUGCGGCGACUUAGAGGCUUCCAUUAUGCAUUCUAAAUCUUCGCAAUCACGGACAUCAAGACAAGUUAACUCAUUGAAGCCCCUUUCAUCUAUGCUUGGCACAAUAUUGUAACAACCUAUAAUCCCACUUAAAUAAAGAAUUUCCAGUUCUUGAUACAAUGCCGAAAAAAUACCGAGCGAGGUCGCUUCAGGAGGGUCGUUACCAAUCAUUAAGAUCCUUGCCUUAUCACCUUCUUCCAUUUCAUCAUCAACUCCUUCACCUUUACGGAUGAUGUAUCUUUGCAAUUUCGGGAAUGUAAAGUCUUUUGGAAGACAUACAACAGAUCCGUCGACUUGGGAGUUCAACUCAGCAAGCCUAGCAUUACUUUCUUCUGAACUCAUCCCUUCAACCUCCCAAUUUUUUAUCCGACCAUAAAAUUCUUCUAAUUGAGGAAAGUUUUUUAUCGUAAUAGGAGAAACAGAACUGGUAUCAAUAUAUAGAAGUUUCAAUCUACUAAGUUCAUCCCCCAAUUCUUCUGGAAUUUUAAUGGGAGACUUCUUGAGAAAAAGAAUUUGAAGCCUCUUCAACUUUCCAAGGAAAGACGCAUCACUCACCUUACAUCGAAUCAACUGCAGAACCUGGAGGUUGGUGAGGCUCUGAAGCGAUUUAAGUGAAAGAACUCCACCUAUUAUAGUGACAACUUUCAAUGCUGGCAUCCCUUUAAAAAAAUGUUCUGGCAUUUGCAAUUCGUAAUUAUAUACGGUGUUCUCCAAUCGCAGAAUAUGAAGCUUAGGGCAUAUCAAACUACUAGGAAGCUCUUCUUCUUUUUUAUCUACGACCAAAGACAUUCCCCUGCACUGUUCCAGGCCAUCUUCCAUCGCCCGUUCCACCAUUUCGAUGCCAGUUAUACUAAAAAAUCUCUCCUCUUCCUCUUCCUUCUUUUUGCUUAUCCAUAUGGCUACAUCACGGACUACGUCAUGCAUUUUCACAGAUCUGUCAUUGCCAGUGUCUAACAGCAAUGAAGAAGCUUUGACCUCUUUCAUCGUUCCACUCAGUAGGCUCCUGACUUUUUCAAUUGACUCAGCUCGAUACCAUCUCAACCCCACUGCAUAUGCAACCAAAUCAUCCAAAUAUAUCUCAUAAUCCUCUGGAAACAAAGAACACAACAAGAAGCACGACCUGGAAUCCUCACCAUUCAAAUAAUCGUAACUAAAUUUGAGACAAUGGUAAACGCCUUGGUCUUCCUUGCCAACACCUUCUAUUGUAUUGAGUUUUGCAUCUCGUAGUUUAUUUAGAGCUAGGUUCCACUCAUCAAAUCUUUUAUCUCUUAGUGCACUUCCAACAGCUUUAAUAGCUAAAGGAAGCCCCUUACAUUCAUCAGCAACUCGUUCUGAAACACCAAUCAAGGUUGAAUCAGCAACAUCAAUGCCGGCAUGCUUUCUUAGUAAAGCCAAUCCUUCUUCUGGCUUUAGAACACCUAAUUGAAUCCGCUUGUCACAACCCAUGCGAUCACAAACUGGCUGCAGGCGAGUGGUUAGAAGGAUUUUGCAACAAUUGUCUCCAUCACCAACAGGAAUACCCACUGUCUUCAAGUCAAGUUCAUUCCAGACAUCGUCAAGUAUUAUGAGUAUCUUGCUGCUUUUACUCUCAGAAAACAUCAAGCGCAAUCGGUCUGCUCUCUCUUUUUCAUCUUUCUCCAUUAAUUUCCAGCCUAACGAGUUUGCCAGCUCACCUUGAACCUUUAUUAUAUCUGGAUCCUGAGACACAGUGGCUAUCCCCACCUCAUCGAAAAUCUUUUCUUGCCGAAGUUGAUUGCCCACAAAGUUUGCCAAAGUCGUCUUUCCGACACCACCGACACCAUACAAUCCCACCAUCGUUGUGCUAUCUCUUUUUAGUGCUUCAAUAAUCUGAUUGCAAGUCGAUUCUGUAGUCCCGAAAGACAUAAAAUGUCUUGGCAUAUGCAAUUCUUUGUCUGAUGGUAGAGGUUUAGGACCGGCAACUGAGCUGAAUUUGCAACGAUGUUGUAGUUCGGACAACUUGCUACUCUUCUUUGAUGCUUUUCUACCCAGCCAGUAUCGCCAACCCCAAUUAGGACACCAUCCAUUAAGACAACUCUUCUUUUCAUCUAUCUUUGCUUUCAAAUUUCGAACGUCGGCCAUUUCUUUGUCUACAUCCUCAAGCCAUGUCUUGACACCUUCCUCGACUUCUAUAGCACGGUGUAUUUGUCGUUCUUGUUCUACUCUUUUAUUGAUGCCAUCUUGUGCCUCCUUCAAUUUGGUUUCUUUAACCUUAAGUUCUUUAUUUAUGCUGUUGAACAGAGCAGAUAACGAGCUUGGUUUAUGGUUGCAUCCACCAACAACUCUCCAAGCUUUGAUGCAACACCUGACAAAAUUUCCAUGCUAUUUAUCUGCAAUUAAUAAAGUUGAUCUCAGUAAGCUAUAAGCAAAACAAUGAGGCUUGAUCACAAGAUCGAACGAGAAAGUUUAAUUACCUUUUUCCUAUUCUGUGAAUGCACGUUUAUUGAUACUAGCUUUGACCAGUAAGAGCAAAAUGCAAACGCCGAACUUUAAGUGGCCAUUAGCUGCAAAACAGAAGAGAGGAAAUAAGGUAAUUUAUUAUUAUUAUUAUUACUUUUAAGGACGGAUAUAGGUUAGCUAGCUUGCAGACAAAUUUACUAAAAUCAAGACAAACCUAAGAGUUUUCCUAAUUUGUUCAAACAUGGAAUAAGCGUUUCACAACAGUAUAUCCAUAAAGGCCCCAGCGAACGUAAUAUGUGCUGGACUAUAUUGAAAUUAGAUUAUUUUAGAAAAUUUUAAAUAAAAAAUAUCAAACAACAAAGAAAUCUAAUAGAAUCUGGAUAAAUAGCAUGGGAGAAUAUGGUAAAAUUGAUCAACUUGGUUCAAAAAUUACAAUUCUUUUUUAGAUUUGAACCAACGAUUUUGACUAAGGUCUCCUAAGCCAUAAAGCAUAACUCUUCCUACUAAAUUACACGCAUUUUGUUACAUUUAAAUGUGGUCAUAUUCUUUUUAUUAUAUUUUUUUAGAAGGACUCAUGGUAUGCUUAAAAGAAAUAAUAAUGAUUUAGAUGGGGCUGAAGCCCACUCAUGAAAAAAUUUAAAGGUUUUCAAGAUAAUUACCGAUUUUUUUCCAUCCAAUAUUCUAAUAGAAUGGUGCCAGAAUUCUCAAAUAAUAUCUUAAUAUUAUUCAAUUAGUUGGCACCCACCUAUUGGAUGAUUAAUUUAAUAAUUUGUUAAAUUAUUUAAUACUCCAUCUCACUAUCUAAUGAUGUAAAUGGUGGAGAAGGAUCGUCUCCUAGACUUUUUUCUCUCACUAAUCUCUUAGUGAAAUAAGUGGCCGAAAUUGAAUUUUAAUUUUUGAUAUUGACAAUUAAAUUGGCUUGUUUCACAUUAUUAACAAUUAAGCCAACUUUUUUCUCAUUUUUUCAAUUAGAUUUGGAAGGCUAUAAGAGAGUAGGAGAGAAAAAACACUAGAAGGAGAUCUUAAUCCAUAAAUAGUACCUUAUUUGGGAUGGUAAAGAUUGAGAUAAAUUUCCUCUUAGUCUCUAAAGUUUUGGCCUAUGCCCAGCCAUAAUUUUAGUAUUUUUAAAAAGAAUGAGAUUAGUUACAUUCUAAAAUUUAUUUUAAAUACUCUUUUACUCAACACACUCAUUCAAUAAAUAAAUUUAAAAAAUAAUUUUUACUUUACACACUAUUUCAAUUGUCAAAACUAUCCUUCAUUAGGACCAUUUCAUUAACUAAUUAUUUUCUAUUGACACCCAUAAAAUAUUCAUCAUUCUUGAACCAUGUGGCGUUAAUUAAUGAUUCCGAAGCAUUAUCAAGAUUCAAGAUUUAUGUUGAAAUUCUUUCAUCUGACAUUUGAACCCAGCCACUAGCUAUAUACAUAUAUACUUUCAAAUGCAGCUCUGGGAAUAUUUUGUGACUGAUUUUAUAAAGUGUUUUAGUUACAUUAAUGCAAUGAAACAAUAAAGAGUACGCGGCUUGCUGAUUUCCAAAUCAAGUUGCGGGGAAAAACAGAGCAUUUUUCUUUUAUAAUGGAUUAGAUUAGACGAUGAAGGAAAAAUUAUUAGCGAUUAUUAGUACUUUUGUGUGUGUUAAGAGUAAUGAUAUUAUUUUAAAUUAUAUUAAUGCCUUUGGUAGUGAAUUCAAUUAGGGUUAUUUUAGUAAUAUAGAUUUUCAUUAAAAUUAAAGUGUCCAAAUUAUAAUUUAGAUUUUUCAAAUGUAAAAUAAUAUUUUUUUAUCUGAUAUAAAUUAAAAUUCAAACAAAUGUAUAAUGCAACAAAUGAAAAGUAAAGAAUAUUAAUUAGGUUUUAAUAGAAACAAAUAUAAAUAGAUGUUUUGAGCAGUUAAUUUUUGUUAUUUUAUGCUAUUGGUAGUUUGUGGAUUAAAUAAUUUGUAUAAGGAUAAAUGGGGGUUUGUAUAAUUUAUACGAAGAUAAUCUCCAAAAUAAGCUUAUAUGUCGAAUUUAAAAGUGUUAUAUAAGUAGUAAUAGUAUAUGCAUCAAUAUUUUUAAUAAAAUUUAUUUAGAAAUUGGCCAAUUGGGUUUUAUGAAGAAAAUAGACGGGCAAGUAAUUAUGUAACAAGUAAUUUGUAGGUUGUGGUACUUCUCCAUACUUCAAAUCACUUUUAUCUAAUCAAUUGAUAAAUAUUUUUUGGGCACCAACAAAAUGAAAAGAAAAAGUUAAAAAUAAUUCUGAAAUUAAAAACGUUAGGUACUGCCUAUAAGCUAUACAAUUUUACCUUUUCUUCUAUCACAAUUAGUAUUAGAAAUAAAAAUAGUUUCGAAAUAAAUGUAAUUAGGAGGUAAUAUUAUCUCAACAAUACCUUAUAGGGAAAAAGACAUCUACAUCCUAAAGUUUGGAGAAAUGGUCUUAAAGACCCUAGGUUUUCAGAAAGGGAUAUCAAGACCCUUUUUUUUAACCGUAAUACCCUUUAAAUCUAGUAAUUAGAAAAUUGACUUUAAGAUUUUUUAAUUGACAAAUUUAAUAUAAAUAAUAUAAUCUAUCUAGUAGAUUAAUAAUAUUAACAAUAAAAAUAAUAUUAAAAUUUAAAUUCUUAUAUUUAUUUUAAUAAUAUAUUUUUAUUUAUUAUAAAGAUUUUAAAUAAAUCUUUGGGUUAAAUUGGUUUUCUAGUUAACAAAAUAUACCCCUAUUAAUAAUAUUGAAAUUACUUUCUACAUAAUAUUUAAAAUAAUUAUAAUUUAUUUAUUUCAAUAUUAUGUUUCUAUUUAUUUUUAAAAAUUACUUUAUUAGAGUAAAUUUUUAUUAAUUGAAGCUUUAAAAUCAAUUUUCUAAUUACUAAAUUAAAAGGGUAUUAUGGUCAAAAGGGGUCUUUCCUUUUUGAGUAUUUUGGAGUAUAGGUGUCCUUUUCCCUACUUCAUAUAAAGAUAUUCCAUAAGGUCUUAUAAUAACUUAUAUUAUAUGAAUUUAAUUAAAAUAUCAUUAAUACUUAAAUAAUAAUAAUUAUAGAAGACAUUGUAAAAAUUAUUUGAUAUAUAUUAUUAAUGAUACUAUAUAUAUGUGUAUAUAACUACAUGAUGGCUUGGAUAUAUAUUGUUAGUGUUAAUAAAUUUUUUUAAAAAAAUUUAAACUAUUGAUUUCAUGUAAUUCAAUGGUGGAUGAUUUAAAAUCAUAAAAUAUUGUUUUGACUUUCAAUAUCAACCGUUAGACUGUGAGAAAUUAAUUGCUCAAUAUUUUGUGUUAAAGUUUUAAAUUAAAAUAUCCCAAACCAUUUGUUUUACUUAAAAUACAAAAAAUAUAUAAAGAAAAUUUCUCAUUAAUUUUCAUAUUUUUAUUAGAGGUAAUAUUUUAUGUAUCGUCACCAUUAAUUGCCAUCAUUAAAGUAGUGACUCUUAGUAAUAUAAAAUUUUAUAAUUAGUUAAUUGCAAUCAAAGGAUAUCAAUAAAUAUUUCAUAAUUCAUAAAUUAAAGCUAAUUAAGAAUAUAUGAUAGUUUUAACUUUUAUGAAAUCAACUAAGUGAUAUUAGAAAAUAAAAUGAAAAUAAACUAGUGAAACUUAAAUUUUAUAAGGUUUGAAUAAUUUUCUACCAUGUAAGAAUAUUAAUUGUGACAUAAACCAUAGUUUCAUGGUAUACGUAUGCCGAAUGGGGUAACAAAUAAUAUAUACUUCACGAUCAUGAUAGUAUAUAAAGUAGUGGAUAUUUUAAUAUAUAACAUAAAAUUCUUUUAAGACAUAGGUGGUCAAUUAUAUAUAUUUUAGGACAUAGACAAUCUCAAUCAAGAGUUUAUUGAUGUGAAUAGAUGGCAUUCACUUAAAUGUAUGCACUUAAUUGUGUUGUUUAUUGGUAUUAGAUAUUCACUUAAAUGUAUAUACUUAAUUGUGUUGUUUAUUGGUAUUACACGUAACAAAAUUUUAUAUUAAAUUUUAAAGUUUUAUAUUGUUGUUUCUAUUGAAUUUAUAAAUACAAUAAAAUUAUGGCCAUCAACAAUCACAACCAACUGCCACAACAAUUAGAUUCUCAUAUCCGUUGACGACAAUUUUUUAUACUAUUGGAACUCCAAUCUUUGAAGCUACACAAUAGUUAAAAGUACCGACAUCAAUAGAACUUCCGUUCAUUGUAGAUCUAUAGUCAAAGUUUCGAAUCUUAAAAAUUUGACAGCAGAUUUAUGUCAUAUGAAAGCUUGUUACUAGUAAUUCUUAUACAAUUAUGUUGUUAUAGUUAUAAGGAUUCUAAUGGUACUAAAAUGCACUCCAUUAGACAUAAAGAUCCGACGACUAGUGGCGACAAUAACUAUCAUUAGUGACUUGGAGGUAAUUGCCGUUAAUAAAUUAUUUUUAACAUAAUAAUUAAUACAAACAAAUAAAAAAGUAAUUUAAGGAAAAUUAAUGUAAUAAAUAAUUGAAUUAAAAAAAAUAAAACCUAAAUUCUCGACCAUUUAUCCGUAUGUUUCGAAUCCAACGUUCAAAAUUGGAAUAAAACAUAGUAUAGCCAUUGGAAGUAAAACAAACAUUAAAGAGACUGGGAAAAAAUAUCUCAUACCUUCUAUAAUGAUACAUCCUCAAUCACUGCAGAAAGCUCCAAUUAAAAAGUCGCACAAGUUCGGAGAAAAUUACCUAACAACACAAAUAAACAUCAAAUCAAAGCAACAUAGGAUCCAGCUAACUAACAUCAUAAGUAAGUCCUUGUUCUCAGUCAAAUCUUGCAUUCUUAGGAUAAAAAAAAAAAAAAUUGAAAGAAUAACGGUAACUGGAAAGUUUGACGACAUAAAGAUCUAGCUAAAUUUUAAGAAGCAAAAGUAAAUAAUGAAAGCUCAAUAAAAGAUCAUCAGCAUUAACAUACCGAAAUGAGAGCAGCUCACAGAACUGGUAAUUUCCAAGAACAGGAAAAAUAAGUGAGCUGAUAUUGAGGACAACUAAAGUAGUCAUGGAGUAAUUUGCUAUUGAGGACACCUAAAAUAAGAAAAUUAAUUAACAUUGCUCUAUACACCAUUUCAAUAAUUUGACUAUUAAAAAAAAAUCCUAUCUAGAUCACGAUUUCUCAAAAUGAUGCUUUUUCUAAUUAAAUAAAUCAAAAUGCUUGCUUCUUUCUUUUUCAGAAAAGAAAAAGUGGCAAUGGCAUCAAUUUUUUGCUAGAUUAUUAUCACCAAAAGCACAAGCAAGAAAUAAGAAUACUCUCUGAAACCAACCAUGUAAAGAGUAGAAGUAAGUGGUCAAUUGUAAAUUAGUCUUUCUUUUUUCUUUGUUAUUUUUUCAUUUUUUGAAUGUGAACUAAAUAAAUUUAAGGGUGAAGCUAUUACACCUUGAAAACUAUAACUGAACACCCAUUUUUUUUAAUUAAAUUUUUAUUACUAAAAUAACCAUGGAGUAAUUUGCUACUAAGGAAAACUAGAAUAAUAAAAUGAAUAAUGAUUGCUCUAUACACCCUUUUCUAAGUCUAUCGUCUUCUUAAUUUCAUAAUUUGGCUGUCAAAAAGUAAUCUAUCUAGAUCACGAUUUCUCAAAAUGAUGCUUUUUCUAUCUAAAUAAAUGAAAAUGCUUGUUUCUUUCUUUCUCGAAAAGAAAAAGUGGCAAUGGCAUCAAUUUUUGCUUGCAAGCACAGCGAGGAAUCAGUAUACUCUCGGAAACUAACCAUAUUAAGAGUAGAAAUAUUUAUUGGGUUAUCACGAAGUAAGUUAGAAAUCAAUUAUAAAUGGUCUUUUUUUUAUUUUUUAAUGUGAACUAUAUAAAUUUAAGGUGAGGUUAUUUACACUUUGAAAAACAUUCUGAAAACCAUUAUUUCAUUAAAUUUUUUAUUACUAAAGGUCCGUUUGCUGCCCCAAACGCUCUCUAAAAUAGCCAUGGAGUAAUUUCUUACUGAGGAAAACUAGAAUAAUAAAAUCAAUUAUCAUUCUUCCAUGAACCCGUUUCUAGAUGUAUCUUCUUCUUGAUUUGGUAACUUGGCUGUCAAAAAGAAACCUAUCUAGAUCACGAUUCCUCAAAAUGAUGCUUUUUCGGAUGAAAUAAAUGAAAUUGAACCUACAAUCUGUCACAAACACGUUAUAAUGAGCCUAAUGAAAAGCAGUAUGAGAAAUUUUGCUUCCAUGUUGUUUCUUCCAUAUGUAAAGGUAGUAAAAAGAAAUUUAAGUCCUAGAAACAAAUGGAUGAAGAAUUAUCAAUAAUUAAAAAUUAAAAAAAAAAAACAGAGUUAUAAAAGAAUCACAGUUCCACCAAAAAUUAAGAGUUAUUUUAUUUGGUGGUUUCCUAUCCCGAAAGCAUUACUUGUAAAUAUGUGCUAACAAGUAAUAAUUAAGAAAGUUAAGGCCAAUCAUUUAGAAGGGAGAAAAAUGGAAACAUCCGGAAUAUUGUUAUGUGUUUUCAGUGCGUAUCUACCAAUCAAUAAUGAAAAAUUAAAUACGCAUGUUACGAAAAUUUAAUAAAGAGAACUGGAGGUGACAAAAUUUUUAUUAUUCUAUCUUUCUCUCCUCUGAAACUUCCUUAAUUUGGUUGGGAAGUGCUUUGUCUUAGGCAGCGGAUCUGUUAUAAAUACCCUAUCCUAAAGUUAAUAUUUUGAUUGAAGAAAAAAAUAGAGGACAAAAUUUUUAUUAAAGUAUAACAGAAUUUGGUAAAUUUAGAAUUGAGGAGAGAAAAUGAGUCUAAAUUCGAAAAUUUUGGCACUAUUUACAUAUCAUUAUUUGGGCAAAAAUUCAUUUCUCUGCUUUCAUAUGAUUUGGUCUUUCAUUGUUACGGUGCCAAUUUUUUAUUUGAAGAUGUAAGAUAGUGGUACUAUAGCUUAGAUUUUCCGUAAUUACUAUAUGGUAAGUACAAAAUAAAAUACCAGUUUAAAAUAUAAAAAUGAAAAACUAUUUUUAUAACCAAUAUUCAAUUAAAUACACUUGAAACUCUAUUUUUUCUUAAUAAAAAAAAUUCUAAUUUAUUUUCUCAAUUUAUCUAAACAACUUUACCUAAUCAAGCUAAAUCUACAUAUUACCCUAAACCUUAAUUCAUAAACACCCAAUCAAUCCAAUUGUUAAAUCCGAUUUCAUAAUUAAAAAAGCUAAAUUCUAUUUUAUUAUUUAUGGUGCAAAGUAAAAAAUGCCCUUGAAGUUAAGGGUAAAAUUGAUAUUUUAUUUAAAUUUUGUUAAUAUUCUAAUAAUGUUAAUGUCUUAGUGGUUAAUAAAAUCACAAAGUCAAACUUUUGUAGUAUUUUUUAUAAUAAGGUAAAGAUAUAUGUUUGAUAAUUUUCUUACGUCUUUUUACGUUAAAUUGAGUCUCAAGGGAAAAAUGGUUAAUUUGCUACAAUUCUGUCAGUUUUCUGAUGGAAGAUAAUUUUGAAACAUAGAAUGAAAGAAUAAGUCAAAACUAGAAUCAAACGUAGAAUUUUGAAAUCCAUACGAACUCUAACGUAUUAGAAUGAAAGAAUAAGGACGAUCGAUAAACUAGACUCAAACAAAAACAUGCCCAGUUAAAAAACGAAGGUAAAUAAAUAAAAAUGGUAUAAAAUUGCGAACAAAAUUAAUGAAAUGAAGAGAAAAUCACAGGAAUUCUAUGAAGAGGAAGGUAAACGAAACCUUCGGGAGCUGAGAAGAUGCCUUUUUUGUUGAUGUUUGUGCCUAUACAUACAUUUUUUUUUUAAUUUUGAAGAAAGUAUUGGUUAACAGAACGAACUAUUAAUAAUAGAUGCUGACAAUUUCAACAAGGACAAUCUUCGAUUCAAAUGUACCCCUAUGAUAAAGAAAAAGCCAGCUUGGCUAAAUUUUGAGCUCCACAUUACAAGAUCUAGGUGUAUGUUUAACUAUGCAAAAUGAAACAUCUAUUAAUUGUAAGUCCCUUGACCUCUGGAACCAGACAACUAGUCUCUUUCCUACUAGACAACCUUCCAUCGAUCAGACUAAUAAUAUUUACUAAAUCAUGUUCUACAGUUAAUGAUGGUUGUCGAAGCCAACAAAAAUAAAUUCCUACUCUAAAUAAAUUGUGUGUCGUGAUUGAGCAGGGUCGUGUUCACAGAGAUCGGUAAUUAUUUAAAUCCUUUUAAAAUGCAAAACAUAAAAUGGGGGAAUUGUUGACAAUAAUAAAAAUCAAAUUAAAAUAACAAGAAUGCAAAUUAAAGUUGUAAUUCAAAUUGGAGAAAGCUCUGGUUGAAGGAAUUAACUCAGCUUGAUUCGACUACUGAUCAUUGAUUCAAAUAUAGAUUAUUAUUACUUAUGAAUAGACCGGUUAUAGCUAUUGAGACCCUCUAAUAGCCAAUCUCUCCUUAACUAGUCGAUAACCAAGGUACGACCGUUGGAUAUUUCCCUAAUCAAUAGACAACCCUAGAUACGAUCAUAGGAUUUAAUCAAUUGACAGCCUGAAAAAUCAGAGAGACCCAAAUCCUAAUCAACACAUAUGAUGAUUCAUUUAAAUUAGAUUGUUUAUUCUCAUAACACAACUCACUGCUGUGUUAUUUGUCACAAACAUUAAAAUCUUCAUACGAUGAAUCCUUUAAUUGACAAUAGUUUAAGUUGAUAAUUAAAUAGUGGCCAAUUACCUAAUUAACAAACAUAAUCAUGAAACUAAUUCAGAGAAUAAACAAAUACCCAAAAAGUAAUAAAACAAUUAAAGCAUAAGAAAGAUCUCACAGUAGUAAUGAAUCAAAGCUUCAUUAACCUUCAAUCAGAAAAAUAAGUUUAGUUCUUCAUAGAGAGAAAAGAAAAAUUAGAUCUAGGGUUUCUUUCUUUUUCUCCAAUCCAAAAUCCCCUCUUUUCACAAUAGAUUCCUCCCUUAAAUACUCUCUCUCUUCUCUUUUAGAGUUCUAUUUAAAAUAAAAUACUAAUAUCUGAAAUAUUAAAUUCGUAAUUACAAAAAUAACCAAAAAUACAAAACACGUUAAACUAAAAACUGCAGGUCCGCAGUUGACAACACGCGCCCACGCCUUAUCAACAAAGUUCUUCUGACGCUCAUAAUUUUUCCAAGAGAACAAUCAUCUUUAAACAUCAUCUUAUAGCUCAAUUUUAUCACCAAUCAAUAGAAUUGCACCUACAAAAGUAAAACACAAGUAAAUCACUAUUAUUAAGUGCAAAACAUCCAUAUUAAGGGAAGUAAACAAUGCAAAACUAAUGUAUAAAUUGCACUCUAACAGUUAAUGAAGUUGGACCCAAGGCAAUGUCACAGGCCACUCAAAUUUCCCGUAAUUGGAGGAUAAUUAUGUGCACAUGAGUUUGCUUAGCAAAAAUCCGUCUAGGCGUGGAGUGCGCUUAAAAGCGGGAUGCACUUAGAAGUGGGAUGCGCUUAGCAAAUCAUCGAAGCCCGACCCAAGAUCUAGAACUCUCUGCAAAUUAUAAAUAAGCUAAAAGUUUCUAUGUUUCUCCACAUAGUUCCCUAGGAUAUUUAUGGAAGUUGCUAGGAAGUUUCCUCCCCAAGAACUCUAAUACCUAUAAAUAGGGGUGGGCCCCCUCAUUUGCCCAUCAACCACACCACACACACAAACACUUCAGCACACACACAAGCUCUCUAGAUUUUGUAAAAAGCUCUCUUGUAUAUUCUCUCUUUGAGAGUAAUAAAAUCAUAUUCAGCCAUAUUGCUCUACUUCUCUCUAGCAUUUUCCGCAAGUGUUCUUGCUUCGCUAGUUUGAGGAGUGGUCUAGGCUUGCUUAGCAACUUGUUUGCUACAAGGACAUCUUGGUCACAAAACAUGGACAUGCAAGGAAAAAAAAAUAUUGAUACAUUCUAAAAAUAAUACGCAUUCUUCUACAGUGAACCAAAAAAUUUAGGCUAAUGGUAGCAAGUGAAGGAGUUGUGAUUUCACGUGCAUUUUGUUGACAUGAACCUAAAGAACUUUUUUAUAGUUUAUAUUGUUUAAUAUAACAUUUGAAUUGCAAAAUAUGGGUACAAAAUGGAUACAUGAAGUGAUAAAACUAAGCUGAUUCUGAUAAAGAUUGAAUUAUAAGAUUUACGUUUAAUCAUAAAGACAUAAGUGGCGCACAAAGUCACGAAUUAUCAUCCAUGAUGCCAUAAACAUUAAAAUUGAGGUGCAUGUAAUGGUUUUCGACUAUCGGUGUAUAUCAAGAGGUCAAUUGAAAGCACAUGGAGAUAAGAGGUCAAUUGAAAGCACAUGGAGAUAAGUUAAAUUUUUAGAAUUCAUUGUCUCUAGAAUAUCUAUACAUACUAUAUUCUUUAGUUUUGCUUCAAUUGUUGAAAUUCCCGUGAUAAACAUGAACAACAACGGGAUUCCGAAAAUCGAAAUCAACACAAGGUCUGUAACAUUCUUUAUGUUCCACACGCUUCGAUGGCAGCAGCCACCAGCCAAUAACAAAUGAGGAUCAGCAAAAUUUCGGAGCGGCUACCAGAUUAUUAAAUAAGUUUUUGCUGUUAAUUAAGGAAUUAAUUGAACAACGUUAAAUUAUGGAGAAAAUCUUUCGUGAUGCAAGCACAUGCUUUUGCCCUCCAAAUCAAACACUCACCAUUGUAGGCCCCAAUGUCGUCUUUAUAGAUUUUCCAUCUUUAUGAUAUGUGCUCUUCUUAUCAGGAAAAAAAAAAAAAUUUCCAGCCGCAAACAUCGCCGAAAUUUCACAUUAUUAAAUCUAAAUUCAUUCAUUUCUUGACAAGGCAUAUCUCCUGCCUCUUCAACUUGCUUCUUGCAUCUAGCCAGCUAUAUAUCAACAAAAUUUACGCCUCGAAUCCGUUCCUAUUAACUACAAAUCCAAAAUAAUAAUAAUAAUAGUAAUAAAAAAAAAUCUUGAAGUAAGAGAGCGUAAAUACUAUUUUAAACAAUGUAAUCCAAUGUUAUUCUCUUAAGAACAUGAUGAAUAUUUGUUAGCACGGACAAUUUUUUUUUAAUGAUUAUGUUGAUGUUUCCUAAAACAUUGAGGGGCAGCUUGAAAUUAACCUUUUCGAAUACCCUAAACCCUCAACUCAAACCAGGUCCAGUUGUGUGCUUUGUUCCCUCCAUCAGUCUUAAUUUUUAUUUAAGUGGUACUGUACCACUGUUGCAACAUAGCUGAAUCCAUUAUAAACACCUGAAGUCAAAGUUAAUGUUUUAAUUGUUAAGAAAAGUUAGAAGAAGAAAUUUUUUUAUAAGAGAAUUGGGUUUAAAUUUAGAAUUCUUUGGAGGAAAUGAGUCUAAAUUCCAAUAAUAUAAUUCAGCACUAUUUAUAUAUACCAUUAGUUGGGUGAAAAUUUAAUUUCUCUCCUUUGAUGUGAUUUUCAUCAUUUAUUUUUAUAUGAUGGUAAUUUUUUGUUUAGAGUGAAGUUAUUGGCACCCUUUCAUUAUCCUUAUAAAAUCCUACUUCAAAUAAAAUUACACUUAAAGACAAUAGAAUUAAAUAACAUAGUUUUUUUUUCAAACAAAUUACUCACAUUCAUAAUUUUUUUUCUUCUAAUUUUCUGCAGGUUGCUUUGUAUCUAACUAAAAUAAAUUGUAUAAAUUUAGAAUAAUCUAUUAUUCUUUUUAAAUUCCUUAUUGAUUAAAUAUUUGUGUGCUUAAGAUAGCUUUAAAAUUAUAAGAUAAAAUAUAUAUAAUUUAAGCCAAUGAUUAACAUUAAAAUACUUAUCUCUCAUAAAAGUUUUUAAUUUGUGCAUAGGAUAAUAAUAAAAUUGCAAAAGAAAUGAAAAAUAGCAUAGCACUAUUUUGAGUUUAAACAAUAAAAAAUUAAAUGAAAAAUUAGAAGUGUAUUUAAAAAAAGGUUAUUUUUGAAAAUAAAAUAAAUAUAAUUAAAAAAAAAAGAGUUUCAUGAGGGGUGCAAUAGUUCAACUCUUUUGUUUAUAAGUUUUAAGAUGUUGGUAUCCGUAGCUUAGCUUUUCCCUAAUUAUUAUAUUAAAAUGUAACAACAAUGAUGAUCAACCCUAAUUUCAUGGAGGUCAAAGAUUUUGGUCAUGCCGCAUGAAUUAGUUGGUGGGAAACACUUUAUAUAAAUUUAUUUACAUUCAAUAAUUUGACUAAGACUGGGUAAGGUGCUGCCUGGAGUCAUAGAAUUUUUUAUGUCAAAAGCGCGUUUCACUUCAAUUAAGCCAUAAAUGUUGUUUAAUAUGCUCAUUUUGUAUUUUUUUUUUAAAAAAGUUUUAUUAAUUUUUUUGUUUUUAAAAAUAUCAUUUAUUUAUUUUUUUUAAUUUUUUUAAAGGUAAAGAAGUGGGUAAAGUUCAAAUUUAAUUUUUAUUCCUUACGUCAUGACCCCUAAGAUUUGAACUUAGGUGACCAAAUGUAUAAUAAUAGGCAUCUCAAAUUUCAUUUCUAAUGAUAUGCAAUUUAUUAAGAGAUUGUUAAUCUUUACAAGAUUCGAGUGAAUUAAUUGUAUUAUUUCACUAUUAAUUGAUGAGUAUCAUAUUAUUUGGAAUAACUUUUGAAUAAAAAAAUUGUGAUGGAUGAAAUAUUCUUUUGAGAAUUUAUUGACUUAUCUCAUUUAAGUGAUAUUGCAAAUAAUAUUAUUGUUUUGACGAGUAAGUUUGGAGUAAAUAUUACAUAUGGCAAGUGUGAGGUUUGUUAUUGCAUAUAUUUUGUGGAUCCAUUUUAAAGCCAAAAAAAAGGCAUUUUGAUUCAUUAUGAUUCUAGAUAAUUUCAAGCCAUAUGUCAUUAUUGGGAUAAAAAUAAAGUAAAAUGGUUAAAACUAUUUUUAUGUAAUUUAUAAAAAUUAAUGAAGCAACUACAAAAUUUUUUAACACAAAAAAAAAUUGAAAUGUGUGUGGAAAAAGAAGAAAAAAAAUAAGGCAUUUAAAUAUCUUCUUAAAAAAUACGAUUGAGUAAAAUCAUUUUAACAGAAUGCUCUUCCAAAUACAAUUCCACAUUUUUUUUAUUGCAGUGGGAUAUUCCAAAAUUGGCACAACUCAUUAAGAAUUCGGCAACUCAAAUUUUAUUUAUCUCUCUAUGCAUUUGACAAAUUAAAAAGAAAAAAAUCCAUAUAUUUUCUGUUCAAAAGAAACCUUGGUAAAUAUUGUAAAACAAAUUACCAAUUUUUUUUUUUAAUAUAUGCCAUUAUAUCGUCGCUAUUUUCUCGCCCACUUUCUUAAAAUAGAAUCAAUAUUUAUUGAUAGGUUGGGUUCCAAAGUAAGCACCAAUUCAGCAAAAUGGUUUUAUAGCAGAAAAAGCACUUGUAAGACAUUAUAUGAGUGUGUAAUUUGUAUAUAUAUCCCCAUUAAUUGUUGAUAGUCCAAUGGGUAUAUGCAAAAGGAAAAAAUUGGCUUUCCUUUUAAGACAAAAUUGACUGUCACAUGAAAAUGUUUGUAUAUAUAUCCCCAUUAAUUGUUGAUAGUCCAAUGGGUAUAUGCAAAAGGAAAAAAUUUGUAUAUAUAUCCCCACACACACAAAGCUCUCUAGCUUUUGUAAAAAACUCUCUUGUAUAUUUUCUCUUUGUGAGUAAUAAAAUCAUAUUCAGCCAUAUUGCUCUACUUCUCUAUAGCAUUUUCUGCAAGUGUUCUUACUUCGCUAGUUUGAGGAGUGUUCUAGGCUUGCUUAACAACUUGUUCGCUAUAAGGACAUCUUAGUCACAAAACAUGGACAUGCAAGAAAAAAUUAAUAUUGAUACAUGCGUUCUAAAAAUAAUACGCGUUCUUCUACAGUGAACCAAAAAAUUUAGGCUAAUGGUAGCAAGUGAAGGAAUUGUGAUUUCACGUGCAUUUUGUUGACGUGAACGUAAAGGACUUUUUUUUAUAGUUUAUAUUGUUUAAUAUAACAUUUGAAUUGCAAAAUAGGGGUACAAAAUAGAUACACGAAGUGAUAAAACUAAGUUGAUUAUAAUAAAUAUUGAAUUAUAAGAUUUAGGUUUAAUCAGAAAGACAUAAGUGGCGCACAAAGUCACGAAUUGAUAUGAUCCACGAUGCAAGUUCAAACAACUGCAUAAUAAGUUGCCCUAAGCUAAACUAUUAAUCUAGUAACUAUUCUAGUUGAUGUGGGAUAAUUUUCCUAUCAUCAUCUAUCACGUGCAAGCCGAAUUUGUUGCUUGGUCCUUACAUGUGGUAAGGUAAUAUGAAUCCACUUGUGCAUAAAUUUGGCUCCGAUAUUAUAUAGAAGCCUAUGAUCCAAAAUUAUACUUAAAGGUUAUUUCAAGAUUUGAGGGUUGCCUCAAGCUAAUAUUAUUAUUAGCCUGGUAACCUUUUUUUUGUUUGUUGAUAUGUGAUAUUUUCCCUAUAACUUUUAUUAAUCUUUAUGCUUAUGUUUUGUCAUUUAUCCCAAAAUAUAACAUUAACAAAAGUUCCAAAAUUUCCUUCAAGAGAUAUAUUUGAGACAAGUAAUUUGUGCAAUAACUUUGUGAAUUGAUGAGCAAAUUCAGAGAAAAGAAUAUAUGUGCCAAACGUAACGUUUAUUAUUGUGUUUAUUUGUAGAGCUAUUUAAAGCCCAAAAAAAAAGCACUGAUCCGCUAUUAUUUCAAAUAAGUUCAAGCCCUAUGUCAUUAUUCGUACAAAAAUGUAUUAGAAUGGUUAAAAGCUAUUUUUAUUUAACUUAUAAACUUAGGAAAUUAUCAACUGUCCGCCCUUAAAUUGCAUUGUUAUAAAAAAUAUUAUAACAUUUUCAGGUUGUAUCAUUCAUCUACUAUAAAUUUACAAUCUGCAUCAUUUAUCCACCAAAUCAUUAACUUCGUUAAAAAGUGAUAGACAUCACAAGGGUAAUUUAGACAUUUAACACACAAAAAAAAUAAAAGAGAAAUUAUCUAAGCUUACCAUGUUAUCAAAAUUGCUACAAAAUUUUAAAUUUGUUCAAUUUUCCAUUCUAAGUUUAGACCUCCAAGAUGUUAAUUGCAGUUUGUAAUUAAUGAGUUCAUAAGGAUAAUUUAGACACUCAAUAUGCAAAAUAAAACAUAAAAUAAUGGCUUAAAACAUUAAAACAAAAAACUACUUUUUAUAAUUGAUAUUCAAUUAAAUACAUAUAAACUCUAUUUUUUUCUUAAUUAAAAAUAUUCUAAUUUAUUUUCUCAAUUUAUCAUCAUAAAUUUACAUUAAUAAACUAAAUCCACAAAUUACCCUAAACCCUAAUUCAUAAAUGCCCAAUCAAUCUAAUAGUUUAAUUCGAUUUCAUAAUUAAAAAAGCUAAAUUUAUUAUAUUAGUUAUGGUGCAAAGUAAAAAAUGCCCUUAAAUUCAAGGGUAAAAUAACAUUUUAUUUAAAUUCUAUAAAUUAUUCUAACAAUGUUAACAUUUUGGUGGACUGUUAAUAUAAGUUACAAACUUAAAAUAGAAAAUCAAAUAAAUUCAAAAUUUCAAACUAUUUAGGGCAAAUUUAGGACAUAUGGUUAAUAAUUUUCCCAUGUCUUUUUACAUUGGUUGGUAUAAGUUACAAACUUAAAAUAGAAAAUCAAAUAAAUUUAUAUUUUCAAACUAUUUAGGGCAAACUUAGGGUAUAUGGUUAAUAAUUUUCCUUUAUCUUUUACGUUAAAUUGAGUUUCAAAGGUAAAAUGGUUAAUUUAUUAUAAUUCUGUUAAUUUUUUAGUGGAAGCAAACGAUAUAAUGGAUGAAUGAUAUAAAUUGUAAAAUUAAGGUGCAUGAAUGAUACAACUUUAAAGUAUUGUAGUAAUUUUAAUAAUAGAACAAUUUAAGGGUGGAUUGGCAAUAAUUUAAACUUUAAGCAACCAAAAAAAUUUUUUUAACAAAAGAAAAAUAAUUGAAAUGCUUUAAGAAAAAUAAAGGAAUUAAAUAUCUUUAUAAAAACAUAAUUGAGUAAAAUCAUUUUACAAAAUGCUCUUUCAAAUGCACGUUCCACAAGCCAGGGAGAACGGGUGGCUAACAAAAAUCUCACUUUUUAUGAGUUUAUAAAAUCUCACUUUCGCAGAAUCAAAAAAUAAACAUUAUUGCUGUCACGACAUUACGCACUUUCUUUGCCAUCUAGAAAGGUAGAACAUUUUGAAGUUCCUCAAUACAAAAUGCGUGCUACUACUAAAUUGGCCCAAUUAAUGCCAUCGAAAAGGCCAUCAAUUUAGCCAUCAAUUUUGUCAAAAUUUCAACAAUUAAAGAAACAAUUAAAUCUUGAGAUACAUACAACAAAGCCUUGAAACUUUAUUCUUCACAAUUUUAGCUCCUUGCGCGAACUGAACAAGUUGAACGAAGCUUUUUUUUUUUUUUUGGAUUUUUGGAAUUUUUUAAAAUCAUUUAUGUUCGCUACCAUCUUUUUCUUCGCUGGCGUCUUCAUUGGCAUCUCCUCGUCUGUAGUUUGCUGUGCCUAUACAUCCAACCAAUAAAUUGGGCAUUAAAUACGAAUGAUGAAUAAAAUGAUAAAAAAAAAAACAAACAGAGAAAACUAUAAUAUAACACAUAUAUAUAUAUUGAAAGAGAAAUUUUGAUUUUAGGAUAGAUCAAUUAGCUAUCACAAACGAAAACAUGAACCAACUAUGUAUAGAGUCAAUUAACUAAAGUUCUCAAGAGUUGACCUGUGCUCCAGAAUUCUUGGACUCAUCUAUCUCCUUCUGAAUUUCCACGAAGCUUGGGACAAUUAAGAACAUCUUCAUUGGAUGCAGAUGGAAAUGGGAUCUGAUAACCCGCAGGCCAAAAAUUGGUGAGGUUUGGUAAACCAAACAAUUUCAAGUCCCGAAGUUCAUUCAUAACAAUUUCAUUGUAAUCCGUGACGUCUGCUCCAUCUUUAUGCCAGAAUACUUCUUCUAAUUCAUCAUUAGCUAUUAUCCAUAGGUACUUCAGUUUUUGAAGACUUGGAGCUACGCUGAUAUGAAAUAGAUGCUUUAGUUUGGGGCAAUAACCGACAGAGAUAACUGUGAGUUUUGGGAAACAAACAGGUUGGAGAUGAUCCUCAUCCUCAUCCUCAUCAAUGAUUUGCUCUAAUUCCAAGCAAUCUUGAAUUUCCAGCUUCUCCAAUUGCAACAGAUUUCGAGCAAGUGUUGAUGAGAAAAGACGUCUCAGCAUAUUGCACCCGUCCACUCUUAAAUAGGUAAGACUUUGCAGGCUAAAAUUAUGCGUGGGACCUACAGGUUGGAGAUGAUCCUCAUCCUCAUCCUCAUCAAUGAUUUGCUCUAGUUCCAAGCAAUCAUGAAUUUCCAACUCCUCCAAUUGCAACAGAUUUCGAGCAAGUGUUGAUGAGAAGAGACGUCUCAGCAUAGUGCAACCGUCCACUCUUAAAUAGGUAAGACUUUGCAGGCUAAAAUUAUGCGUGGGACCUACGUGAUAUAAUAAUACUUGCAGUUCUCGAAGAUCGCGCAAGCUCAAUCCCUUCAAACAUGGGAAUAGUUUAUUUUCUUGUCCCUCAGCGAUAAUAGCUUCCAAUUGAAAUACCACUUGUACUCUAAGUUGUCUAAUACGCAAAUAUUCCAAAUUUUUUAAUCCAUGCUUCAACAGUGCUGGAAUCGUGUCACUCAAAUGGGAACAACUUUCCACAUUUAGAAUUCUUAAUUUCUGAGCCAAAUAAAUAAAUAACUUGAUGCAAUUAAAAUCUAUUAGCAGCUAGGAUUAUCACAUGAUAAGUGAUGAACACCGCAAAAAACAAAAACAGAAAACAAAAUCCAAACAAAAAUAUCAUAAUACAUAUGUAAACUAAUAAAAUAAUUAAAAAGUAAUGGAUUUUAAAAAAAAUGAAAUUAGUUAAAAGAGAUCAUGUGAAGUGAUAUAAAUGUGACAUUAGAUUGUUUUAGAAAAAUUAUUAUUCUAUUAAUUUAUAUAGCUUGAUCAACUAUUUAAUUGAAUUUGAAUAAUAUUAUAUACACUUCAGAAGUAUUUACAUCAAUUCUUUCUAAACCAAAAUGAGAUAUGACUUUCAUUUGAAGAAUGGUUUUAGGCCCUAUAAUAAAGAAAUUUCCCUAAGAUAUCUGAGCAUUAUUAUUAUCAUUACCACAUCCACCACCACCAUCAUCAUCUCCAUAGGAUCAAAUAAUUAAUGGCUGAUCAUAAAAUUUAUUGCUAAACUACCAUUUUCAGUAAAAUUAAAGGAAAAGAGAAAAAAACAUAAAUACAAAUAAACAUACCUUUUCAAGAUACUGCAAAUUAGCUUCAAGUUCAGUACUGUUGACGGUCAAGUUGGGACAAUAAUGAAGCCGUAACUCUUCCAAUGCUGGCCAAAUUGAACAAUAAUUUUCUGAACAGAAGCUGGUGAGUUCUGGGAGAUCAUCAAGUGUUAAUUUUCUCAAUAAAGGGAGGGCGAGCAUCGUAUUUCCAUCUCCGACACUUAUUUCCCCUUCAUUAUGAUCAAACUUUGCUUCGACAAUAUAUUCCAGUCUCUCGCAUCCACUUACAUAGAGACUUUUAAGCUGCUCCAAACUUCUAGCUUGUGACAACGUGAAGAUAUAUGUCAACUUGUUGCAGCUAUGCACAUUCAAUUUUGUAAGAGUUUGGAGACUGAUCACAUGUUGGGCGGGCGCCUUCCAUAUCCACUUCAGUUCUGGUAAGUCCCACAUAGAUAACUCUGCUAAUCUUGAGAGACUCUUUCCAUGCGGCGACUUAGAGGCUUCCAUUAUGCAUUCUAAAUCUUCGCAAUCGUGGACAUCAAGACAAGUCAACUCAUUUAAGCCCCUUUCAUCUAUGCUUGGCACAAUAUUAUGACAACCUAUUAACCCCCUCAAACAAAGAAAUUCCAGAUUUUGAUACAAUGCUGAAAAAAUAACGAGCGAGGUCGCUUCAGGAGGGUCAUUCUCAAUGAUUAAUCUCCUUGUCUCAUCACCAUCUUCCAUUACAUCAUCAACUCCUUCACCUUUACGGAUGAUGUAUCUUUGCAAUUUCGGAAAUGUAAAGUCUUUUGGAAGACAUACAACAGAUCUGUCGGCUUGGGAGUUCAACUCAGCAAGCCUAGCAUUACUUUCUUCUGAACUCAUCCCCUCAACCUCCCAAUUUUUUAUCCGACCAUAAAAUUCUUCUAAUUUUUUUAUCGUAAUGGGAGAAACAGAACCAGUAUCAAUAUAUAGAAGUUUCAAUCUACGAAGUUCAUCCGACAAAUCUUCAGGAAUUUCAAUGGGAGAAUCCUCGAGAUAAAGAAGUUCAAGUCUCUUCAACUCUCCAAGAAAAGAAGCGUCACUCACAUCACACCGAAUCAACUGCAGAACUCGGAGGUUAUUGUCUAGGAAUCGAAGUGAUUUUAGUGAAAGGACUCCAUUUAUUAUAGUAACAACUUUCAAUGCUGGCAUCCCUUCAAAAAAAUUUUCUGGAACUUGCAAUUUGUAGUCACAUAGAGUGUUGUCCAGUCGCAAAAUAUGAAGGUUAGGGCAUAUAAAACUACUAGGAAGCUCUUCUUCUUUAUUUCCCAUUACAGAGAUUCCUCUGCACUGUUCCAGGCCUUUUUCCACCGCCUGUUCCAGCAAUCCGAUGCCAUUUAUACUAAACAAUCUCUCCUCCUUCUCCUUCUUCUCUGUGCUUAUCCAUAUGGCUACAUCACGAACUAUGUCAUGCAUUUUCACAGAUCUGUCAUUACCAGUGUCUAACAGCAGUGAAGCAGCUUUGAGUCCUUCAAUUGUUCCACGCAGUAGGCUUCUGGCGUGCUCUAUUGAUUCAGCUUGAUACCAAGUCAACCCCACUACAUAUCCAACCAAAUCCUCCAAAUUAAUCUCAUAAUCUUCUGGAAACAUCGAACACAACAAGAAGCAUAACUUGGAAUCCUCACCAUUCAAAUUGUCGUAACUAAAUUUAAGACAACCAUAAACAUCUCGCUCAUCCUUAUCAAUCCCUUCGAUUGCAUAGAGUUUUGCUUCCCUUAGGUUAUGUAGAGCUAGAUUCCAUUCAUCAAAUCCUUUUCCUCUUAGUGCACUUCCAACAGCUUCAAUAGCUAAAGGCAGCCCGUUACAUUCUCCAGCAACUUCUUUGGAAACAUCAUUCAGGGUGGAGUCAUUUACAUCAAUGCCGGCAUUUUUUCGCAGUAAAGCCAAUCCUUCUUCUGGCGUUAGUGUACCCAGUGGAAUCUGCGAGUCACAACGCAUGCGUUCACAAACUGACUGCAGGCGAGUGGUUAGAAGGAUUUUGCAGCGAUUGUCUCUAUCACCAAUGGGAAUACCUAAUUUUUCCUUCAAGUUGAGUUCAUUCCAGACAUCAUCGAGGAUUAUGAGGAUCUUGGUGCUUUUGCUCGCAGAAAACAUCGAGCGCAGUUGGUCUGCUCCAUCUUUUUCAUCUUUCUGCUUUAAUUCCCAACCUAAUGAAUUUACCAGCUCAUUUUGAACAUUUAUUAUGUUUGGAUGCUGAGAUACAGUGGCUAGCCCCACCUUAUCGAAAAUCUUUUGUUGCCGAAGUUGACUGCCCACAAAUUUUGCCAAGGUCGUCUUUCCUACACCACCGAGGCCAUGCAAUCCCACCUUCUUUGUGCUCUCUUUUUUCAGCGCGUCAAUGAUCAGAUUGUAAGCUGAUUCUGUGGUCUUGUAAGUAGAAGAAAAAUAACUUGGUAAACUUAAUUCUCUUUCUAAUGGUGGAGGUUUAGCAAGGGCAGCUGUGUUGAUUUGGCUGUAGUAUUGUAGCAGAUCAAACAACUUCCUAGUCUUCUCUAAUGUUUUUCCGCCCAGACUAUAUCGGCAACACCAAUCAGGACACAAUCCAUGAAGACUACUAUCCUUUUCAUCUAUCUCUUCUUUCAACUUUCGAAUAUCGCCCAAUUCCCUGUCUACAUUCUUCAGCCACUCCGUUACAUUUUGAUCGACUACUAUGUCGGGGCGUUUUUGUCGUUGAUCUUCUAUUCUUUUAUUGAUGUCAUCUAGUGCCUUCUUCAACUUAGUUUUUUCAUCCUCAAGCUUUCUCACAAUGCAGUCGAAACAGAAUAGAUAGGAAGCUUGUUCUUCAAUUACAUUAGCCAAACAUUUUCCAAUCCGUUCUAAAAGUGGCUUUAGAAGUUCUUUUAAAAUAUCCAUGCUAUUUAUCUGCAAAUAAAAAAGUUGAUCUCAGUACGCUAUAAGCAAAACAACGAGGCUUGAUCACAAGAUCGAAGGAGGACGGUUAAUUACCUUUUUCUUUUCUAUGAUGCACGUCUAUUAACACCGGCUUUGAUCAAUAAGAGCAAAAUGCAAACGCUGGGCUUCAAGAGUUUUAGUGGCCUUUAGCUGCAAAAUAGAAGAUGACAAAUAAGGUAAAACGUUCCCAGCAAACGUGAUAUAUGGCGGACUUAAAAUGAUACCUUAUUUGCAUGAUAUGCAUGGGGUAGCUCACCCCCGCCUAGUGCCUUUGUCAAAAAAAAAAAAUGAUACCUUAUUUGGGAUGAUAAAGAUUGGGGUAAAUUUUCUUUUAUUCUUAAAAUUUUAAACUUAUUAUCAAUUAUAGUAUUUAUAUUUUUAUAAAUUAAAAAUCAAACAAAUCUGUCAUGCAACAAACAAAAAUAAUGUAAUAAAUUAUUAAAUGGUUAAUUUUAUUGAUAAAUUAUUAAAUUACAAGUAAUGAAAAUUUAAUCUCAAGAGUUAGUAGAAGAUCAUAGAUAAUACAUAAAAAAAAUAAAUUUUAAGUAAAUCAUAAUAAAAAAAUAAUUAUUCAAUCAAUUAAUAUUAGGUGUAAAUAAAAAAAAUGACAUAAACAAAAGUGUCAUAAAUCGACAACUUUUUUCUUUAAUCUUAUCCCAACUAAACCCAUGUGUAAAUUAGGAUUAUUAAUCUCAUGAUUUUAAGAUUAAACUCAAAUUUAGUCCCCCUUAAUUCAAUUAAACUAAACUUGCCAAACAUGGGAUAAAUAUUUAAUUCCAAAAUUAGUCCAAUCUCAUGCUUAGGACCAGUCCAGGAAUGUUGUACCUUUUAAAAUAAUUAUUAUUAACUGUGUGGUAGAAAUAAUCAACUGUGAAGAGAAUCAAAUAAAUGUUUGGUAAAUUUUAUUUUUAGAAGUACGGUGAGUUUUGAAAUCAGUUAUGAGAAUUUGUUAAAUUUUAUUAUUAAACUACUGAGAGAAAUCAAAUGACUAAAAUGUACAUUAUGUAGGAUAAAAUUUACUUAUACAUAUAAAAAUAUGUAUAUAUAAUAUUUUUAAUUUUGUACUUUAAUAAUUUUUACUAAAAAUAAAAUUUAUAAUAUAUUUGUUUUAUUUCUUUAUUUCUUUAUCUUAAAACAAUUGAUAAUUAAAUUUAUAAUAUGGUGAAACAAAUUUAAUAAUAAUUCGACCAACAAAUUGAUAUUAAUAAAUUUAUAUUGAUAAAUUAUAAUAAAAAUUUAUUAAAACAUUGAUUUUGUUUCCAAUUUGAAUAAAGAUAAUUUUGGGUUUAGAUAAUAAUUUUAAGGAUAUUUAUAGAAUUGUAUUAAAGAAUAAAAUUGAUUUUCAAAAUCAGAAUCUAAAAAUUACUUCUUCUCUACUUUUUAAAAUCAGUUAUGUGAGAAGUUAAUUUUGACAAAAUUUAUUUCAAUUAUUUCCACCAAACACUAAAAUUAAUUUUUAAAUUUUCAAAAUCACUUUUAAACCUCUAAAAAAACAAUUCCAAAUGGGCGCUUAAUCCUGGCAUCCAAAAUCCGUCUAAAAAGUUGCACUAAAAACAAGCUCGUAUAGCCAUUGGAAGUAAAACAAACAUCAAAUUAAGAGCCUAUGAAACAAUAAUAUCUCAUACCUUCUUCCGUUUAUAUCUUCAAUUACUGCUGAAAGCUCUAGCUAGAGAGUCGCACAAGCUCGGAGAAAAUUAAAAGCUGCAUCUAGCAAUAUAAAUAAACAUCAGAUCAAACCAACAUAGGAUAUAUCAAGCUAAUUAACAUCAUAUAUAACUCAUUGUUCUCAGUCAAAUCUUUCAUUCUUAGGAGAUAAAAAAAAGAUUGAAAUAAUAACUGCAAGUGAUAUAGGAAGCAACAGUAACAUACCAAAACGAGAGCAGCUAGCUCACAGAUCUGGUGACUUCCAAGACAAUGAGAAAUGAAUGAGGUUUAAUAGCAAGAUCCGAAUCAUGUAUCACAAAUUGCUAUUGACUUCGUGGCUUCACUUUUCUUUGUUUUUUUUCGUUUUUUUAAAUUCUAUAUCAGUGAGAAUUGAAAUGUGGAAAGUGGAAUGAUACACAUGCCUUAUCAUCUAUCAUGAGGGGUGAUUUGGUAAAACCGAUUUAAAAUAAAAAAGUUUAAAAAAAUUUAAAAAGAUGCUUUGUGUCUGACUGCUUGUAUUUGGGGUAUUUUUCGGGUUGUUGAGAGUGAGUUUAAUUAAAUAUAAGAUUUUCAUUUUUCUUAUUAUAUUUUUCUCUUUAGAAUGAAUUUAAAUCUCAUUCUUAUUAAAUUCAUUUUUUUUAAAUGAAAGUAGAUUUCUCUCCACACAUUUGAGAUAUAUUUUAAAAUUAAUGUUCAGUAUAUCUCUAAAUUAUAUUAUAAAUAUUUUUAUUCAAAAUCUUAACAAAUUUCAUAACACACAAAAAGAAAUACAUAUAUAUGUUGUAAUGUUUUAAUGAUGGAUCUCUAAAGUUAUCAAGUUAAAAAAUAAAUUAAAAAAUAAAAGAUACACACUUCAACUUAUUAUAUGAUAAAAUAUAAUAAAUUAAAGUGAGUAUUAUAUUUAUUUUUUAUUUUAUUUCUUAACUUAAUAACCUAAAAUAUAUUUAUUUAAUAAUGAUGAUAUAUAUAUAUAUAUAUUAUUUUUAAAAAAAUAAACAACUUAAGUGAAGCAAAGGACAUUUUAGAGGCAUUGCAAGACUACCAAUUUACCAUUUUGGGUUGCAAUAAAGUGAAAACUGUAGACUACCAAUCUACUGUUUUGGAUUGCAAUAAAGUGAAAAUAAGGUUAAUUUCAAAAAAGAAAAGGUGACAGUGAGUUGUCAAUUUCAUCCUUGUCGGCCAAUAAUACAUCAACCUUUUGCUGAAUUAUUAUGACCGACAAAAACAAAUUAUUGAAUCGGGUCCCGCUGACCUAAUGUAAAGUUACAUUCAUAACAAAUUAAUACUUGUCUUUAUUAUAAAUUGUUCUUUUAUUCAAAUAUGCAUUCAUUUCUUCAAUCAAGUCCUCAUAUUCGUUCAAUUUAUGAUAAGAUCCUUGUAUGGGAGCAUAUCUGCAUAUGUAAUAAUUAUUCUUCUAUUUCAGACAGUUUUUGUGAAAAAAAUACUUUUAUCAAUUAUUUAUGUUUACUAAUUCUUAUGUCUUUUUUUUAUUACUUUUCAUAGCUCUAUACAAAUGUUUGCUAUAAAUUUUGUGUUAUUUCGUUAUAAUAUAAUUUAUAUUGUAAACCUCUGUUCAUCUGUAAAUAAAAUGACAAUUUUUUUGUUUACUCCUAAAAAAUAUGAAAAUAUUAAUUUACUCUCAUAUUUAUUUAGAAGACAAUGGCAAAUAAGAUCGCAUUGAUAAAUUUUUUUAUUUACUUAUUAAUUAAUUAGAGUAAAUUAAUAUUUUCACAAUGAAAGAUACAUUGAAGAUUGUCAUUCUUAGUAGAGGGUAAAUUAAAAUUUACCUAAUUAAUUUAAAAUAUCAUUAAAAUUUUACAUUCUAAUCUGGAUUAGAUUAAAUGGGGGGGGGGGGGGGGGGAUGUCCUUAUUUGGAUUAGACUCAACUGGAAGAGGCAUAUCCUUAGCUGGAUCAAUUUGUUCAAGAUUGGAUGCAUCCAUCGGUUUCAAAUUAGUCUCUUGUAAGUAUAAUCGGAUUUCUUGACUAAAAUUUAGAUUAUCAAUCACAUCUAAAACUUAUUGAAUGGUACAUUUUAUUUCUAUAAAAUUGAGUUACUAUUAUCACCUCACAUCUUAUAAAUUCUAGAAAAUAAUCAAGGCUUGACAUACUUUUAUUUAUGCAAAAGCAUAAGAAAAUAAUUCAAAGUACUAAUUAGUGUACUAUUCCUCAAAAUUCUAGAAUAGAUUUGCUAGUUCUCUUUAGCCAUAGAUUGGUCCAUGAUUGGCACCGCAAUAGCUCAGAAUCACCUCAACGAUUGUUCAUGACACACUGUAAACUAAUCUAACAAGAACUUUAUGAGUGGCUUUCUAGCAAUAGUCUUAGAGAAAGCAUUUAGUAGUAUGAAGUCUUCUUUUUUUAACACAAAUGUUGGCAUGAUAUUCUUAAUAUAUUUGUAAAAUCACAAUAAAAUGCAUAGAGGAUGAUAAUUUUAUUUCAUAAUUGAAUUUUUUACAAAGAAAGUUUGAACAUGAGAGUGAUGAGAGGUGAGAAUAUUGAUGAUGGUGUGUACUUUAGAUGGAAAAAUAGAUUGAAAAUAUAUAUAGACAUAUUAAAAGAAAAAAAAUUUGGUCUAUUUCUUAAGAGAAACAAAAAAUUAUAAACGCGGGUGUUAAAAUGUAUUCAGAAUUUAUAAAUUUUUAAAAAUAAAAGGACACUGGGUUGCUAUCAAUUUCGACCGUGUAGGUUCAUAGCCGGGGAAGUAAUUGGGCACAAAUAUCUCGGAUGAGAAAUAACCAUUUUAUCCCGCAACCAUAUGUUUAUGGCCUCUAAAAAUUUUCACCUCUUUCACUUCUGGAACCCGUGCUACUUAAUUAUAGAGCGUUUUUAGAAUUGCAACGACAUGGUGCUCUUUGAUAAUUCAAAAAUCCAAUAUAAUUUAUAGAGAAUUACAGAAUUGUUUGGUGCGUGAUAAUUUGCUGAUGCAAUGAGGCGCCGAAAUUCUUAUACAUGUGAUUUAAGUUAUAUAUGUAUAGUUAAGUACUUAGCAAGCACUAGUUGGGGGUAUUUGUGUCCAUGGAAAUUUACAGCUGGUUGUUGGCAUUACACUGCGGGUGUGUAAUUAUUACAGAUGCAGAUAUUCUCCCAUGCGAGGAUCUUAUCAUAAAUUUAAAGGAUACGAGGACUUGAUUGAAGAAAUGAACGAAUAUUUGAAUAAAAAAAAAUUUUAGAAUAAAGACAAGUAUUAAUUUACUAUGAAUGCAACUUACAUAAGUUAGCGGGACACUAUUGAAUCACACGCAAAAAACAAUCUGUCUUCUUCUUGAUUUCGUAAUUUAGCUGUCAAAAUGUAAUCUAUAAAGAUUACGAUACCUCGAUUCAAAAAAUGAUGUAUCUGAUGAAAUAAAUGAAAAUUGAAUCUGCCACGAACACUAUUCAAUUAACCGUUUAUUUCCCCUUAAAUUUUUAAUUUCAAUGAAACAUAGAUCUAAUAGGAACUACAUAUAUAUAAAAAUACUAUAGAUUGAAGAAGUUGAAUUUUUCUUGUGUGUUAAGUAUUUUUAGUUAAUACGAAAGGAUUCUAGCAAGUUAAUACAAAAGUAUCAUAAAUUCAUAGUAGUACAAGAGAUUUUUUUUUCUUUUGAUAUUAAGAGUUUUCGAGAUAAAAAAAAAAAGGUGAAAGAAGAAGAUGAGAGAAGAAAAAAUAUUAAGAAUAGUUUUGACAUUUUGAUGCGCUUUAUAGAAUAAAAUCUAUAUUUUAUAGUAUAAAAUGGUACACCCAGAAUUUAAUGAUAAAAUUUUAAGAAAAAAUUGCACUCGUCAGAAAAAAAAUAAAGGCUCAGCUUAGCCCAAAAUUUUUUUAUUAAUUGUCUAGUCGCUAAUGUAAUCUCUUUUUAAUGAGAUUCUUUGGUGUUUUAAUUUAGUCCAUUGUUAGCAAUCUAAUAGUUUUUAUGUGAAAUAUGUUUCAAGCUUGAAUAAAAUCUGCGGGACAACUGGUAAGUAAUAAAGCUCAUCAUUUUUUAUUUUAAUUUUGAAAAUAAAAGGGAAUCACUUACACUUAGCAUGAUAUUAUUUUUGAUAAGUCAUUUUUUUGGUAGAUUAUUUUUUCUGACACGCUCUUAGAUUUAGUGAAAAUAAAUUGUAUACUUUUAAUGAAGAAAAGUAAAGAUCAACCAAAUAUUUUGUUGUUUUCGACAACUUUUGCGUUGUCAACUGCGCCGGGUACCUUUUUUUUUUUUUAAACUUUUGAGUUGUUGUUUAAUUUGUAUUAUAAUUAAGGAAAAAUAUCCACCGUUCACUUGAUUUUGUCUAUUUUUUUAAAAAUACACAAAUUUUAAUUUUUUUAGCUACACUCUAUCUGAACUUAUAAUUUUUUUUACAUUUCCACCUCCGCCUGUAAACCGUCAAUAAAACUAACGGAAUUUUAUCCAAAUUACUCUUUAACCCCAAAAAUAAAAAAUUACAUAUUUAUCCUAAAUAAACUUUAAAAUAUUAGCUUUGUGAGUAUUGUAGCCCUAAAUAAAGACUAAAAAUCUUUAAAUCCUUUCAAAAAUUUUAUUUUUUAAACAAAUAUUAUAAAAUCUCGCAAUCUCGCAACACAAAAGGACCCCACAUUUUCUCGGGAACCAAACAGGAACAGACGGAAGAAAGCGAACCUGCCAGAGAACGAUAGGAUUGGAAGUCCGCCUGGCGGGCUCUUUGGCCUCAAGCUCAAUCGGCGGCGGAAGAAUCGGACGCGUGGCGUCCGGAAACCUAGCCAAGCUCGGCUUCACACUCCUAGCAUUACCGUCAUCGGCUUCACUAACCGUUGACGUUUUGGCAGUCCCUUUAGAAACAACAGUUUCUUCUGCUUUCUUAGGUUGCUGAUUAAAGAAGAAAGGGCGAUUGAGUUGGAAUUUCGGCAACAGCGAGAGUAUGCUUUUGUUUUCUUGUUUUCUGGGACUGGAAGCAAUUUUUGUGUUUUCCGCCAUGACUACGGUCAAUCACUUUCAGAGUAGAAGAUUUUGGCUUUGCCUUUGCUUUUUCUUUCUUUUUUUUUAUUUUUUUAAAAGCAAGUUUUGAAGCGGCGGAGAAAGCAGUGUGGACUGUGGCGUCUUCAUAAUUAUUAAUUAUAUAAUUUUGUUUACAAAAACAAAUAAAAAUAAUUUAAGUCUAUUUUUGCCUACAUUAAAUUAUAUAUAUAACCCUUAAUAAUAAAAUUUUUAUUUGUAUAAAAUAUUAGUUUAUUACUGUUAGCAGGUGUGGAGGGCGUUUCUUUCAUGCAUGUGAUAUGUAAAAACAACAAUAAAAAUUCAGAAAAAAAGAGUUUAUUAUUUAUUGGUCCUCAGUCAUGCAUAAAGAACUAAAAUUAAUUAAUUGAUAAAGAAGAUUAAUCACCAAGUAGCGGGCAGCAGGAUUCUGCUCAGAAUCUUCAACCUCGAGCUUCAUCGGCGGCGGAGCAAUCGGCUUAGGAUCCGAAAAUUUCACCAUCUCUCGUUUCUUGCUUGCUUCUGCAGCUUCUCUUUCUUCACCUUCACUUUUAUUUCUCUCUUGCUUAUUAUUAAAUAUUGGAGCAGAAAAUAAUAAGUUUGUAAAGUGUGCGAACAGGUUUUUGGGUUCUUUUGAGUCUUUAUUUUCGCUCUCAAUUUGUGUGUCUUGUGCAGCCAUGAAUGCGAAUGUGGUGAGUAGAGACCAGAGAAUAAUUAAGCUUUGAGCUUCGAGUUUAUCAAAGCUUUUGUUUGGGUUCUUGAAACUGAAAUAACUUUUUUUUUUGCUUAUUACAGAUCUUAAACGACGUCGUUUUUUAAGCCCAAGUGAAAUUAUCAUUUUAGCCUUAUGACGUCAGCAACGUCUUGACGGUUUGCAGACGGAGGUGGAAAUGUGAAAAAAAUUAUAAGUUCAGGUGGAGCGCAGCUAAAAAAAUUAGGAUUUGUGUAUUUUUGAAAAAGUUGUCAAAAUCAGGUGGACGGUGGAUAUUUUUCCUUUUUUUAAUUAUGUCCUAUCUAUGAACUAAUUAAAUAGAAAAAUUAAUAUAAAAAUAAUUUUACUGCCGAUCAAAUUCAAAAUUAAAUAACAUUUAAAUAAAUUAAUUUUCUAAAUAAAGUUAAAAAUAAAUUCAAAAUUUCAAAAUAUAAUACACUAAAAAGAAAAAAAAUAUCAUUUGUUUAGAUCAAUAUAUAAAAAAUAACUACUUAGAAAGCUAUAUUUUUUAUUUAAUUACUUUAUUUUAUAUUAUUAUUGGAUAAACUAUAAUAAUGGUGUUAAUGUAACUAUAUUUUAACUUAUUUAUUUAUUAAUAAGUAUAAUGCCAUAUUUACAAGUUUAAUUUUUUAUUAAAUAAAUAAAUAUAUUUUUUUUACAGAUUCGCAGAAUUUUACGAAUUUAUAAAAGUAAAUUCAUAUCCAAUUCAUCAACUGUAGAUUUUUAAUUUUAAUCUAAUGUAAUCCAUCAAUCUAUAAAUUAGAUUUUUAUGCAUCAAAUUUCUACGAAUUAGCGGAUUGCGCGGAUUAAAUUAAAAUUUGAACACCUCCAACAUGAAGUUGCUGGCAGCUGCCUGCAAACUCUGAAUUAUUUCAAAACAACUUCCAGCCGCUGAUUGUACAAAGCAUCAAAUCCAGUGGUCUAUAUUUUUUUAAAAAUAUUUUAUUACAUGCGAUCUUUUAAUAGAUCCAGUGCAUGGCAGUCGUAGCCUUUGUUGUGGGUUUCCGACCACUUUUGCCUUGUAAGUGCACCUGGCCGACAUUUUUUGUUGUUUUAUUUGUAUGAUAAUUAUCAUGGACCUGCGUGCCUUUUUUUUUUUUUCAUUUAAAAUUUCUUAAUAAUUUAAGUAAGACAAAGAAAUGGGUCUCACAUAUAAUUGAUUGUAUAAUUUUUCAAACAAUAUUAUUUUAAUACCUGAGCGUUUUUUGUUGUUGUUUUAUUUGUAUGAUAAUUACAUGGACCUACGUGCCUUUCUUUUGCUUUUAAAAUCUCAUAAUAAUUAAAACAAGACAAAAAAAUCGGUCUCACACAUAAUUUAUUUAAAAAAUUUUUCAAACUAUACUAUUUUAAUACGUAGGUGACUUUUUUGUUGUUGUUUUAUUUAUACAAUAAUUACAUGGAUCUACGUAAGGAUGAAAAUUGCGCCUGCAAACUCACAAAUUCGUCCAAAUCUACCUGUCAAAUCCGCCCGCUAUGGAUAAUGUUACAGGUUGCAGGCGGAUUUGGUAUUACAAAUUGAAACCCGCACUUGGAUGAGGGUAGGUUUGGUAUUAGCUCAAUAUCUGGCGGAUACCCGUAUGGAUACCCACUAGACCCGCAAUAUUUUUUUUGAAAAUAUUUUUAAUUUAAUUUUAAUUAAAAAUAUUUAAAUCUAAAAAAUAUAUAAAGAAAAUAAUACAAUUAUGUAAGGUGUCAAAUAACUAAAGUGUUUUUGUAUGGUCUAUUUUCUUUUAACUUAAUGCAUGAAUUAUUUCAUUAUUAUAAUUUUUUUCAUUGAAUUAAUAUUUAAAAAGUAUUAUUCUUUGAAAAAUAUUAAUUUUAAUCAUUAGGCAUCAUGUUGGAUGGGUGUUAAUGGUGGUGAAUUAAAUAAAUAUCUUUCUCUUGGAGCUUGUGUUGAAUGAUAAUAUGAAAUAUAAUUAUUAUUUUUAGAUACUAGUUUGUGAUUUUUUUUAAAGGAUUUGUGUAUUUUAUACUUAAAUUUAAGAAUUUAUGUUAGAUUGAUGUUGGAAUUUUAAUUUUUCAUUUACAUUGGAUAAAUUUAAAAUUGAGUAUGUUAUGUGGAAUUUGAGGUUAUUAUUGUAAAUUUAUACAUUGAACAUUUAUAAUUUUAAAUAUAUAAACCCGCAAAAAAUCCGUCAUAUACUAUUGUGAGUUUGGUAAUUGCCAAAACCCGCUGUGGGUGGAUUUGUUUUUAAAAAAAUUAAAACCUGAUGUGGAUGAAUUUGGUAAUUUAAAUUUUGUGCGGGUUUAAGUUUGGUAAUGACAAACUUGCUGUGGAUGGUGCCCAUUGCCAUCCUAAAUCUACAUGCCUUUCUUUUGUAUUUAAAAUUGGGGAAUUGCCACUUUCCCCCAUACAGUAAUCAACAUAUACCAUGUAUCCCCCUGUUGUUUUCAUAAUGGCCAAAAACCCCCCUGACACCAUAAGUUUACAAUAUUACCCUUAUUUUUAGCUACUUUUUAUUUACAUUUAUUAUAAAUUACAUGAAUAGAAACUAAAUAAAAAAAUUAAGUAUUAAAAAUAAGAAAUAUAUGUUUUGAUAUGAGCAAAAUAAUAAUAAUAUUUUUUUUCUUGUAAUUAUUUAUUUUGUGAACAUUUUCUUAUAAUAAACAUUUUGUAAUAUUUUAAAAUUAAAUGUAAAAAGUAUAGGCAAAAUAUUUUAUUAUUUAUUUUAUAAUAAAUUUUUAUUUGUCAUUCAAGUUUUCUUAUAAUAAUUUUUUAUCAUUUUAUAAUAAUUUUCUUAUAUAUUUAUUAUAAGAAAUUUUCACAAAAUAAAUAAGUACAAGAAAAAAAUUUAUUAUUAAUUUUUUUGCUCAUAUCAAAACAUAUAUUUCUUGUUUUUCAUAUUUAAUUUUUUAUUUAGUUUCUAUUCAUGUGAUUUAUUUAAUUUAUAAUAAAUAUAAAUAAAAAAGUAGUUGAAAAUAAGGGUAAUAUUGUAAACUUAUGCUGUCAUGGGGUUUUUGGCCAUUAUAAAAACAGUAAGGAAGAAAAUGGUAUAUGUUGAUUACUAUAGGGGAGAAAUUGGUAAUCGCCCUUUAAAAUUUCAUAAUAAUUUAAACAAGACAAAAGAAAUAGUCUCACAUAUAAUUUAUUUUAUAAUUUUUUCAAACAAUACUAUUUUAUUACCUGGGUAACUUUUUUUUUGGUUGUUUUAUUUGUAUGAUAAUUGUGAUGGAUCUACGUGCCUUUUUUUUUUUUUGCAUUUAAAGUUUCAUAAUAAUUUAAAUAAAACAAAAGAAAUGGGUGCCACAUAUAAUUUAGUUUAUAUUUUUUUCAGACAAUAUUAUUUUAAUACAAAUGACCAAAACAAAUUUAAUAUUGACUAAAAUUAAUCAUAAAUUUCUAUAUUAUGACAUAAAAUAUAAAAAAAACAUUUGAAGAAAAAAACAAAGGCACCCUUAAAUUUGAAUUGGCGCUAAGUUACGUUUAAAGUAACUUGUGCCUCUCACAACAGUAACAUUGGCCCCACCUAAAACUGUGACUUAGGCCCUCCCUUAAAUUUGAUGUAGGACACUACAAGACUCUUUGACAAAGAUGUUGCGACCUAAAGCAUGGAAGGGUCUAAAGUUUUCGGGUGAACAUGGUCCAAACAAUGACACGACGUGUGUUACAGCUCCACGUCACUCAUUAAUAUGAGUAAUGGCAAUCUCUACAUUAAGCAUGCACUGCCUCAAAUUGCACGCGAAUACGAAAACACACUUCUGAGUUUUUUUUUUCGUUUUAAGUUAACAAUUAAUUUUUUAUUUUUAUUUAACACUUAAUUUUCAUCAAAUCUUAAACUGUCAUAAUCAAUUAUUUUUUUCAUUGCGACUCCUUAACUAAAUUUUGAUCUGUAAUAAAUAGAAUUUGGCAAUAUUUGUUCCUUUAAAGAUAUAAAAUAACCGUAACAUUGUUUUUACAUUUUGAAUUUUUCUUGCAUUGCUAUUUAGAAAAAUAAUGUUAAAUCAAUCUCAUAAAAUAUAUCAACCCAUCUGAAACCCGAAUAUUGCUUACAUUUGUUUUGUAUUGUUGGAAUGACGCCAAAGCAAUUGAAAAGAUAUUGAAAAAAUAAUAAUUGUAAAGAUUGGCUACGGGAUUUCACUGAAGCUAAGUUGUGACUUGUGACUGUGCAAAUGUUGCGUAACAAGAUAUGAUUAUUCUUGCAGCACAAAUCCAGUAGCAUGCAACAAAAACUACUCUCCAACACUGCCUGUGAAGAAAAUAAAACAAGAGUAAAAAGAGCAACCAUACCUGUGAAUCUCUUUACUUCUCCCCCUUUUCUGGGUAAACUCUAUCAAAUGAAAACGCAGCACGAUCACAUUGGUCACUGCCACAGUGCCACUGCCAUUACUUCGUCAACUGUGCCUCUUGCUGCAAGAAAUCUUCAACUGGAAGAUGGACUGUAUAAUUCAAGAUAAAAAAUACACCUAACCUGCAAAUGUUGCCAUCCACUAGCCUAUUAAAGACUCUGCUUUAUAUUUUCCUAGUUUUUUAAUCAAAAUUUUGCAAGAUUUAUUUUGGAAAAGUUCGACAAAGUUUUAUGUAAUAUACCGUAAAGCCAAAUACAAUCUUUUUAAUUCUCAGCAGCAACAUAUAUGGAAAAAAAUUGGAAGCGAUAUAAAUAUAACUUUGUUUGGUACAAGGAACAAUUAUUUCAUGCUUUCAGGUAUUACAACUUCCAGAAGUGCUAGCCAGAAAUUGUAAGGGAACUUUAACUAGCCACAGAAUAUGUCAAACAUAUUACCAGCAACCGUCUUUAGCACAAUUGUUCUGAAGUGGCUUCUGCAUCAGAAGAAUCCAGCUUCCAUCAAAGCACCACCAUCUUCCUUCUGGAUAAAAUCUGCAUCACUGGCAAGAGUUAUAUCAUCAACAUCUGCACCCUCGGUCCCAUCAUCCCAAUCAAGUGCUUUCUUCUCCACCUCUGGAUCAUAAGUCCACUCCAACCUCUUCAAAACAUCUCCGUCCUUCCAUUUGCCAACAACCGAUACGGCUUCCUUUCUUGCCUUCCCCAUUAAUAUAUCCCACCAAGAAAAACAAGCAUAAGAAAUUCUCUUCAAUGCCCCAUCAUUUAUGUCCCCCACAACUACCGUCUUAAGACACCUUAAAUUUGCCUCCAACAAAACCUCCACAAAAUCUGAAUCAUCCGACACAACAACCAAAUACUCAAUCCUUCUUUUGUGCGUUAUCACCAAAUGAUUCCUUAACAAAACAUCAGUAGCUUGUGGCUUAUCUGACGCUGUCCUGACCCAAAGCCCCCCUCUUUUCAACUCACCUAUCAAACCAUUACCCACUUCUGGAGUCAAAACUGCCCUUGCAGCCCUUUUAUAUUUCUCCAUCUUAAUUGAAUACUUGCCGACCCAAUGCACUCUCUUCCCUCUGGCUGAUUCUAUUUGAUUCAACAUUCAACCUCUUUUUAUGUUUACACUCAUAAAUUUGCAUAAAAUAAUUAACAAGUUUGACAUCAUCAUAAAAACUCCUUCCACAGACACCACAUACAUACGGCUCAGCAGGCCUAAUUACACCCUUGUUUCCAAUUGGUUAAACUAUUUUUUCUCUUCUCUUUGCUCCCUUACAACUUGAGGCACAUAACUAAAUGCAUGGCUAUUAGCAUAUGCCAUAAUGAAUUUAACAACCCCAAAUGAAGAUACUGAUUUUUCAGUUUAAUGGCCGCUUCAAAUGGGGGAACUGAAUUUGCGGGUUUGCUGUUUAAAUCCCGAAAAAUUCCACAUUAUGUUGGACAGUUUUUGGUUCUACAGUUGGUGAUCGGUUUUGUGAAUAAGGCUCCAAAAGAAAAAAAUCUAAACAAUGAGACAAAUGGGUUCUGGAUUUCUAAUCUUGUAAACAUUGUCCUGUCGCAUAAGUUAUGAAAUUUCUGAAGCAUCACUAUCCCGCAGUUCCUGGGAGAAAAAUAAGUCGAAGAACUACUCGUGGAACAAAAUUAAAAAGUUUAAACUAUGUUGAGAGACUUUCCCUUCGACUAAACGUUUUUAAAAAGAAAAAGUAUCAGAUAAGCAUUUUCAAGGGAAAAUGAUCAUCCAUUUGUUGUACUUAGGCAGGAAAAUAAAUAUAUCAACCCAACUAAACCCUCACAUCUACUGACUAAUAAUGCAUGGACUAACUUUAAGUAAGGAUGUAAAACUUACAAGAACAAGAAAACUACUGUUUAUUAAUUUCAAAUUUUACACAAAAUUACAAAUAAUUUUAUAAGUUGCACCAAAAAAAUAUUUUGCGGAUAGCAUAAACUAAUACUAGAAUAACCAUUCGUUAACGAUGCGGGCAGCACCAUGAAGCGGUGAGCCCCGUUUGGUGAAAACAAAAAAAAAAAAAAAUUAAAACAAAGCACUAUACAUUCUAAUCAAAUUGUUAACAUUAGCUAAAUACACAGCAAGAAGCCAGAAUAAAUUCGUUAUCUAAACCAAAUAAUAAAAAAAAAGAGGCAGUUUAGUCCCCAUCAUUUUCAGUUACAAACAAACUAAAGCACAAAUUAAGAACAAAGGUUGAAGCAAAGCAUGAUUGUACCUUGAGGUACUUGAGCUUAGUGUUCCCAUAAACGAGACCGAGCGAAAAAGCCGAAACCAGAGCAACCUAUUAUUAUUACUCAAAAAUUCAGAUCAGAAAAUAAAUGAUCUUUCAAUAACAAUUCAUAAGAACUCCAUCCCAUCGUAUAUAAAACAAAACAAAGAAAAUAUUGAAUUGAAAAAAAAUUACAUACAUGGAUUAAAAGAAGAUAAAAAUGGAAUUACCAGAGGGAGCUGGUGCCGGAGUAGGAACCAGGACGCAACGCCAUAUGAUGCUUUGUCAUGCUUUUCCUUCUUGUGGGUCUGCGCCGAAGUCGAAGAUAAAGAAAUAAGAAAGAGCUAGCAGCCUAGCACAUUGAAAAAUCGACUCAUAUAUUCGAUUCCGACUCGUAUGGCUAUUUUUAUUUGAUGAAUGAAAUAUUAUUUUACUCCCUAAUUUUUUUACAAAAUUACAAGUUUUGACUUUUGUUCAUAUGUUCUUUUUUACGGGAUCCUAUUCUAGGAGGAAUAACAAAUAGGCCGGAUAUGUGGCUAAGCCCGAGCGUGGUGUUGAUUGCCAAUUUUAUUUUAUUUAUUUUUUAUUAAUGAAGGGUUCACAAAGAGCUAGUGCAACACUAAACGAGAGUGUGAUCGUAAUUAUAACACUUCACUUUUAUUUUAAGUAUAAUUCUUAUAACACUUCACUUAUGUGAUCGUAAUUAUAUUGUACUGAAAAUUAUAUAAAGGAUAAAUAUGAAUUUAAUUAAACUAACAAGUCUUCACAAACUCGUGCAAACUUACUAUUUCUAAUCUUAAUAUGUGAUAUAAUUAAUUUUAUUGAUAAAGUCAAAAUAAUUUUUAACAAUGAAGAAAUAAAUUAUAAUAACAAUAAAUUUAUGACGAAAAAUGUAUACAAAAUUUAUUCUAAAUUAUAUGAAAUUUAAUUAAAAUUUUAUUGAAAUUUUAUGUCUUUUUUAAAAUUUUAUUAAAAAGUGGGAUUUCUUAAGAGUUUAAAAGGCGUGUUGGAGGCUUUACUCUUAUAUUUUUCUAGCUUUGAAUUUCAGUGGCCUUUACUUGGUUUAAAUUUUUGUUAUAAACCUGCAAGUAAGUGCAUUUAGGUGCAUUUAGGAUGCCUUUUGGUGAAGCUGGAUUGUAACAAUAAUUUUAUUUAUUAAAAUCAUUAAAAAUUUUAAUUAAUUAAAGUUUACGUAUCCUCUUGUCUAACCAAUCAAAUACUUUCUCUCAAGACAAUACCAGUGUGCUUAAAAAAAUGGUGAGAUUGGUUCUUGCCUAUUAGUUAAUGAGAAAAUUAUUGAAGAAAUAUGUAUCUCAUUUUCUUAUUCUUUACAAUAGGAUUACAUAAUACAUAUAUAGAUUCUAAACUACAUAACGUGCACAACUAACUGCAGACCAAGAAACUAGGAAACAAACUCUAUCAAAAAACUGAAAUUCUAUCCCUAUCUUUUUUUUUUCUAUCCCUAUCUUUUUUCCUUAAAAAUAGGAUAGAAAACAUGUGACUUUUCCACACUCCCCCUCAAGCUGGUUCGAAGAUAUCAAUCAUUCCCAGCUUGCUAGUUAGUGACUCAAAGCUUGAUUUAAGAAGUCCUUUAGUAAGAAUAUCGGCUAGCUGCUUUGUUGUUGGAACAAAGGUCAUGCAUAUCAAACCACUUUCUAUUUUCUCCUUGAUAAAAUGACGAUCCACUUCAACAUGUUUAGUUCUGUCAUGAUGAACAGGGUUAUGAGCAAUGUUUAUUGCUGCCUUGUUGUCACAAUACAACUUCAUAGGAACAUCAAUAAUAAUCUUCAAUUCUUCAAGUAGCUUAUUUAACCACAAAAGUUCACAAAUACCAUGUGCUACUGCUUUAAAUUCAGCUUCGGCACUGCUUCUUGCAACCACUGAUUGCUUCUUACUCCUCUAAGUUACCAAGUUUCCUCCCACAAAUGUGCAAUACCCUGAAGUUGACCUUCUAUCAAUAACAGAUCCAGCCCAAUCUGCAUCAGUAUAUACUUCAACUUGCAGAUUGUUAUUUUUCUUGAAUAACAGACCUUUUCCUGGAGUUUUUUUCAGGUACUUGAGAACCUUGUAAACAGCUUCCAAGUGCUCUUUACAUGGAGAGUGCAUAAAUUGACUAAUAACACUUACUGCAAAGGCUAUGUCUGGCCUAGUAUGAGACAAGUAUAUCAACUUACCAACCAACCUUUGGUAACUUUCUCUAUCCACUGAUUUUCCUUCAAUUGCAUAUCCCAAUUUGUGAUAAGGAUCAAUAGGAGUGUCUCCAGGUUUGCAUCCCAACAUGCCAGUUUCCUUGAGCAAGUCUAAAGUAUAUUUCCUUUGAGAGACAAAAAUGCCUUUACUGGAUCUUGCAAUUUCCAUGCCCAAAAAGUAUCUUAAGGAUCCAAGAUCCUUCAUCUCAAAUUCUCUAGCAAGAACCUUCUUGAGAUUUUCCAUUUCUAUUACAUUGCUUCCAGUCAAGAUGAUAUCGUCUACAUAUACAAUGACGAUCACAACACUACCAUCAGUGAAGUGUUUAAAAAACAUUGUAUGAUCUGCUUGACUCUGUAAAUAGCCAAAGCUAUAAACAGAUUUCGUAAAUCUGUCAAACCAAGCUCGAGGAGAUUGUUUUAAGCCGUAAAGUGAUCUCUUCAGCUUGCACACUUUUUCAAUACCAUAUUCAUUCUCAAAACCUGGUGGUAGAUCCAUAUAUACCUCCUCUUCAAGCUCUCCAUUAAGGAACGCAUUCUUAAGAUCUAACUGUUGUAGUUGCCAACCUAGGCUUGCUGCAAGAGACAACAAAACCCGAAUGGAAUUCAUCUUUGCCACGGGAGCAAAUGUUUCUUGGUAGUCAAUGCCGUAUGUUUGUGUAAAACCUUUCGCGACGAGCCUAGCUUUAUACCGCUCAAGUGACCCAUCUGCUCUGUAUUUAACUGUAAAAAUCCACUUGCAACCCACUGGUUUUUUUCCUUCUGGUAACUUGACUAGUUCCCAAGUUUUGUUUUUUUCUAGAGCUCUCAUCUCUGCAUACACAGCAUCUCUCCAUUCUGGAAUAGAAAGAGCAUCUUGUACAGAUUUUGGAAUUGCUAUAACAGACAGGUUAGCUGUAAAAGCUCUAAAAAAUGGAGAUAAUCUAUGAUAUGACACAUACUUAGAAAUUGGAUGAAGAGUACAAGACCUAGUUCCUUUCCGUUGUGCAAUUGGAACAUCUAGAUCAUUUGUAGUUUCUAAAACAGAUUCUGAAAUAGGAUUAGAAUGAAUGUUACCUACAAGUUCCAAGUUGCCUGUGUUUGGAUCCGAGUCUUGGCAGUGAGGAGAGGAAUGAUGAUUUAACCUUUUCGAAUUCCGUCGUGUGUAGACUUGAAGCUCUGGUUCUGGAACUCUCUCUAAUGAUUUUUCAUUAUUCACAAUUGAUGGCAUUGUAGAAGGAACAGGAGGUACACAAGACAUAAUAGGCAUUGGAAGAGAUAAUUCCCAAAAAUGAUCUUCCUGAGUAUGAUCCUCCCCCUGAAGAGAAGUUUUGGGAAGGAAAGACCUAUUUUCAAAAAAUGUAACAUCCAUUGUGACGAAGAAUUUUUUAGACAAUGGAUCAUAACAUUUGUAGCCUUUUCGAGUAGGAGAAUAGCCAAGAAAUACACAUUUUAAAGCCCUAGGAUCAAGUUUGCUUCUGUUCUGUUUAUGAACGUGAACAAAAGCAAUGCACCCAAAAAUCUUUGGUGGUAAAGAUGUGAAAACCUUAGCAUAGGGAUAGAAUUUUGUGAAAACAUUUAAUGGAGACUGAAAAUUAAAGAUUCGGGUAGGCAUACGAUUUAUCAAGUAUGAUGCUGUGAGAAUGGCUUCACCCCAAAACUGUUUUGGCACUCUAUUUGUGAACAUAAGAGAGCGUGCAACUUCUAAUAGGUGUCGAUUUUUUCGUUCAGCAACACCAUUUUGCUGAGGAGUAUCUACACAAGAGGAUUGGUGCACAAUGCCAUUUUCCAUGAAAUAAUGACCAAGGGCAGUAGCAAAAUAUUCUCUCCCAUUAUCAGUUCUAAAGACUUGGAUUUUUGCUUGAAAUUGUGUUUGAAUCAUGGUAUGAAAGGUUUUAAAAACUGUUGUAGUUUCUGAUUUUUCUUUAAGCAAGUACACCCAACAAACACGAGUGUGGUCAUCAAUAAAAGUUAUGAACCAUUUAGCCCCCGAAAUGUUUGUAACACGUGAGGGUCCCUAAAUAUCACUGUGUAUAAGAGAAAAAGGUGCAGAUUUUUUAUACGGCUGUAAAGGAAAAGAUGCACGAUGAUGUUUGGACAAUACACAAAUUUCACACUGAAACAAAGAAGGAUUUUUAUUCUUGAACAGUAAAGGAAACAAAUGUUGUAAAUAAGAAAAACUAGGAUGACCUAAUCGGAGAUGCCACAACAUUAUUUCAUCUUCAAUAGAGAAAGUUACUUUAUUAUUUGCUGCCUGAGCUUCUCCACACAAACUAACAUCCUCCUCGAAGUAGUACAAACCAUCUACCUCUCUAGCACUGCCAAUCUUCUUCCCCGAACACAUGUCUUGAAAUUCAAGAUAGGAAGGAGAGAAUUUAGCAAUGCAAUGAAGAUCCUUGGUAAUUUUGCUAAUAAAUAAAAGAUUACAAGACAAAUUAGGAACAUGAAGAACAUAUGUUAACACCAAAUUUGUGGAGAUAGGAAUAGAUCCUUUUCCUGCUACGGAAGAUAGUGAACCAUCAGCAAUUUUAAUUUUUUGACUACCAGAACAUGGAAUAUAUGAAGAAAAUAAUUUAGAAUGGCUGGUCAUAUGAUCGGUUGCUCCUGAAUCGAUGAUCCAUGGAUCUUGUUUCUCAUAAACAACUCCUAAAGUAGUGAAAUUAUUACCUUUUUGGGCUAAAGAACUAAAGGAUGAAGGAUUUGGGAGAGAUUGUGACUGAUUUAGAAACCUGUACAGUUGCUCUAACUGCUCUUUAGUGAAGAGUUGAGAUUCGGUUUCUCCAGUAUUGGUUGUCGGCUGAUUCUCCCCAACAACUUGGAAACCACGACUAUGUUUACCAGAGAAUUUAUUGUUUUUCAGAUUUGGAGGUUUUCCAUGAAGCUUCCAACAUGCAUCUCUGGUAUGUCUUGGCUUAUGGCAAUAAUCACACCAAACUCUAUCCUUCUCAUCACUCUUCUUCAGGCUUUUUAUUCCACCAACCAAUGGAGCUUCUGGUGUAACAGAGAUCAAGGCUGAGUUCUCUGCUGAAGAACCUCCCAUCAUCACAUUCUUUCUACUUUCCUCUCUUCUUACAUAAGAAAACACUUCCCUGGUAGAAGGAAGAGGUUCCUUGCCAAGUACUCGCCCACGAACUUCAUCAAGGUCUGAACUCAAACCUGCUAAGAAUUCAAAUACACGCUCUUUUUCUAACAUCUUCUUGUAUUUAGCACUAUCAGCAGCACAUUCCCACUCGCCAUCAUAGUACUGAUCUAACUCUUGCCAUAAGCCCUUCAAAAUAUUGUAGUAUUUAGUCACUCCUUGACUACCUUGUUUGGUUUCUCGAAUUCUGGUUUUUAGAUCAUAAAUCUGAGCAGAAUUUCCCAAAUCAGAAUAGGUCUCAGUGACAACAUCCCACAAAUCUUUUGCUGUUGGCAGAAACAAGUAAGUUUGACCUAUUUCUUGUUCCAUUGAAUUCACUAACCAUGACAUGAUCAUUGAGUUGUCAGCAUCCCAAGUUUGAAACUUUGGGUCGUCUUCAGUUGGUUCUUUAAUUGAACCAGUAAGGUAACCAAUCUUCCAUUUACCUCUGAUAAACAUCUUCACAGAUUGGGACCACUGAAGAAAAUUUUGACCAUUCAAUUUAUGGGUUGUGAUCUGAAGUGAUGGACUAUCAUUAGAAACAUAACUUGAUGGUUGUAGAUGCCGUUGCAACUGCUCUGAAGAUAACUCAGAAGUUUCUUGGUCGCUAUUCUUUGACAUUAGUAUUCAAAUAGAAUUGAAAACUAAACCCAAGAAUCAAAGAGCGGCUCUAAUACCAUGAGAAAAUUAUUGAAGAAAUAUGUAUCUCAUUUUCUUAUUCUUUACAAUAGGAUUACAUAAUACAUAUAUAGAUUCUAAACUACAUAACGUGCACUAGUAGGAAAGUAAACAACUAACUGCAGACCAAGAAACUAGGAAACAAACUCUAUCAAAACACUGAAAUUCUAUCCCUAUCUUUUUUUUUUUUUUCUAUCCCUAUCUUUUUUCCUUAAAAAUAGGAUAGAAAACAUGUGACUUUUCCACAGUUAAUAUACAUGUAUUAAUUCAUCAUUGCCUUUUAGUUGAAGCCAUUCAAUAGUGUAGAAGAAGAAGAAGGAGGAGGAGGAGGAGGAGGAGGAGGGGAGGAGGAGGAGGAGGAGGAGGAGGAGGAGGAGGAGGAGGAGGAGGAGGAGGAGGAAGGAGGAGGAGGAGGAGGAGGAGGAGGAGGAGGAGGAGGAGGAGGAGGAGGAGGAGGAGAAAAAUAUAUUAGUAUGGAAAGAACACAAGUUUAUUUAUAAUGCAGUCCCUCCCAAGUCCCUACAUGGGCACAAGCACUGAAGCAAACACACUGACACAACAUAUAUAUUACCAAGAAGAAAAGAAAUUAGUAGCCAGCUAGUAGCACAUUCAACAUACAUAUAUACAGAACUUGAACAUAAUUGACAACAUCUGGAGGGAGAGGGAUAUAUAUCGAUGCUGCAGCCUGCAAUUCAUAGCAUGUCAUCGAUCAUUUAAUUGCUUAUCAAAUGGUGUCCUUGAAUGUUUUGAUCAAGAAAACGGUGAUGAUGAUCAUUCUAAUGGUGAUGAUCUUCAAGGGGCCUGGGAAAUUUGUGAAACAACGCCCUAGCCGUAGUGUGUGUAUUUAUAACUUGAUGAUAGAGAGUACGGUGGUUGUCCAAAUUCACACAGUCACCAAACUUUUCCCAUGAAAUUAUAUGUUCGUAUAUGGCAGCAACCCUGCACACAAAUCAUCACAACCAAAAGCUCACGUUUUGCAUGCAAACGCCUGUCUAUAGUCAUUCACCAACCACAAAUUACUCAAGUAAGUACUCGUGUCGUCAACACUUACCCUUUACUCCAUCUACGCAAACAAGAAUUCAACUCGCUUAUUAGCGCUAUAUAUAUAUAAUAUAAUAUAAUAUAUUAAAGAGAAAGCAAACCAAAAUAAAUUCUACACUCAUGUGGACGUUUUGUUCACAAAAUCUGGACAAGAAAAAAUAAUAUUGAUACAAUCUCCAAAUAUAAAGCGUUCCUCUUGGUAAAACAAACAAUUCCUAUAAAUUUUGAUUAAUGGUGCCAAAUGAAAGAGUUGUAAUUUCAUGUAUAUUUUGUUAACAUGAAUAAGGAUACAAAAUAGAUUACGAAAUGACAAAAACAAAGCUAAUCACUAUGAAUGAUAGGUUUAGAGUAAACAUAAAGUUAUAAUCUUGGACAUAAGUGGUGCUUAAAGUCAUGAAUUUGAUAUCACCCAUGAGGGAAGUUCAAACAACGGUAUAUAAUAAGCAACAAAUGUUGGGAAAAAAAAUUCAUUGCAACACAACAUAAUAAAUUGUAAAGAAAUCCCAGUUUGCAUAAAAGAAAGGAAAAAAAUUAAGGAAAACAUAAGCACAACAAAAUUGGACUGAUCAUUAAAAAUGAGAAAUGAGUUAUAAUGAGAAUUUUGGUUUUGUAAUGAACUAAAUUGGGAAGUAUCAGAAGUUCGCAUGAAUACAAUAUAAAUGAUAAGAAGACGAAGGGAACAUAAUGAUAAUAAGCAAGCCAAAUAUUAAAAUGCAGAUUCUACGCUUCCACCCCCACACUUCAAUUUAGUGUCUCGCUGAUCAUUUCAGAUAUAUCAAUUACAAAGGGAGACCAUUUAUUUAUAUUAAGCGUACGCCUCUAAUGCUUUGCCAAGUGUCCAUUGAUAAUAUCACAAGGGCAAUUAAAUUGGUGUAUGUGCAUUACACCUCCAAAGUCAUGUUAAGAUAGUUAGUGAGCUGAUAAAAUUUGUUUCACGUGUGAGUUAGCUAAGUCUGUUAGAAAUGCAGACGUGUAAAGCUGAGUCAACAAGUUACUUAAGGUUGUUACGAAUGCUUAGAUUCAGCUCAUGUGUAUUGUAUGUAAUGCUUAGAUUCAGCUCAGAUUGUGUAUACAACUUUCUAAUAUUCUUUAGAUCUCAACAUAAAUACUUGUGAUCAACAAAUACAAUAAUAAGAAUCAUUAUUCUUCAUUUUCUCUCUGUUUCUCUCAUAUUUUCUCUGCAUCCAAACACAAUAUUUUCAGUUCUUGACUUGGUAUCACUACUACAAUAAACGAUAAAGAUGACUCUUAAAAUAAGUAUUAAAUGACGUGAUAAAAAAAGUCAUCUUUGUAACAGUCAUCUAAAGUGGGUAAUAAUAGAUGACGUCUUUUACGAGUUAUCUAUAUUGCUUUAUAGAUGACUCAUAUUAUAAAAUACCAGUCAUCAAAUUAUAUAUUUGUACUCCAUAAUUCCUAAAGAGAUGACUCUUUUUUAUUUAGCAGCUGUCAACUUUAUUUGAACAAAUGACUAGCUUUUGUAUUGGGAGUCAUCUUUGAAUAAUGAAUGUAAUAUUUCUGAAUUAAUUAAUAUCAUUUGAAACUAGAAAAUAUUUUGAAAUAUCUGAAUCUAUGAAUGUAAUAUUUCUGAAUUAAUUAAUGUCAUUUGAAACUAGAAAAUAUUUUGAAAUAUCUGAAUCUACUGCCUAAUUUUCAUAUUAAGCUAAUAUGGAUUAGCAAAAACUGCAUUAUCAAGCCUAUGGAGAAGUACAUAUAUUUAUUGUACAACAAAUAGUAUUUAAGAUUCAAAUUACUAGUAUUUCCUGUAUCACAAUAAAAAGUCUAUCAUUUUAACACAUCCCAAAUUGGGUAUCCAUUACAUUGUACAUUAAAAAAAAAUUCUUUACAACGAAAAUUACAUUCUUCACAAGCAUCAAAACUCCAUCUCCGAGGCAACUAUCAACAUUCUUAAUCCAGCAACAAUACUACAAUACUAAAUUAAAAUAGUUAAAAAUAAUGCAACAAUUAUGUGUGCACAUAACCAAUAUGAAAGAUACAACUAAAUAAAAAUUACUUAUAAUUUAUAUACAUAUCUUGCCAAACUCAUUGAACUAUCUGUUGAAUUUAGCCAAAACUAUUCUUCUAUAUCUACUUUGCUCGUUAGGUUGCUAUUGACUUUAUUAACAUUGUCUUGAGGUGCAAGCAUCUUAUCCAACCAACUACCUUAUACAAAAUAGCCAAUAUCAAUGGACACAACACUAUUAAAGUUUUCAAAACAUUUUAAAUAAAUACCUUAUCCAACCAAGUACAAUAUACAUAAAAGUGCAUUAUGAUUAACAAUAGAAUUAUUAAAAAAAAAAAAAGAAAAAGGGAUGAUUAGAACUUACAAUAAUACAAAGUUCUUCAAACAUUGGUUAAGUUCAUAAAGAGAUGUGCACUAUAUAUGUCAAAAUAUAAUAGCAUUUCUUUAUAACAAAAAUUUAAAUGCUAAGCAUAAUUAAUCAAAUAAUAAACUUGAUAUUGUUAUAAUGCGAUUUCUUGCUUUUACCUCUUAGAGACUAGACUUACCAAAUCCGAUAAUCAUUAGUAACCUGAAUUUAAUUUUUUCUAGUAUUGCGAAGUUAGUUAUUCAACUAGUCUCAUAAUUUUUGUUUCUCUUUUCAACUUAAGUGAUAACAAUGGCAUGAUAAAACUAUUCUUAGCAAGGAUUUCAUUAUCUCGAGAGUCAUAAAUCAUGUACUAAAUCAAAGUAGAUUUCAUUUGUAUGAAACUAUGACUACUUGCACUAAAGAAUCAACAUACGGAUUGUUAUAAUUUAUAAACAAUUAAUCAAUUUUUACUACAGUAUAAUAAAUAUCUAAAUAUCCAAUUUUCUCCUUUCCCUUUAAAUAUAUAUCCAAAUUUCAAUCAAUCUAAAUAAUAAUAAUUAUAGCAACAACAAUAACAAUAAUAAUAAAUGAAAAACCCCAACCUUGAAAUACCUGGCAUUUACUCAAAUUUUCAAAAUCUUCUAUUUCUAUUUCACUGUAUUGAUUCCAGAUCUAACAUUCAAACAUGAAUUAUGAAAAAAAGGAAAAACAAAGAUCUCAUUCACAUGAACUAUCCCCAAAUAAACGAAUCAUCAUUAUUUUUCAAUGAAUUAAACAAAUUAAAGAAAUAGAAAACACCUCAUUGUAAGGAUCCAAGCUUUUUAAAAACAGAAGUGUCAAAUGCUUUAUUCCUUUUCUGGAAGAUGUGAACCCAAACUUCCAAAUCUUCAAUUUUUGACUUGUUCUUCGCGGUUCGUGAUUGCGAUUGACUUCACGAUUUUCUCUCUCUUCACUCCCACUUUGCGUUUCUUCACUCUUCAAGAGCGGCGGCUGUAAAUUUAGAAUAAUAACUGUAGAAGAGAUGAAAUUAGGGUUGAUUAUUUGGGGACAAUUGCAAAAGGGUGGUAUUUUUAGUGAUAAGUUUGGAGAAGGAAUUUUGAGAAGAGGAAAAUGAAAGAGAGAGAGAGAGAGGUACAACUUGAAGAAAUUAGGGAUUUGAGGGAACUUAGGGUGAUUUUUUUAUUUAUACAUCUAUAUAAAAAUGCCGUUUUUUAAAUUACGAGUCAUAUGUUUACCUUAUAAAAUAUGACGUGUUUUUGUAUAACGAGUCAUCUUUUAACUUCCUAUCAAAUUAAAAUUAUCAUAGAUGACUCUCUAACUAUAGAAAAAGUCAUCUAAAAGAAAAGAUAACAAUUGUUUAGAUGUGAAUCGUCUAUUGAAUGUCAUCUAUCUCACUUACUGUAGUAGUGGAAUUUGUAUUUGAUGUUUAAUUAUAAUUUCUUGAAGUUUUUAUGUGUUUCAUUGAGUUAUAAUCUUUCUAAUGCCUUGCUUUCUUCUAUUUUAGAACUAGUUUUGAGAUGGAUACCCGUAUUGCAUCUGACAAAAUUUGAGUGUUGUUACAAAUACUUUAUUUGUGAAUAUGGUUUUGUAAUUUUUAUGCGUUGGCUUGCGGUAAAAUUACUAAUGUUAAAAUAUAGUGGAGAUAGAGUUCUUAAGAAAAUGUGUUGAUUACAUUUAUUGGCAAUAUAGUAACAUGUGAUGAACUUUUUUCUCCUUUUAUUAAAUUAGGCAAUUAAAUUGUCAAUUUUGCUUUCUUUUACCUUCUAUGUUCUUUUUUUCUUUGGGGCUACGAUAGAUAUUUUCAUUGGAUAGUUCAACUUAUAAAAAAAUAGCUAUGCACAAUUAUUAGACUGUAAACUAUUAUUAAGGUAUGCAUGUUCGUUCAUAGUUAAAUUGAUUAUUGCUCUAAUUCUUUUCUUGAACAUGAAUAAGAUGCAGAGUUACGGGACUAGUAUUCUAAGGCCAACAAUUGAGGGCAUGGCAAAAGAAUGGAGAGGCUGUUUAGGAUAUUUUGUGAAAUUUUGGGUUGUUGUUGCUUGAAUACCUCAAUGAUAUGGAUUAUAUGGUUAAAUGGAUAUCCAUGUUUUAUUAAUUGGAUUCUUUAAUUUUUUGUAUCAUAUUUUGUAUUUAUUUUAGAUUUAUAAAUUUAUUCUAAAAACAAAUUUUCUGAGAAUUCUAAUAAUAAUAAUAAUUCAACACAAAUAAUAAUAACAAUACAAUUCAAAAAUAAUGCUUUUAAGUAAUUUUAAUAUUCAGAUAAUACCAAUUUACAGCCAAAAAGUUUAAAAAUGCCAAAAAUUUUAAUAAUUUUAAUUUCUCAUUAAAAUAUUGUGUGACAGAUAUGUGACUGUGAAAAAUCAUCAUGAAUUCAUGAUGGAAAAUAUUCUGUCAUGAAUUAAUGACAGUGACAAAAAUGACAGAUAAUUUGUCUGUCAUACAUCCCCUUAUAUGACAAUUAUUUACUGUCAUCUAUUGCCUAUUUUCUUGUAGUGUGGAGCUAUCAACUCAAUUCCAAGAUCAACAAACCACCUAAUAAUGGUUUAAUUUAGAUAAAAAAACCACCUAUCAACACUUGGUGAGUUUAUAAUAAGUUGGUGGCAAUCACUAAGAUGGAGUCUCAUAUUGUGUAAGGUUUCAACAUGUUGUAAUCUCUUGAGCCUAGCAAAUUACUCAAUAUUUGAGUGUGGCUCCAUGGAUGCAGUGAAUAACGUAAAAAUCUUCUUGUGUACUUUAAAAGUUUUUGUCUUACUAGGAAUACAUCUUUGUAUUGGCUUUUGAAUUAAGGAUGUUCUAAUUUCUAUGGCCAAGUUUUGCAUCUGCUUUUGAUUUAGAUGUUCCAACUAUAAAAGCCUAGUGUAUUAAAAAAGAAAAAACUAUGAAGGCCUAAGAAUCUAAUUAUCUCGUUUAGAGUAUUGAUAUUUGAUUAUCUCAUUUUAUCUCACCAAACCCUAUUAAUGAUUCCAAUUUUAUCUUGUACAAAAAUACUAAAAAGUACAUAAGAUUUUUCUCUUUAGACUCUAUCAUUUCGCAAACUUAUAUAUAUUAUAAAUUUCAUGUCACCAAACAACUAAACUAUUUCAAAAGAAAAAAAUAACAAUUUUAUUCUUUUAGAAACAAUUUGAUCAAAUCUCUUCAUUGGCAGCAAACAAAAUCAAUUCCAUAUCCAAAACCAAAUAAAUGAUCAAGUUUAGAAAGGUCUAUCCAUCGCUUGGAUUGCUAAAAUCAUUCCCUUGAUAGCUUUUAACAAGAGAAAGAACAUUAUGGAGAUUGACCAAUUAGCAAAUGCAAAAGAUUAAAAUUACUAAAAGUGAGCAAUUAAGCUUUUUCAACAUGUGAUUUUUGCUUUCUCAUAUUGCUGAAACAAAUAACGUGAAACUGAGGAUUUUUUUCUUUUUUGUCUAAGCAUUUUUAUUGCAACUACCAAAAUGUUAGGACUUUUAUCAUUACAUCAGUGCGUCAAUAAUAUUGUUAUUUAUUUGUUCCUUGCAUUAGGGAUUUGUCUUGUCAUAGGUACUUAGAGAUUACUAUGUCUAUGGGUAGGAAUAUAGCAAGUAUAUUUAAUAUGUGGAAUGGGGUGAAAUCCAAUGAUCCUCUUUUAAAAAAGGAAAAACGCUAUGUUGGGAAAUUGAAACUUUAAACUGAACGUCGGUCUCAAAGUUUCACUGUGAGGCUGGCAUCAUCACUGUUGAUUGUGCGGAUGAUGCCAUGGGUUUAGGUGUUGUGAUGUGUGAUUGUCAUGGGUAUGUUAGGGUUGCUACUAUUUUUGCAAUUAGUAUUUUCUAAGUUAUUGCUAAUAUUUUACAACCCAUGGAACAACGAUAAGCUUUUCAAAUUCAUCAUAUUUUGUGUAAUUUUAAAUAGCUCAAGCCAUGUACUAGCCAAGUUAGCUCUUUUAAAUUCUGUUAUUUAGCUAGAUAACUUUUUAGAACGUUUGUGCGCACUUUAAUUAUAAUGAAGUUAUUGAUUGCUAAAAAAAAAGCGCACACAAAAGUUCUAAAUCUUAAUUAGAAGUAUUUGUUUUUCUUUUUUUCCUUUAUAACAUCAUUAUUAGGGUUAAAAGAAAAAUUAUUCGACCGGAUUUAUUCAAUAGUGUAUAAGUAAUUUUUCUCUUUUAGUAAUCCGACAUAGUAAUGAACUUACCCAUGUUUCAUAUACAUAUAUUUCUCAACCCUAGUAACUAAUUAGUUAAAUAUUUCUCGAACAUAGUAAGUAAAUAUUAUGAUUUAUUAUUACAAACCACCGUAUUAGUAUCUAUCUAUGAUUUAACAAUAGGUUAAUAUAGAUAUCGUGGAUUUAGUGAUCUUCAUUCUUCAUACUACCUUUCAGGACAUGGAGGUACAUCGUAUUGAUGUAAGUGGCACUUGUGGGAUAUAAUACAGUUCUUAGAAGAGGCAAAGAAAAGAGGAACUUAAAGUCAUCAUCAUAAUUCUCACUACCUAUCAGCCUAUAAAUCCCUAAUUAUUUCACAUAUCAUCAACAAUUUAAUAUAACACAUAAACCUGUAAUUCUUUCACAUAUCAUUUUCAAUAGUCACCAUAAAAACACAAGAAUCAUCAUUACCUUGUCUUUAACUAAAAAAUGAAAGAGACCAGCUCAAGAUGACACUAACUGAUUGAUGGAUUCAACUUGUUAUUUGCUGUGUGUUACAUGGUAGCUUCGAUUUUAUGUGAUUAGUAAACAAUCUAAGAGACAAAUCAAUAUUUCAGAGAGUGAUAGUAAGAGAGGUGAAAGAGAUGUUUGAGAUUUGAAGGAGGGAAAACGUAAUGGAUUUCAGCAACCAUUUAACAAGUAACCCGUUACUUUUUAUUUUUAAUUUAAUCUCAACCGUUGGACUCAUUUUACUUGAAUCCAACGGCUACAAAUAAAAAUUGGCACAAUGCUAGGCAUUNNNNNNNNNNNNNNNNNNNNNNNNNNNNNNNNNNNNNNNNNNNNNNNNNNNNNNNNNNNNNNNNNNNNNNNNNNNNNNNNNNNNNNNNNNNNNNNNNNNNNNNNNNNNNNNNNNNNNNNNNNNNNNNNNNNNNNNNNNNNNNNNNNNNNNNNNNNNNNNNNNNNNNNNNNNNNNNNNNNNNNNNNNNNNNNNNNNNNNNNNNNNNNNNNNNNNNNNNNNNNNNNNNNNNNNNNNNNNNNNNNNNNNNNNNNNNNNNNNNNNNNNNNNNNNNNNNNNNNNNNNNNNNNNNNNNNNNNNNNNNNNNNNNNNNNNNNNNNNNNNNNNNNNNNNNNNNNNNNNNNNNNNNNNNNNNNNNNNNNNNNNNNNNNNNNNNNNNNNNNNNNNNNNNNNNNNNNNNNNNNNNNNNNNNNNNNNNNNNNNNNNNNNNNNNNNNNNNNNNNNNNNNNNNNNNNNNNNNNNNNNNNNNNNNNNNNNNNNNNNNNNNNNNNNNNNNNNNNNNNNNNNNNNNNNNNNNNNNNNNNNNNNNNNNNNNNNNNNNNNNNNNNNNNNNNNNNNNNNNNNNNNNNNNNNNNNNNNNNNNNNNNNNNNNNNNNNNNNNNNNNNNNNNNNNNNNNNNNNNNNNNNNNNNNNNNNNNNNNNNNNNNNNNNNNNNNNNNNNNNNNNNNNNNNNNNNNNNNNNNNNNNNNNNNNNNNNNNNNNNNNNNNNNNNNNNNNNNNNNNNNNNNNNNNNNNNNNNNNNNNNNNNNNNNNNNNNNNNNNNNNNNNNNNNNNNNNNNNNNNNNNNNNNNNNNNNNNNNNNNNNNNNNNNNNNNNNNNNNNNNNNNNNNNNNNNNNNNNNNNNNNNNNNNNNNNNNNNNNNNNNNNNNNNNNNNNNNNNNNNNNNNNNNNNNNNNNNNNNNNNNNNNNNNNNNNNNNNNNNNNNNNNNNNNNNNNNNNNNNNNNNNNNNNNNNNNNNNNNNNNNNNNNNNNNNNNNNNNNNNNNNNNNNNNNNNNNNNNNNNNNNNNNNNNNNNNNNNNNNNNNNNNNNNNNNNNNNNNNNNNNNNNNNNNNNNNNNNNNNNNNNNNNNNNNNNNNNNNNNNNNNNNNNNNNNNNNNNNNNNNNNNNNNNNNNNNNNNNNNNNNNNNNNNNNNNNNNNNNNNNNNNNNNNNNNNNNNNNNNNNNNNNNNNNNNNNNNNNNNNNNNNNNNNNNNNNNNNNNNNNNNNNNNNNNNNNNNNNNNNNNNNNNNNNNNNNNNNNNNNNNNNNNNNNNNNNNNNNNNNNNNNNNNNNNNNNNNNNNNNNNNNNNNNNNNNNNNNNNNNNNNNNNNNNNNNNNNNNNNNNNNNNNNNNNNNNNNNNNNNNNNNNNNNNNNNNNNNNNNNNNNNNNNNNNNNNNNNNNNNNNNNNNNNNNNNNNNNNNNNNNNNNNNNNNNNNNNNNNNNNNNNNNNNNNNNNNNNNNNNNNNNNNNNNNNNNNNNNNNNNNNNNNNNNNNNNNNNNNNNNNNNNNNNNNNNNNNNNNNNNNNNNNNNNNNNNNNNNNNNNNNNNNNNNNNNNNNNNNNNNNNNNNNNNNNNNNNNNNNNNNNNNNNNNNNNNNNNNNNNNNNNNNNNNNNNNNNNNNNNNNNNNNNNNNNNNNNNNNNNNNNNNNNNNNNNNNNNNNNNNNNNNNNNNNNNNNNNNNNNNNNNNNNNNNNNNNNNNNNNNNNNNNNNNNNNNNNNNNNNNNNNNNNNNNNNNNNNNNNNNNNNNNNNNNNNNNNNNNNNNNNNNNNNNNNNNNNNNNNNNNNNNNNNNNNNNNNNNNNNNNNNNNNNNNNNNNNNNNNNNNNNNNNNNNNNNNNNNNNNNNNNNNNNNNNNNNNNNNNNNNNNNNNNNNNNNNNNNNNNNNNNNNNNNNNNNNNNNNNNNNNNNNNNNNNNNNNNNNNNNNNNNNNNNNNNNNNNNNNNNNNNNNNNNNNNNNNNNNNNNNNNNNNNNNNNNNNNNNNNNNNNNNNNNNNNNNNNNNNNNNNNNNNNNNNNNNNNNNNNNNNNNNNNNNNNNNNNNNNNNNNNNNNNNNNNNNNNNNNNNNNNNNNNNNNNNNNNNNNNNNNNNNNNNNNNNNNNNNNNNNNNNNNNNNNNNNNNNNNNNNNNNNNNNNNNNNNNNNNNNNNNNNNNNNNNNNNNNNNNNNNNNNNNNNNNNNNNNNNNNNNNNNNNNNNNNNNNNNNNNNNNNNNNNNNNNNNNNNNNNNNNNNNNNNNNNNNNNNNNNNNNNNNNNNNNNNNNNNNNNNNNNNNNNNNNNNNNNNNNNNNNNNNNNNNNNNNNNNNNNNNNNNNNNNNNNNNNNNNNNNNNNNNNNNNNNNNNNNNNNNNNNNNNNNNNNNNNNNNNNNNNNNNNNNNNNNNNNNNNNNNNNNNNNNNNNNNNNNNNNNNNNNNNNNNNNNNNNNNNNNNNNNNNNNNNNNNNNNNNNNNNNNNNNNNNNNNNNNNNNNNNNNNNNNNNNNNNNNNNNNNNNNNNNNNNNNNNNNNNNNNNNNNNNNNNNNNNNNNNNNNNNNNNNNNNNNNNNNNNNNNNNNNNNNNNNNNNNNNNNNNNNNNNNNNNNNNNNNNNNNNNNNNNNNNNNNNNNNNNNNNNNNNNNNNNNNNNNNNNNNNNNNNNNNNNNNNNNNNNNNNNNNNNNNNNNNNNNNNNNNNNNNNNNNNNNNNNNNNNNNNNNNNNNNNNNNNNNNNNNNNNNNNNNNNNNNNNNNNNNNNNNNNNNNNNNNNNNNNNNNNNNNNNNNNNNNNNNNNNNNNNNNNNNNNNNNNNNNNNNNNNNNNNNNNNNNNNNNNNNNNNNNNNNNNNNNNNNNNNNNNNNNNNNNNNNNNNNNNNNNNNNNNNNNNNNNNNNNNNNNNNNNNNNNNNNNNNNNNNNNNNNNNNNNNNNNNNNNNNNNNNNNNNNNNNNNNNNNNNNNNNNNNNNNNNNNNNNNNNNNNNNNNNNNNNNNNNNNNNNNNNNNNNNNNNNNNNNNNNNNNNNNNNNNNNNNNNNNNNNNNNNNNNNNNNNNNNNNNNNNNNNNNNNNNNNNNNNNNNNNNNNNNNNNNNNNNNNNNNNNNNNNNNNNNNNNNNNNNNNNNNNNNNNNNNNNNNNNNNNNNNNNNNNNNNNNNNNNNNNNNNNNNNNNNNNNNNNNNNNNNNNNNNNNNNNNNNNNNNNNNNNNNNNNNNNNNNNNNNNNNNNNNNNNNNNNNNNNNNNNNNNNNNNNNNNNNNNNNNNNNNNNNNNNNNNNNNNNNNNNNNNNNNNNNNNNNNNNNNNNNNNNNNNNNNNNNNNNNNNNNNNNNNNNNNNNNNNNNNNNNNNNNNNNNNNNNNNNNNNNNNCCUCACUCUCACCAUCAAAAUUUAGUAGUAGAAAGAAAACAUAAGUAUAUUGUUGAAACAUGAUCAACUCUCCUUGCACGUGCACAAAUGCCAAUUUCUUUUUGGUGGGAAGCCUUCCACACAACCUCAUUUCUUAUCAAUAGACUCCCAAUACAUACUUUAAACAAUCUUUCACUCUUUGAAAAACUUCAUGGUAGAAAAUCAUAUUUUAUUUCUUAAAACAUUUGGUUGUUCAUGCUUUCCUUUACUCAAACCUUACAAUAAACACAAGCUAGACUUUCAUACACAAAAGUGUUUGAUGAUUGGUUACAGUCCAAUUCACAAAGGUUACACAUGUUUGUCACCUACUGAAAAGACAUACAUUGCCAAGCAUGUACAAUUUAAUAAAUCUGAGUUUCUAUUUCUUUAACUCUUUCCUUCUCACAAGUCUAAUACUUUUGCAUCUUUAAUUUCACGGUCUUCUAAUCCUUUUAUAAUUGUCCCUAGUAUGUCAGUCAUUUAAGGCAGUAACUCUGCAUAUCCUUCUGUUAAUACUCUUGUUUCAUGUAUAAAACUGCUUCAAAUACCUCACCCUCACGUUCUAUUCCUAUUCAACAUACUAUAAUACCUGAUCAACACACCCCAAACAGUCAACACUCCCCAAAUACUUACUUUACAGUAUCUCAAUCUUCUUCACCUAAAUAAUCGCUUCACCUUGCUCAAAACAUUCAUCCAAUGGUUACAAGGUCUAAAGUUAGUGUGUUCAAGCUUAAAGACCUAUUUAGCUGUUUCUCAAGAUCUUGAACCAACCUCUAUCAAAAUGGCCUUACAUGAUCUAAAAUGGAGGGAAGCAAUGCAGGCUAAGUUUGAUGCUCUACAAGAAAAUUAAAAUUGGGUUUUGGUUCUAAAAGAAGUUGCACAGAAAAUUACUACACAGAAAAUUAUUGGCAAUAAAUGAGUGUUCAGAAUCAAAUAUAACCCUGAUGGUAGUAUAUCCAAGUACGAAGCUAGACUUAUUGCAAAGGGUUUUCAUUAGACUCCAAGUGUGGAUUUUUUUUAAACCUUUAGUCUAGUUGUUAAGCCUUGUACGAUCAGGGUAAUUCUAAGUCUUGCAGUCAUGAAUCACUGGUCCAUUACACAACUUAAUGUUAACAAUGCUUUUUAUAAUAGUAUUCUCACUGAAGAUGUGUUUAUGUCACAAUCUGAAGGAUUUCUUUAUCCUCAGUAUCCUUUUCAUGUAUGUAAACUUAAAAAGGCUCUUUAGGGACUCAAACAAGCCCUAAGGGCUUGGUAUGAUAAACUGAAAGGUUCUAUGCUGCAAUGGGGAUUCCACACUUCCAGAUCAAACACUUCUUUGUUUAUGCAACAUGUGGCAGGGGAAUUAGUUAUGGUUCUUAUAUAUGUUGAUGAUAUAUUAGUAACUGGUUCCAAUGCUAAACUUAUUGAAAGAAUUGUUCAACAGUUAAGGUCAGAAUAUGCUUUAAAAGAUCUGGGUGAGUUCAAUCUUGAAGUCACACCCACACAUGAAGGAAUUCAUCUCUCUUAAACAAAAUAUAUUAGGGGUUUGCUUAAGAAAUCUCAGAUGUUUGAGAGUAAAGGCUUUCAAACUCCCAUGAGCUCCAUUGAAAAAUUGGUAAAAAAUAAAGUUGCUGCAUUUAAGAAUUCUUAUCUACACAAAAGUAUAGUUGGAUCUUAUAAUAUGUAACCUUAACCAGGCCUGAAAAAUUGAAUUCACAGUCAAUAAGCUUAGUCAAUUCCUUGUUGCUCCUUCUGUAUUUCAUUGGCAAGCUUGCUAACAUAUAUUGAGAUAGCUCCAAUACACAACCAAUUAUGGAUUAUAAUUCCACAACAUAAGAUCUAUCACACUUACAGCUUUUUCAAAUGUAGAUUGAGGACCAGAUUUGAAUGAUAGAAAGUCAGUGGGAGACUACUAUGUUUACUUAGGUAAUAACCUUUUAUCAUGGUCAUCAAAGAAGCAGCAAUUUGUUUCAAGAAGCAUAGUAGAAUCUAAAUACAUAGCUUUAGCUUUGACUGCCUUUGAAGUGCUCUGGAUAAUAUAAUUUCUUAAAGAGUUGCAAAUAAAAUUGUUGCAAACCCCAAUUCUUAACUGCGAUAACAAGAGUGCAGAAACACUAACUAGCAAUCCAAGAUAUCACUCCAAAACUAAACAUAUUGAACUUGAUCUACACUUUGCUAGAGAGUACAUAGCAUAGAAAGAGAUCCAAGUUCAUCAUGUUCCAAGCUAUGAUCAAUUGCAAAUAUACUCACUAAGCCAUUAGCUCUAGAUCAAUUUAACUAUCUUAGAUCCAACCUCAAUGUUCUUCCCAAACCUUGAGCUUGAGAGGGCCUGUUAAGAUAGUUAAUGAGCUGAUAAAAUUUGUUGCACGUGUGAGUUAGUUAAGUCUGUUAGAAAUACAAAUGUUUAAAGCUGAGUCAGCAAAUUAGUUAAGGUUGUUAAGAAUGCAUAGAUUCAGCUCAUGUCUAUUGUAUGUAGUGCUUAGAUUUAGUUAAUGUAGAUUGUGUGUACAACUUCUAGAAUUAUUUAGAUCUCAUUAUAAAUAUUGUAAUCAAUAAAUACAAUAAUAAGAAUCAUCAUUCUUUAUUUUCUCUCUAUUUCUCUCAUAUUUUCUCUGCAUCCAAACACAAUAUUUGCAGUUCUUGACUAGUCAUAAGUGUGUGAUAUAGUGUGCUUUGAAUGACCAAGUGUAAAACACAAUACAAAAACCUCCAUUGGUGGAGACUGGAGAGCUAUAUUCACAAACAAGCUUUGAUUUAUUUAAAUUUUAAGAAAUGACGAGGAGCUUACAAUAUAAAUCAAUGGUAUUGGCCCAUUUUUCACUUAGCCAAUAAAAGAGAUGAAUGUGAUUGUGUGCUUUUAGGAGAUAUCGAAGGGCUCACUUCGACUAUAAUGAUAUAGAAGUUUAUGGACUUAAACUCAUACUCAAACUUUGUCUUGAGAUUAAUAGUUGCCUUAAGUUUAUAUUAUUAGUUCGAUAACUAUUUCAACCAAUGUUGGAUAAUUUUCCUAUUAAACCUCGUCAGGUGUAUGCCAAUUAUUGUAUGUUUUCUAAUGCUAUUGGUGUCAAUGUGCAAGUGUACACAACAAGUAAUAUAAUGAUAAAUAUUCAAGAUCGUCUCCACAUGGAUUGUUAUUAUAGGAAUUGCUACAACAAUUUUAUCAGUGCAAUUUUUAUUCUAAAUUAAAAUUAAAACAAAUUAUGAAACUAAUGAACUAAUUAAGAUAAAAAUGCAAUAAGAAAAAAAUACAAUAAAGUAAAUUAUCAUGGCAAAUAUAAGGAUGUAACCAAGGGGAAUGAAGUAGUUGAGUGAUUAAACUCACUUAGUGGUUUUGACUGACUAUUUCCCUAAUGUUUGGCUCGGUUGUUGCAGCAUCUGUUACAGCAUUGGGUAGAAUGCUUAUGUAUCCUCAGUUGUUGCAUGUUGGAUGUCUUAUAUCUAAAUGCAACAUAAUAGUGACCAAUCAUUAUACUAAUAUCAUAUAUAACAUUACACGUUUUAGAUUUUAAUUACCCUACAAGGUGAAUCUGUAUAUCUAGUUUAUCACUAAUUUUAUAUUAAACAUGACUAUUUUCGAAUCAAGUUAAACCUAACUCAGGAAACUCAAUCUAAAAUCAAGUAUUACUCUGAUAUGUUCCACUAAAACAGGCCUUUUUGAUGCUCUCUCUUAACUAAUAUCAUGAAAUAGGUGGUCAGCUAAAAUAAUGAAUUGAAAUAAAUAUUAUCAAAACAAUAUGCUAUAGCAAAUAUGCAGCAACAUAGUAUAUCAGUCAAUUAACCAUCAAGUUUGUUCAUCACUCAACCAUAAGUAAAUUUAGUUUAAUCCGCGAUAAAACAAGAAUCAAAAUAGUUCUAGCCAUCAAACAAUUCAUCAUAACGAGAUAAAAACAAGAGAACAAGAAGUAAGAGUUGAGAUCCGCUUGAUGUUCUGCUGGAAUCCUUUGGUGCCGUCCUCCAUUCUCUCUUUUGAUUUUUGUUUUCUCUUGUUUUGUUUCUCUAUUUUUUUCUCUAAUGACAACCUCCUCUUUCUUUGUGUUUGUGCUUCUUCUAUAGCUUAGAAUUAAGGCAACCGGAAGUUUAGGGUUCACAUCUUCCAGUUUAGGAAACUCAAUAUCACAAUCUUCAAAGUAUCUCGCGCGAAUUCUUCUCUAUCAAUGCUCCAGGAUUGCUAUAACAACUGUGCUAUACCAACAUUGCUACAAAAACAACUUCAACAUCAACAAUGUUCCAGACUUAUUUCAAUUCUUUUCUAAGCAAAUUUUUUCCUUAUCUUUACAAGCCUAUUACAGCUGCAUUCCUUCCUUGAAAUUUAAACUUCUAGUCACCUAUCUAAGCACAUAAUUUAUUCUAAAUCAAACAAAACUUAUUAAAAGUAAACUAAAAUGGAUCAUACAAAAUAUUACUAAAAUGCAAUAAAAACAUAUCAUUUACUCUCUAAUUAAUCAUGAUUUAAGUCUAAAAGUGUCAUGAUAACUCUCAUUUGAUAGAGUUAUCACCAAUCUUUUUGUCCAGUCCUUAUCACGCGGUAUGGUAAUGAGGACUUACUUGUGCAUGACUUUGGUUCAACAUCAUAUAAAAGCUCGUGAGGGCUAACUCUUUCUUAACAGCAACCUUAAGAGUUAAGGGUUGUCUUAAGCUUAUAUUAUUUUUAUCCCAAUAACUAUUCUCAAUUGUUAAGUGAUGUUUUCUUUAUUAAGAGAGUUCCGUGAAUAUGUACUGCCUUUAGCACAAUUGUUAUGAAGUGGAUGAUCUGCAUAAGAAGAUUCCAACUCCCAACACAAGCACUGUUAUCUUUCUUCUGGAUACAAUCUUCAGCAUUGGCAUGAAUUAUAUCAUCAACAUAUGCAUAAAAUUACACUUAAGGACAAUAAAAUUAAUCAGACAUAGUUUUUUCUCCCAAAUAAAUUAUUCACAUUCAUAAUCAUUUUUUUUCACUUUUUUACAUGUUGCUUCUUAUCUAACUAAAAUAAAUUGUACAAAUUUAGAUAAUCUAUUAUUCUUUUCAAAUUUCUUAUUGAUUAUAUAUUUUUAUACUUAAGAUUGAUUUAAAAUUAUAUAGUAAAAUACGUGUAAUUUAAGCGAAUGAUUAACAUUAAAAAAUUUAUCACCCAGAAAAGUUUUUAAUUUGUUUGUUGGAUAAUAAUAAGAUUGCAAAGAAAUGAAAAAUAGCACAACACUACUUUGAGUUUUAACAAUAAAAAAAUUGAAUAAAAGAUUAGAAGUGUAUUUUAAAAAAAGAUAUUGUUGGAAAUAAAGUAAAUAUAAUUAAAAAAAGGUGUUUCAUGAAUAAAUGAGAGGGAUGUCAAUAGUCCAACUCUUUUGUUUAAAAUUUUAAGAUGUUGGUAUUUGAAACUUAGCUUUUUCCUAAUUAUUAUAUUAAAAUGUAAUAACAAUGAUGAUAAACCCUAGUUUCAUGGAGGUCAAAGAUUUUGGUCAUGCCCCAUGAAUUAGUUGGGACAUACUUUAUGUAAAUUUAUUUAGGUUUAAUAAUUUGAUCAAGACUAUAUAAGGCGCCGCCUGGAGUCAUAGAAUUUUAUAUGUCAAAAGUGCAUUUCACUUCAAUUAAGCCAUAAACGUCAUUUAAUAUACUCAAUUUGUAUUUUAAAAAAAAGUUUUAUUAAUUUUUUUUAUUUUAAAAAUAUCAUUUAUUUAUUUAUUUAUUUAUUUUAAACUUUUUUAAUGGUAAAGAGGUGAGUAAAGUCCAAAUUCAAUUUUUGUCCAUUAAGUAAUAGCCCCUGAGAUUUUGAACUCAGGUGACUAGCUAAAUGUAUAACAAUAGGCAUUUCGAAUUUCAUUUUAAAAUGAUAUGCAAUUCAUUAAGUGAUUAUUAAUUUUUCACAAGAUCUUAGUGAAUUAAUUGUAUUAUCUCACUAAUCAAUUGAUGAGUGCCAUAGUAUUUGGGAUAACUUUUGGAUAAAAAAAUUGCGAUGGAUGAAAUAUCCUUUUGAGAAUUUAAUGAUUUAUCUCAUUUAUGACUUAUUGUUGCAGUUAAGUGAUAUUACAAGUAAUUUUUGCAAUAAUAUUAUUGUUUUGAUGAGUAAGUUUGGAGUAAAUAAUACAUAUGACAAGCGUGAGGUUUGUUAUUGUGUUUAUUCUAUGGAUGUAUUUUAAAGCAAAAAAAGGCACCGAUUCAUUAUGAUUCCAGAUAAUUUCAACUCAUAAGUAAUUAUUGGGAUAAAAAUAAAGUAAAAUGGUUAAAACUAUUUUUAUGUAAUUUAUAAAAAUCAAUGAAGCAACUACAAAAAUUUUUAACAUGAAAAACAAUUAAAAUGUGUGUGGAAAAAAAAAAGAAGGCAUUUAAAUAUCUUUUAAAAAAAUAUGAUUGAGUAAAAUCAUUUUAAGGAAUGCUCUUCCAAAUGCAAUUCCACCCUUUUUUUAUUGCAUUGGGAUAUCCCAAAAUUGGCAAAACUCAUUAAGAAUUCGGCAAUUCAAUUUUUAUUUAUCUCUCUAUGCAUUUGACAAAUCAAAAAGAAAAAAAGUUCAUAUAUCUUCUGUUCAAAAGAAACCUUGUUAAAUAUUGUAAAACAAAUAACUAAUUUUUUUCAUUUAUGCCAUUAUAUUGUCACUAUUUACUCGCCCACUCUCUGAAAAUAGAAUCAAUAUUUAUUGAUGGGUUAGGUUCCAAAGUAAGCACCAAUUCAGCAAAAUGGUUUUAUAGCAGAAAAAGCACUUGUGGGACAUUCAGAACCCAUUUUUCCAUUUUGUCUUUUGAAAAUGAGUCUUGAGUUUCCACAAGCCAAGAAGAAUGGCUAACAAACGAAUGGUACCAAAGAAAGAGAAACACACAUACAGAGACAGAGAUUAUUGGGGAGAUAUAAAUGUUUGUUUAAUAUGUAUAUAUAUAUAUCCCCAUUAAUUGUUGAUAGUCCAAUGGGUAUGUGCAAAAGGAAAAAAAUUGACUGUCCUUUAAGACAAAAUUGAUUGUCACAAGAAAAUGUUUGCACUCUUGCACACAACAAAAAUAAAGAUUCCAAGAACAAAUUUAUGGUACUCGUUUUUGUCCAAACUUAUGCGAUAAAAAUUAGUUUAAAUGACGCUUGAAAUACGUAGACCUUCACAGAAUUGAUUAGAUAUUUAUAGUAGGAUGGAGUGAUAAAUAGUUUCACAAAAUUAUUGGAAUUAACUAAUUAAUACAUGAGAUCUAUCUCAUUAAGAAUAAAAGAUUAAGAUGUUACUUCAAAAGCGUGACAUUGCUGGCAACAAAUUUAACACAAAAGUUUAAUUAAUUUUCCUAGUUGACAUAGUAAAAUCUCAUGUUGAAAAAAAAAAAAAAGUUUCAGGUUUGAUCCUUCUCAUUCAAGAAAAUCAAGCCAAAAUCAGUACAUCGUCCAGCAUAUAUCAAAGAUUUUUUCAAAGGCAAACUAAUAAUUCACGGGAGGAAAAAAAGAAAAAAAGAGAAGGAACAUAUGCUAUUCAAGACAUGUAUAGUUUGGACAUGAAGUCUAAGCCCAGAACAAUAAGCACCUAGCUGAGUUUUCAAUUUCCAAAACCCAACAAAAUCUUUGUCAAAAUAUCUGAUCUAGUCCCAUAUUAAGCACAUUCAUAGCCGUAUCAACAGGUUCAAAAUAUUUUCCCCAAAAAGAGAUAGAGAUUCCAUUGAGUUGUGAUUGUCCAAACGUUCUGUAACAAGUUAUGGGAGCCCCUAUGUUACAAUUAAUGUAACAUACACACUCAACAACAACCACACAAGUUAUGGUUAUUCUUGUAACACAAAUCCAAUAUUGCGCAACAAAAUUUUUUUUCUAGCUCGAUGGAUUAGUUUUAAAUUAAAAAAAAAAGAGUAAAAAGACCAACCAUGCCUGUGAAUCCUUUUUUUUUUAAUUUUUCUAAAUCUAUCAAAUGAAAAUGUAAUUAUAUGGUUCAGGAUACCAAUAUGCCUGAUCUGCAAUGGUUGACUUGCACUAUCCUAGAGGGGCUAUACUUUAUGUUGAAUUUCCUUGUUUUUUUUUUUAAAAAGAAAAAAUUACUAGGUUUAUUAUUGAAAAUCUUCGACACAUUUUAUGUAAGAUACCAUAAAGCCAAAUACAACCUUUUUUAUUCUCAGCAGCAACUUUUUUUUUCCAUAUAAAUAAUGUGGAAAAUAGCACCACCUUUUCUAGAAGGUGGUGCCCACCACUUUUGAAGAAGAAUGCGGUUGUUACUGCAUUCUUUGAAUCAAAGAAAAUGUUAAAAGUCAUGGCUGGCACCGACCAUCUAGAUGGCCAGUGCCAUGCCAUUCAACACGGCCCGCCAUUGUUGGUGGUGCUGUGUUGACUUGUUAAAAGAAAAGAGCCAAAAUUUUGGCUAUAUAAAGAGGGGUUCCUACCCUCAUUUUAGUAUCCAAUUCCGUGGGAGCAGUUAGUCUAUACAUGGCGAAUCCGGGUGGAGAGCAUUGGAUAGCUGUGAAAAUGAUUCUGAGAUACAUCAGAGGAACCUCAGAUGUUGCAUUAUGUUAUUGAGGAUCAGAAUUUACUGUCAGAGGCUAUGUGGAUUCAGAUUUUGCAGGAGAUCUUGAUAAAAGAAAAUCCACUAUUGGUUAUGUGUUUACACUUGCGGGAGCAGCUGUAAGCUGGGUUUCUAAACUGCAGACCGUUGUGGCUUUAUCUAUAGCAGAAGCAUAAUACAUGGCAGCUAUACAAGCUUGCAAGGAAGCUAUUUGGAUACAAAGAUUAUCGGGCACAAACAACAGAAAAUUUCUGUAUUUUGUGACAGUCAGAGUGCUUUGCACAUUGCAAGGAAUCCAGUCUUUCAUUCCAGGACAAAGCACAUAGGAGUUCAGUAUCACUUCGUUCGAUAAGUAGUGGAAGAUGGAAGUGUGGAUUUACAGAAAAUCCAUACGAAGGAGAACCUAGCAGAUGUUUUGACCAAGCCGAUAAAUGCUGACAAGUUUAUCUGGAGUAGAUCUUCUUGUGGCCUAGUAGAAACGUAGGCAACAUGACUAUGGCGAAGCAGAAAGGAUGGUGUGGAGAUUAAUUGAUUCUCAAUCAAAUCUCCAAGUGGGAGAAUGUGGAAAAUAGCACCACCUUUUCUAGAAGGUGGUGCCCACCACUUUUGAAGAAGAAUGCGGUUGUUGCUGAAUUCUUUGAAUCAAAGAAAAUGUUGAAGGAUUUGGUGCCGCCUAAAGAAAACUUUGACAAAGAAGAAAGAAAAAUCUGCAAAAGGUGGUUGGUACACCAAAUGAAAGAAAAAAAUAAUAAUUAAAUUAUUAUUUUAAUAGCCAAUUUUGGCUAUAAAAAUGGAGAGCUCCAUUUUGAUUUUGGCAUCCAAUUUUGUAGAAAGAGUCGAGAAUUGUGAGAAGUAAUUCUUGCAGAGCAGAGAGUUUUGUGUACUUAGUGUUUUGAGAGUUUGGGUGUAUUGGGGUUUUGGGUAGUGAGCUAAAAUACUACAAUACUUGUAACUACUUUUCACUAGUAUAAUAUUUUCCUUCUGUUUUCGUACGUGGACGUAGGCUAAAAGUCGAACCACGUAAUUUCUGGUGUCCUCUAUUGUGCUUGUUCUUUAUUUUCUUUCAAUUUUACUUUAGCUACGGUUCUGCUUAACCCACCAAUUUACUAACAAAUAACGCUUUAAACAUUAUUUGCAACAAGGAAGAAUUAUUUCAUGCUUUCAGGUAUUACAAACUUUCCAGAAAGCCACGGUAGCCAAGAGGAGCACAAAUCGGGAGUUUUUUGGAGGUACUAUAAAACUACUUAUUUUUCUAAUUAUGAGAUCGCCAACCAACUGUUACAAUUAUUAUUAUUAUUUGGCAAACCUCUACAUGACAAUGGAGAUUUAUUAGAUUUAAAAUGGAUAAUUUCAAACAUCUCAUAUUAUAUUGAUCCUUUCAAAAUCAAAUUACACGCAAAGCUGUUAAAAAAUUAAUAAUAAUAAGUAAAUCAACGGCAAAGAGGGAAAAUUAUACAUUUAAAUCAUUAAUUUAUUAUGAAAAUUUUCGUUUUACACUGCGAGUUAAGGAUGGCAAUGGAUCGGAUCUGACCCAAGAUCCAUAUGAUCCAAAUCCAAUUGGAUCGGAUUUGGGUUGGAUUAAAGUGGAUUUGGAUGGAUUUGGAUGUCAAUGCGUGGAUCUAAGGCGGAUCUGGAGCAAAUUCAGAUUUAUCUUAAUAUCUAUAUCCAAAUCUAUAUUCACUCACCAUUUAAUGUAAUUUUAUUUUAAAAAAUUCUUAACAAUUAUGUAAUUAUAAAUGAUGAUAAAAUUUAUUCAUUAGCAUGUAUUUAAGAAUCUUAAAACUUAAAGGUACUUAAUUGAUAAUAAGACAAAAAAUUAUCAAGUGUAAAAUAAAACUAGGAUAGCCUGCCCUAAUUUUUUUAAGUUUUUCACUCUACAAUUUAGUCUCUUUUUUCCUCUUUAGUUUACUCUCGCUUCUCCACUUCAUUUGAAUGAUUGGAUCAGUUCUUUAAUUGUUAGGAAAAUCCAUAGACUUGGGUUUAUUUUUCUACCAUUUUCUCAUAAUCUUAUUUAUUUUGUAUAAUCACUAAUCAAUGGUGGCUAUCAACUAUAAAAUAAUUAUGUUAAUCAUAUAUUUCGUUAAAUAUGAUCAUAAUAAAAAUAAUAAAGCACUGAAUAUAAUAAAUCAUUUUUAACUUAUAUGUUAUUAUUUAAUGAUAUAGGAAUGAUGAUGGUGUGCAGUGGAUAUCAAGAUAGUAAAGGAGACAUUAGAAUAUUAUAAUGAUCUUAUUCCUUCAAUUACUUUUGAUCGAUAUUUUAUUGUCUUUCUUAUUUAUUUAUUUUGGUGUAAAAGUAGAAGCUGCAAUACUUAUUAGAUUUUUUGUACACAUUAUAUAAUUUAAUUGUUACCAGUGCAUUUUAGUCUUAAAUUUUAUUUCUAAAAAAAUUGAUCUCUUAUUAUUGAGAUUUAGAAUUCAUGAUGGAUCUAGAGCAGAUUUGGAUUUUAAUUUUUCUUUUUGGAUUUGGAGCAGAUAUAGAUCUUUAUUUUUUGUUUCGGAUCUAGAUAUGGAGCAAAAAAUAUAGAUCCAUGACGAAUCUGAAGCAGAUAUGGAUUUUAAUUUUUAUUACGGAUUUAGAUCUGGAACAAUGUAGAUCCAAUCCAUAUCUGCUCCAUUGCCAUCCCUACUGCGAGAUAUAGCAUUCUUCAAUUAAUCACAUCAUACUUGUUGGAUGAGUUUCGAAUAACCCAAAAACGACACGUACAUUACUUCAUUGCAUUGGUAGCAGUUUGGUGCUUUGGGUUUGAAAAUGGACCAAGCUCGUGCAAUUACAAUUCUUUUAUGCCAAUAGGAAAACUAGACCCUAUUUUUAGUUAAAUGUACACAAAAUAGGAAAACUAGGUCCUAUGGUUUAUUUAAAUGUACACAGACAUCUCUCAAUUUUUUAAAAAAAUUGUUAAAUAAUUUUUUUCUUUUACUAUCAUAAUCUUUACCUAUGGCAACCAAAAAAAAAAAUGAUUUUAUCAUAAUCGUCCCAUGCAACACCUCUCUCAUGAUCACGCAUGUAAUGUACCUCAUCAAACCAAGCCACUUCACGCGUAAUCUCCGAACCUUAUAGUUUAUACUGCAUACUACGCCAGAUUUCAGUAGUCAUCACCUGAAAUUAAAACAAAUCAAAGCGCUGCAACACCCAAAAGAUGACACUACCAAGUUGACCUACCAAACAAGAAGCAUUAGGGUCAAUUGUGACAUCCCCAGUCAUCAAACCAACAUCUGAAAACUCUUCUUUAAACUCCCUGUACUUCUGAUUGCUAAGUGCCUUAAUCGGGGAAGUAUAUAUCACACGUUGCUUAUUCCGCAACGACAUAGCAAUAGCAUACAAUGCUACCACAGUUUUCCCAGCAGAUGUAUGGGCCGAUAAUGAAAGGCAAAUCCAUUUUUUUAAAAAAAAAAAAAACUAUUUUUAUUUUCACACAAGAUAACACUUGAUGCAAAAAAUUGGCAGAGCACUUUCUACGAAAGGACUUCCAAAUUCAAAUUAAAUUUUUUACAAAAAAUUAGAGCUUUAUUGUGUGCGCGCGGGCGCGCGUCCGUGUAUAUUUUAAUAAUAAUAAUAAUAAACGAACCAUAACGGACUCGCCGUUGUCGAGGCACUUGAUAGCUUCGGACUGGAAUCAUCUUCUGAAAUUAGUACAUUCCAUGCUUCGGAAUCAUCUUGCAUGAUUGGUCGAGAGUGAAAGGGAAUUCCUUAGCAGGUUUAGCGUCAGCUUCAGGCACUUGACCAAGACGCAUUAAACAGAAAAUGCGGCGUUUUCAUGGACUAGUACAUUCCAUGCUUCGAAAGUUUUAUGUUUUAGACUGAUUGGUUUGAUACAUUAUUUGUUUAUUGCAUUUUUCUUGCUUUAAAUAUUAUGUUGGAUUGAUAAGUUUUGUACACAUUUAUAUUGCUCGCAGUAAAUAAUUUAUUACAUUUAAAAAACUAUCAACCGUCUAUCAAAAGAUUUCUACUAUAAAUAUAUGUACACAACAAACUUUUAAUUUGGUCAAUUUGUUCUCUUAUUUAUUUUUGUUCUAUUUCUCUUUUCCUUUCAUUUCAUUUUAUUGUUUUAUGGUACAAAAAAAAAUAACCUUAAAAUUUAAGGGUAAAAUACUCAUUUUACUAAAUUCCGUUUAAUAUCAUAAUGCUGUCAAUGGACAAUGGCAAAGUACACGAGUGAUACAAAUUAAAAACAAAUAAAUUGAAAGUUUUUAUGUAUUUUCCUUUUAUUUUUUUAUAGCCGAUUGAGAUUUCCCUUCGUAUUCUUAAAUUCAAUACGUUUAGACCAUUUAAAAAAUUUUAAAUUAAAAAAAACCCGUGGUGUAAUAACAAACUCACAUCAAACCCUGUCCACUGUCAUCCCUAAUAAUAUUUACCACUUCAUACUCAAGAGUGAUAAUAACUGUGUAUCACAAUUGAUUUUGCAUACGGGUAAAAGUUCCAAGUCUGGAUAUUUAGUUAACGAAAUUGAUGAAAAGGGCACGAAAGAAAAUAAGAAAUUAAAUAAUACAGGUGGUAUUAAUCAUUACAUAUUUAGUUAAUGAAAAUUGAUGAAAAUAUUUCUGCAGACAUGAGCCGUAAUUAUAAUACCGUUAAGAAUGAAGCGGCAGAGUUUCCCCAAACAAGCUAAAACACGGCACCUGAAUUUAAAGAAUUUUUAUGUCACAGUAUCGGGACAAAAAGUUUAAUGCAAUAACAUACAUUAAGUUAAUUCCAUAAUCUAUCACCAAAGAAAGACAAACACAAGCUUAUAAGAUUAGAACUUUGGAAAACAUUGAAGAGUCGGACAAAAUUGUGUAACCUUCAGAGUUUAGAGCCUAGUUCAUCCAGGAAAGCAAAAGAAAAUAAUAAUAAUAAUGGUGGUUUGAUCUCAAAAGGUGGCAUCAAAGUGGUAACUUUGAGGUAUUGGAAGCAAUAACGUCUUCAACUUUGUCCUGAUUUCGAAGUCCCUUAACCCAUCCGCCAUCAAUGGAUUGAAUGCUUCCAUUCAACCCAUCAUCCACAAAAUCACCAACCCGUUUCACCUUCAUCUCCUACGCUUAACAGGGUACUUCCCAGAGAAGCUAGCAUAACAAAAAUUCUGAGAAUCAUUGCCUAACAACUUGUUCAAGAUGUCAAUCGGCAGAGAAGCAAGCAAAUCACACCCAAUAAACUCCCUGAUUUCCUCGACGCUCAUCCUGUUGGAAAUCAACUCCUCAGUACUCGGAGUGUCCACUCCAUAGUAACAAGAAGCUAUGAUUGGUGGGCUUGCAAUUCUCAUGUGAACCUCUUUAGCUCCAGCCUCCUCAAGCAACCUAACAAUUUUGGAUGAAGUUGUUCCUCUCACUAUCGAAUCAUCGACAACCACAACUCUCUUUCCCUCCAACACUCCCCUUACAGGAGAGAGCUUAAGCUUGACACCAAAGUCCCUAAUCUUCUGGGAAGGCUCAAUGAAAGUUCUCCCAACAUAGUGUGACCUUAUCAACCCUUGUUGAAAUGGCACCUCGGCUUUGGCAGCGUACCCAAGUGCAGCCACCACUCUAGAAUCUGGUACUGCAAUCACGACAUCACACUCAACAGGAGCCUCGGUAGCAAGUACUUCCCCAAAAUGAUUCCUCGACUCAUAAACAGACCUUCCAAAAACAACAGAAUUAGGCAAAGCAAAAUAAAUAUGCUCAAAGAUGCACUGCUUAGGUUCAGGGUGAGGGAUGAAACAAAGUGAUUGAACCCCAUCUUUAUCCACCAUCAAAACUUCUCGGGGAUGUACCUCUCUCUCGUAUGUGGCCUCAAUCAAAUAGUGCACAAGUCUCUGACGCAAAAACCACAGCACCAUUACUCCUCCUACCCAUCACCAACGGCCUAAACCCGUACGGGUCACGAACCGCAACAAGCUUAUCCUCAGUAACAAACACCACUGAAUAAGCACCCUCAAGCUUCUCACAAGCAUCCACAAUCCUCAAAAAGAACGGCCUAGCUUUCGAUAUCGCAAUCAAAUGGAGAACAACCUCAGUAUCAGAACUAGUAUUAAAAAUGGAACCAUUAUCUUCAAGCUUAGCCCUCAAAGUAUUAUAGUUAAAUAAAUUCCCAUUAUGUGCAACACCUAGAGAACCAAACCUGUACCCAGCAACAAAAGGCUGCACAUUCUUAAGCAUGCAGUCGAAUAUCUAACAUGACCAAUGGCCAUAUCGCCAGGCAAUUGAUCAAGUUUAGACUGAUUAAACACAUCAGAGACUAAACCAGCACCGGUAAUAGACUGAAGAACUUUAUUAUUCACAGCAACUAUAACUACACCUUCUUGGCCGCGAUGCUGCAGAGCGUGCAGCGCCAAAUAGCACAAACGCGAGGCCUCUGGGUCACCGUAUGAAACGACCCGCCCCGAAUCCCCCGGGCGAGUCAAUCUAGUCUCAUCAAAACGGAUUUGAUAAUAAUCUAAUUAGUAAGGAUUCUGCCGAAAAUUAGGCAAAGUCUCCUUUAUAUAUAUAACACUCCCAAUCUACAAAUAUGAAUAUAACACUCCUAAUAUAAUUCAAUAUACAACAAACUCCAGUGACCAACAUCCUCAACCAAAAUGCUGAGUUUUAUAUCUCUAGAGUCUCAAAAGAUAAUAUUAUAACUAAUAUUAAUAUUUUAGUUUAUUCUUAAUCCCAAAAGAAUAAUACAACAAAAAUUAUACAAUCCCAACAGGACAAGAUAAUCAAAAGAUGUCCUAACAAAAACAUUUAUAUCUUCUAACAUCAUCACGUGGCCAAGACUCAAAAUAUAUUUACAGUCGCUGGGUCGGUCUAGUGUACCUGCUACCUCCUGGUGAGGGGGAAAAAAUAUAAUAAAAACGGGGUGAGUUUAAAACUCAGUGAGAUCAGUGAGUGGAUAGUAGUUUUUGAAAAUUAAUACUUACUUUAAAAGAAAUAUUCAUAUAAUUUCCAAACACGAUUUCAUCAAAUCAUAUGCAAGAAACCAAUAGUAAAUCAUUUACAUUUAAAUCAGAUUACUAACCAUGAAAAGCAUAUAUAAUAUUGUACCAAAUAACCAUAGAAAUUAUAUUACAAUAUCAUAUAUAAUACACAAAUUUGAAAAUCAUCACCAAACAAGUACCUAGAGAAAUAAUCUCAUCAUAUCCGGACCUCAACGGACGGGCAAUGACGUUCUAUCUGGGUACCGUCAUGCCCCAGAGUUACACGGAUAGACAGGGAAAUAUCAUCUCAUAUCUCAUCAUAUCUUAUCAUAUAUGUGCGUGCAUAAUCUAGUCCCCAAAGGACAAAAGCGCCCAAGCACACGGCUCAAAGCCUCUGUGUGUACUCAGACGGGCCCCAAAGGCUUGUAUCUCAUCUGUAUCAUCUGUAUCUCAAUAUCUGUCUGUAUCUCAUAUCUGUGUAUCUGUAAUCAUCAUACCGCAUGCAUAUGCCCUCAAAAGGCAAAAACGCCCAAACACACGGGCCAAAGCCUCUAUGUGUGUUCAAACGGGCCCCAAAGGUCUCUCAUCUCAUCUCAUCUGUAUGGGUACUAUCUAGUGAUUUCAAAAACAAUCAUUAUACUCAUAUUCACAUACUUUUUUAACCAUAUUUUAAAUCAUACCACAUUUGAAUCCACUUUUCUUAUCUUUAAAAUAUUAUCAUGCUUAUUCAAAGUCGAUACAAAAAAUCAUUAACCAAACAUUUUAAUAAAAUACCAAUACGUGGACAAAAUCCAUUUCGAGGUAAUCAUUAAAUCAGAUCAUUUAAAAUACUUAUUUUGCAAACAUGCUUUACUAUCAUAAUUAACUAUGAAAAUAAGUUUUGUAUAUUCUACUCAUAGUGACGGUGUUCACGCUUGGUUAUCGUCUACGUCCGCAAACCGAUUCUUGCUCGUGGAUCCUCCUAAAUCAAGGAAAUAACAUAAAUAUUUUCCGUAAAACGGAAUUAGGACUAAAUUUAUGCAAUAAACUCGAAACGAAAAUCUAUCCAUAAUUUACAACUCCCGUGUCGAUAAAACUGCUAAAAUGUCCUCGAGUCCAUAAAUCAUUAAAAUACUUCGAAAUCGGAAAUCACUGAAUUACCCUCGGAAUCGUAAUUACACCAAUCCUCACUUCUAGGAAUUACUAAAAUAUCAAUAGGCUCAGAAAUUACAAAAUUGCCCUCAUAGUGUGAAAUUACCGAAAUGCCCUUGUCGAUCAACAGUCACUGGAAUUUGGUCAACGUUGGCCGGGAAGCACAAGUCUGAAAGUUCCAAUCAUGCUGAGUUCAAUGGUACCGGCGGUGAGCUCCAACGCGCGGCAACGACGUUGGAAUCUAGCUCGGCAACCGUGAAUUCCAACAAUUGACCGGCGGCGAAACAGUGACUCCCGGUGCCUAUGGAUGGUCGAAAAUGGAAGAAGGAGUCAUGAGGAACAAAAUCCAACCAGUGGUGUCACCCAAAACCGGUGAAAAUCCCGGUGGAACAAAAUGAAACAGUCGCGGGUUUUCAAGCUUCGAUCACCGGCGUUCCGGUUGGUUUUCGGCGGCGAUGGCAGGGGAACGACGGCUGGCUUCUAAGCUUCAGAUUGGUACCAAGCUCGGCCGAAACAGUGGCCGAAAAUGAAAGUUAUGGCCGGGUCAAUUUCGCAGGUCGUGUCGGGUUUUCCGGGUCAGUUGAUAGCUUCUGUUACUCUCAUACGUGUGUGUAUAAGUUCCAUGUUUCUAACUUAUUCUAUUAUUUUUAAUAAAGUCUUUAACCGCCUCAAUUUCAUUUUUAAUUCACAUAUGUUACAAUCCUCCCCCCUUAUAAAAAUUUCGUCCUCGAAAUUUACGUACCUGAUAAGAAAAGAUAGGGAUACUGAGCUCGCAUUAAGUCCUCGCGUUCCCAGGUAGCCUCUUCCUUUGUAUGAUUCUUCCACCAUACUUUUACUAAAGGAAUGGUCUUAGAAUGCAGAACUUGGUGUUUCUCUUCCAAUAUCUCAACUGGUUCCUUUUCGUAAGUCAAAUCUUCCUUCAACUGAAUUGGUUGCUACGAUAACACAUGACUCGGGUCAUAUAUGUACUUCUGGAGCAUUGAGACAUGAAAUACAUCAUGGAUUCUGGAUAACUCGGGUGGUAGAGUUAAUGGACCAAUGCGCUCAAUGAUCUCAUAUGGCCCAAUGUAAUGUGGACUUAGCUUCCCACGUUUCCCAAAUCGAAGCACCCUUUUCCAAGGAAAUAUCGGUAUGAAAACUCUAUCACCAACUUCGAAUUCAAGUUCCCGCCUACGCUUGUCUGUACAGCUCUUUUGUCUAUCUUGAGCCACCUUUAAUCUAUCCCGGAUCAAUUGUAUCUUCUCGUUAGUAUCUUGGACAAGUUCUGAACCGAAUAACCUCCGCUCACCAACCUCAUCCCAACAUAUUGGAGUCCUGCAUUUUCUACCAUACAAAGCCUCAUAUGGUGCCAUCUCAAUACUAGCUUGAUAGCUGUUGUUGUAAACAAACUCCAUCAGAGGUAAAUGAUUGUCCGAUUUACCUUUCAACUCCAUAACACAAGCUCGCAACAUAUCCUCUAGAGUUUGAAUAGUACGCUCUGAUUGUCCAUCAGUCUGUGGAUGAAAAGUUAUACUGAAGUUCAACUUUGUGCCUAAGGGAUUUUGCAAGCUAGUCCAGAACUUAGAAGUAAACUGGGAAUCUCUAUCUGAAACUAUAGACACGAGUACUCCGUGAAGUCGAACUAUCUCAGCCACAUAAAUACUCCCUAACUUGUCCAUCGAAUAGGUGGUUGAAUGGUAAGAAAUGAGCAGAUUUUGUAAGUCGAUCAACAACUGUUAGAGUGCAAUUUAUGCACUAGUUUUGCAUUGUUUACUUCCCUUAAUAUCGAUGUUUUGCACUUAAUAAUAAUGUUUUACUUGUGUUUUACUUUUGUAGGUGCAAUUCUAUUGAUUGGUGAUAAAAUUGAGCUAAAAGAUGAUGUUUAAGGAGGAUUUUUCUCUUGGAGAAAUUAUGAGCGUCAGAAGAACUUUGUUGAUAAGGCGUGGGCGCGUGCUGUCAACUGCGGACCUGCAGUUUUUAGUUUAACGUGUUUUGUAUUUUUGGUUAUUUUUGUAAUUACGAAUUUAAUAUUUCAGAUAUUAGUAUUUUAUUUUAAAUAGAAUUCUAAAAGAGAAGAGAGAGAGAGUAUUUAAGGGAGGAAUCUAUUGUGAAAAAGGGGGGAUUUUUGGAUUGGAGAAAAAGAAAGAAACCCUAGAUUUAAUUUUUCUCUCCUCUCUAUGAAGAACUAAACCUAUUUUUCUGGUUGAAGGAUAACGAAGCUUUGAUUCAUCACUACUGUGAGAUCUUUCUUGUGCUUUAAUUGUUUUAUUGCUUUUUGGGUAUUUGUUUAUUCUCUGAAUUAGUUUCAUGAUUAUGUUUGUUAAUUAGGUAAUUGGCCACUAUUUAAUUAUCAACUUAAUCUAUUGUCAAUUAAAGGAUUCAUCGUAUGAAGAAUUUAAUGCUUGUGACAAAUAACAUAGCAGAGAGUUGUGUUGUGAGAAUAAACAAUCUAAUUUAAAUAAAUCAUCAUAUGUGUUGAUUAGGAUUUGGGUCUCUCUGGUUUUUCAGGCUGUCAAUUGAUUAAAUUCUAUGAUCGUAUCUAGGGUUGUCUAUUGAUUAGGGAAAUAACCAACGGUCGUACCUUGGUUAUCGACUAGUUAAGGAGAGAUUGGCUAUUAGAGGGUCUCAGUAGCUAUAACCGGUCUAUUCAUGAGUAAUAAUAAUCUAUAUUUGAAUCAAUGAUCAGUAGUCGAAUCAAGCUGAGUUAAUUCCUUCAACCAGAGCUUUCUCUAAUUUGAAUUACAACUUUAAUUUGCAUUCUUGUUAUUUUAAUUUGAUUUUUAUUAUUGUCAACAAUUCCCCCAUUUUACGUUUUACGUUUCAAAAGGAUUUAAUUAAUUACCGAUCUCUGUGGACACGACCCUGCUCAAUCACUAUACACAAUUUAUUUAGAGUAGGAAUUUAUUUUUGUUGGCUUCGACACCCAUCAACAACCACCCAAACACUAUCAUGUCCUUUCUGAGUACGUGGAAGUCCUGCUACAAAAUCCAUGGUGAUGUGCUCCCACUUCCACUCAGGAAUAGGAAGCGGGUGAGAACACCCUGCAGGCCUCUGGUGUUCAGCCUUAAUCUGCUGACAGACUAAAUAUCGAGAAACAAAUUCUGCUAUCUCUCUCUUCAUACCCUGCCUCCAGUAAUGAUCCAUUAGGGUGCGAUACAUCUUCGUACUACCAGGAUGCAUCGCAUAUGCUGAACAAUGAGCUUAUUCCAUAAUCUCUUCUUUCGGAUCUUUAAUAUCAUGUACACAGAGUCUAUUACCCAUGACUAAGACUCCAUUGCCUCUCACCGUAAAAUCGGUUCGUAAACAUUUUUGCACAUCCUCUUUCAACUGCAUUAACUGUGGGUCCUGAGCUUGCAUCUGGUGAACUUUGUGAAUCAAAGUCGGCCUAACUCGAAAAUUAGCUAUCAAAGCUCCACAAUCGUCACCGUUCAACUCGACUCCCAAAGAUCUCAACUCGAUCAACAGAGGCAUCUAUUUCACUCGCAAGUGAGCUAUAGAGUUGGAAGACUUCCUACUGAGUGCAUCAACUAGAAAAAACAUACCUCUUUGAGAUACUGCAAAUUGGCUUUAAGUUCAAUACUGUUGAUGGUCAAGUUGGGACAGUAAUGAAGUUGUAACUCUUCCAAUGCUGUCCAAAUUGAACAAUAAUUUUCUUAACAGAAGCUGACGAGUUCUGGGAGACUUCGAAGUGUUAAUUCUCUUAACAAAGGGAGGGCGAGCAUCGUAUUUCCAUCUCUGACACUUAUUUCCCCUUCAUUGUGAUCAAACUUUGCUUCGACAAUACAUUCCAGCCUGUCGCAAUAAGUCACACUGAGACUUUUAAGCUGCUCCAAACUUCGAGCUUGUGACAACGUGAAGAUAUAUGUCAAAUUAUGGCAGCCAUACACACUCAAUUCUGUAAGAGUUUGGAGGCUGAUCACAUGUUGGGCAGGCGCCUUCCACAUCCACUUUGCUAAUCUUGAGAGCACCUCAUGAUUCCCACUCUUUCAAUGCGGCGACUGAGAGGCGUCCGCAUUGCAUUCUAAAUCUUCACAAUAGUUGACAAAUAGAUGAGUCAACUCAUUUAAGCCCCCUUCAUCUAUGCUUGGAACAAUAUUAUGGAGACCUAUUAUCCUUUUCAAAUUAAGAAAUUUCAGAUUUUGACACAAUGUCGAAAAAAUACUGAGCGAGGCCGCUUCACAAUAGUUAAUCAUUAAGCACCUGCUCCGUCCAAAAAAUUCAUCUUCUUUUUUCGUUCCAACUUCAAGUUUGUUACAGUUACUGACGAAGUACAUUUGCAAUUUUGGAAAUGUAAAGUCUUUUGAAAGACGUACAAUUUUUUGUUCAAUAUGUAAAGUCUUUCCAUCAUCAUCUUGGAUUUCAUCAUCGUCGGGUUGGGAGUUCAACUCAGCAGCCCUAGCGUAACUUUCUUCUGAACUCAUCCCUUCAGCCUCCCAAUCUUUUAUCCAACCAUAAAAUUCUUCUAAUUGAGGAAAUUUUUUUAUCGUAAUAGGAGAAAUAGAACCAGAAUCAAUGAAUAGAAGAAGUUUCAAUCUACUAAGUUGAUCCUCAAAUUCUUCAGGAACUUCAAUGGGAGACCCAUUGACACAAACAAUUUGAAGUCUCUUCAACUUUCCAAGGAAAGACGCGUCACUCACUUUACAUCGAAUCAACUGCAGAACUUGGAGGUUGGUGAGGAAUUAAAGCGAUUUAAGUGAAAGAACUCCACCUAUUAUAGUAAUAACUUUUAAUGCUGGCAUCUUUUCGAAAAAAUAUUCUGGAACUUGCAAUCGGUCGCCAUAUUUAGCAUUCUCCAAUCGCAAAAUAUGAAGGUUAGGGCAUACCAAACCACUUGGAAGCUCUUUUUUUUCAUUUCCCAUCAAAAAGAUUCCUUUGUAUUUUUCCACUGCCUGUUCCGCCAAUCCAAUGCCAACUUUACUAGUAAAAUAUUUUUUCUCCAUUGAGCCUAUCCAUAAGGCUACAUCACGAACAAUGUCAUGCGUUUUCACAAAUCUGUCAUUACCAGCAUCUAAUAGCAGUGAAGAAGCUUUGAGCUCUUUAAUCGUUCCACUCAAUAGGCUCCUGACUUUUUCAAUUGACUCAGCUCGAUACCAUCUCAACCCCACUGCAUAUCCAACCAAAUCAUCCAAAUCUAUCUCAUAAUCCUCUGGAAACAAAGAACACAACAAGAAGCACGACCUGGAAUCCUCAUCAUUCAAAUAAUCGCAACUAAAUUUGAGACAACGGUAAACGUCUUGGUCCUCAUUGCCGAUACAUUCUAUUGUAUUGAGUUUUGCAUCUUGUAGUUUAUCUAGAGCGAGAUUCCACUCAUCAAAUCCUUUACCUUUUAGUGCACUUCCAACAGCUUUAAUUGCUAAAGGCAGCCCCUUACAUUCAUCAGCAACUCGUUCCGAAACACCAAUCAAGGUUGAAUUAGAAACAACAAUGCCAGCAUGCUCUCUUAGUAAAGCCAAUCCUUCUUCUUGCUUUAGAACACCUAGUUGAAUCUGCGGGUCACAACGCAUGCGAUCACAAACUGGCUGCAGGCGAGUGGUUAGAAGGAUUUUGUAACAAUUGUCUCCAUCACCAACAGGAAUACCUAUUGUCUUCAAGUCGAGUUCAUUCCAGACAUCGUCAAGUAUUAUGAGUAUCUUGCUGCUUUUACUCUCAGAAAACAUCAAGCGCAAUCGGUCUGCUCUCUCUUUUUCAUGUUUCUCAUUUAGUGCCCAGCCUAACGACUUUGCCAGCUCACCUUGAACCUUUAUUAUAUCUGGAUCCUGAGACACAGUGGCUAUCCCCACCUCAUCAAAAAUCUUUUCUUGUCGAAGUUGAUUGCCCACAAAGUUUGCCAAAGUUGUCUUUCCGACACCACUGAUACCAUACAAUCCCACUAUCGUCGUGCUAUCUCUUUUUAGUGCUUCAAUAAUCUGAUUCCAAGUCGAUUAUGUAGUCCCGAAAGACAUAAAAUGUCUUGGCAUAUGCAAUUCUCUAUCUGAUGGUAGAGGUUUAGGAAGGGCAACUGAGCUGAAUUUGCCGCAUUUCUUUUGUAGAUCAGACAACUCGCUAGUCUUCUUUGAUGCUUUUCUACCUAGCCAACAUCGCCAACCCCAAUUAGGACACCAUCCAUUAAGACAGCUCUUCUUUUCAUCUAUCUUUGCUUUCAAAUUUCGAACAUCGGCCAUUUCUUUGUCUACAUCCUUCAGCCACUUCUCUACAUCUUUCUCGAUUACAAUGGCUCGGUGUAUUUGUCGUUCUUGUUCUAUUUUUUCAUUGAUGCCGCCUUUUGCCUCCUUCAAAUUAGUUUCUUUAUCCUUAAGUUCGUUAAUAAUGCUGUUGAAACAGAGCAGAUAACGAGCUUGGUUUAUGGUUGCUUCCACCAACAAUUCUCCAAGCUUUGAUGCAACACUUGAGCUAAUUUCCAUGCUAUUUAUCUGCAAUUAAUAAAGUUGAUCUCAGUAUGCUGUAAGCAAAACAACGAGGCUUGAUCACAAGAUCGAACGAGAAAGUUUAAUUACCUUUUUCUAUUAUGUGAAUGCACGUUUAUUGACCCUAGCUUUGACCAAUAAGAACAAAAUGCAAACGCCGAGCUUUAAGUGGCCUUUAGCUGCGCAAAACAAAAGAGAAGAAACAAGGUAGCUUAUUAUUAUUAUUAUUGUUUUUAAGGACGGAUAAAGAUUAGCUAGCUUGCGGACAAAUUUACUAAAAUCAAGAUAAACCUAAGAGUUUUCCUAAUUUGUUCAAACAUAGAAUAAGCGUUUCUCAACAUUAUAUCCAUAAAUGCCCCAGCAAACGUAAUAUGUGGUGGAUUAUAUUUAAAUUAGUUUAUUUUAGAAAAUUUUAAAUAAAAAAUGUCAAACAACAAAGAAAUCUAAUAGAAUCUGGAUAAACACCGAAGAGUUCCUACAUGGGAGAAUAUGGUAAAAUUGAUGAACUUGGUUCAAAAAAUUGCAAUUCUUAUUGAGAUUAGAACCAAAGAUUUUAACUAAGGUCUCCUAAGCCAUAAAGCAUAACUCUUACUACUAAAUUACAAGUAUUUUGUUACAUUUGAAUGUGGUCUUAUUUUUUUAUUGUCUGUUUUAGAAGGGACUCAAGGUAUAUUUAAAAGAAAUAAUAAUGGUUCGGAUGGGGCUGAAGCCCACUCAUGAAAAAUUUAAAGGCUUCAACAUAAUUACCAAUUGUUUCUUCAUCCAAUUUUCUAAUAGAAUAUUGCCAGAAUUCUGAAAUAAUAUCUUAAUAUUUUUCUUCAAGUGUUUACGGCACCCUCGUAUUGGAUUGUCAAUUUAAUAACUUGUUAAAUUAUUUAAUACUUCAUCUCACGAUCUAAUGGAUAUAAAUGCUGGAGAAGGAUCAGUUCCCAGACUUUUUUUCUCUCACUAGUCUUUUGGUGAAAUAAGUGACUAAGAUUACAUUUUAUUUUUUUAUAUUGACAAUUAAAUUGGCUUGUUUCACAUUAUUAACAAUUAAGCUAGCUUUCUUUUUUUCCCCCAACUGGAUUUGGAAGGUUAUGAGGGAGUAGGUGAGAAAACACGAGAAGAACGAGAUCCUAAUUCAUAAAUAGUACCUUACUUGGGAUGCUAAAGAAUUUAAAGAUUGGGGUGAAUUCCAUUUUAGUCUCUAAAAUUUUGACCUGCUAGUAACCAUACUUUUAGUAUUUUUAAAAAGAAUGGGAUUAUUUACAUUGUAAAAUCUAUUUUGAACACUCUUUUACUUAACACAGUCAUUCAAUAAAUUUUAAAAAAUAAUUUUUACUAGGGUUGGCAAUAAACUCUAGAUCUGGCCCAGAUCCGAAAUUCGGAUCCGAAAAAAUCAGGGUUGGCAUGUUAAAAAAUGCAGAUCCAGAUCUUAAAAAUCAAGAUUCGUACGGAUCUGGAUCCACAUGCAAGUGCAUCCGAAAAAUCGGAUACCUGGAUCCGCAUUAUUUUAUAAUUAAAUUAUUUAUUUAAUUAAAUUUCAAUUGAAAAAUAUAUAAAUUAAAUUAUUUAUUUAAAUGUAUAAGCAUUAUUAACUCUAAAAUCUUCAUUAACUAUGAAAAAUAUGUUAAAAUAAUAAUAAUAAUAAUUAGAGAAUAUUGUAAUAAAUCGGUUUACCUUAGAUUUUUUUUAUGUUUGAUUUAUAUUAUGAAAUUAUUGUUUGUGAAUUUAUGGUGUUGAAUUGAUGUUAAAUUGUCGAUUGUUAAGUUAUAAUUGAAUUUUAUUUAAUAUUAUUAUAUAAAUUAUUAAAUUUCAAAUUAAAAUUAAAUUUAUUAUUAUGCAGAUCCGAAUAUUCGGAAUAUCCACCCACAAUCCGUGCGGAUAUUACCCGCAUCCAGAUCCGCAUAUUUUUUUUACGGAUCUGAAUACAGAUCGGGAUGCCAAAAGCUUAAUCUAGAGCCGAAUUCGGAUGCACCUACAUCCGGAUCCGGAUCUGGAUUUUGCCAUCCCUAUUUUGUUACUUUACACACUAUUUCAAAUGUCAAAACUGUCCUUCAUUAGGACCAUUCAUUAACUAAUUAUUUUCUAUAAAAUAUUCAUCAUUCUUGAGCCAUGUGGCGUUAAUUAAUGAUUCCUAAGCAUUAUCAAGGUUCAAGAUUUAUGUUGAAACUCUUUCAGUUGAGAUUUGAGCCUAGGCACUAGCUAUAUACAUACAUACUCUUUCAAAAGCAGUUCUGGGAAUAUUUUGUGACUAAUUUUAUAAAAGUGUUUUAGUUACAUUAACGCAGUGAAACAAUAAAGAGUACGUGGCUUGAUGAUUUCCAAAUCAUGUUGGGGAAAAAACAAAGGAUUUUCUUUUAUAAUGGAUUAGAUUAGACGAUGAAAGGAAAAUUAUUUACGAUUAUUACUUGUUUGUGUGUUUAGAGUAAUAAUAUUUUCUUAAAUUAUACUAAUGUCCCUAGUAGUAAAUUUGAUUAAGGUUAUUUUCGUAAUAUAAAUUUUUAUUAAAAUUAAAGUGUCUAAAAUAGAAUUUAGAGUGAAAAUAGCUCUUAGACGUCCAUAUCAUUACCUUUAUAACUAUUGAAGAUAUGAUUUUUCAAAUGUAAAAUAACAUUUCUAUAUGAUAUAAAUUGAAAUUCAAUCAAAUUUAUCAUGCAACAAAUGAAAAGUAAAGAAAAUUAAAUAGGUUUUAAUAGAAAUAAAAGAAGCUUCUAUGUUGAAUUUAAAAGUAUUAUAUUAGUAGUAAUCAUAUACGUAUCGAACUUUUUAAUAAAAUUUAUUUAGAAAUUGGCCAAUUGGGUUUUAUGAAGAAAAUAGAGGGGCACGAAUGGCGCCACUUUUAAUUAUUGUUGCUGUACAACUGAAAAUUGAAAUGUUGUAUUUAAAAAGUACUUGUUUGAUGUGUAAAAUGCACCAACUUGAAAUGGCACGAGAGCAUAAUGGAAUUUUGUUGGGAAAUUUACAAAAAUAACCAUAAAACUUUUACUAUUUUCACAAUUAACCCUCCAAACUUUUUUCUAUCAACAUUAACCAAACACACAAUUUUCUCCCCAAAUUACCCUUGUGUUUGCUAACCAACCUGUCGCACAUAGUUUGGUGCGAUAGACACCUGUCGCACCAAGCUAAGUGUGCCUAUCGCACCAAACUAUGUACGACAGGCACCUGUCGCACCAAGCUAUAAAUACCCAAAAAGUAAGGCUUUUUGACCAAAGCCCCGUUGUCACGGCAAGGUCAAUGGAACAAAAGCGGGGAUGAUGGUUGUCGAAGCCAGCAAAAAUAAAUACAUACUCUAAAUAAAUUGUAUAUAGUGAUUGAGCAGGAUCGUGUCCACAGAGAUCGGUAAUUAUUUAAAUCCUUUUUGAAAUAUAAAAUGCAAAAUGGGGGAUUUGUUGACAAUAAUAAAAAUCAAAUUAAAAUAACAAGAAUGCAAAUUAAAAUUGUAAUUCAAAUUGGAAAAAACUCUGGUUGAAGGAAUUAACUCAGCUUGAUUUGACUACUGAUCAUUGAUUCAAAUAUAAAUUAUUACUACUUAUGAAUAGACCGGUUAUAGCUACUGAGACCCUCUAAUAGCCAAUCUCUCCUUAACUAGUCGAUAACCAAGGUACGACCGUUGGUUAUUUCCCUAAUCAAUAGACAACCAUAGAUACGAUCAUAGGAUUUAAUCAAUUGACAGCUUGAAAAACUAGAGAGACCCAAAUCCUAAUCAACAAACGCAUACGAUGGUUCAUUUAAAUUAGAUUGUUUAUUCUCAUAACACAACUCACUGCUAUGUUAUUUGUCACAAACAUUAAAAUAUUCAUACGAUGAAUCCUUUAAUUGACAAUAGAUUAAGUUGAUAAUUAAAUAGUGGCCAAUUAUCUAAUUAACAAACAUAAUCAUGAUAAUAAUUCAGAGAAUAAACAAAUACCCAAAAAGUAAUAAAACAAUUAAAGCAUAAGAAAUAUCUCAAAGUGGUGAUGAAUCAAAGUUUCAUUAACCUUCAACUAGAAUAAUAGGUUUAGCUCUUCAUAGAGAGAAGAGAAAAGUUUGAAAUACUAACUAGGCAACCCAAGAGGGGGGUGAAUUGGGAUUUUAAAAAGGGAAAAUAUCCACCGUCCACCUAUUUUUUACACCUUUUUCAAAAAUACACAAUUCCUUCAUUUUUUGGCUGGAAUCCACCCAAAGUUAUAUUUUUUUUCACUUUUCCACUUCCGUUUGGAAUCCGUUAAGAAAACUAACGGAAAUUUUAAAAAAUGACCAUUUUACCCCCAAAACGAAAAUUAUAAUUUCACCUUAAAAAUUACAAAAAAUAAUUAGAUUAAAUCUAAUUAUUUUCCCCAUCGGUCAAUAAAUAAAUUAAUUCCAUAACCAUCAAAUGCAUGUUUUUUUUUUAAAUAUAUCUGUAAUUAGAAUGCUAAAUUAUAACAGUAGUAUUAAAAAUAGCCCAAUUUCACAAAUCAUCAAUUGAAUUUAAGAUAAGUAGAGUUUUAUUAUUAAUUGAGUUAUAAUCUCUAGUAGUUAAGAUUUUUUUGUACUUCAUUAAAGUACCAAUAAUGAUAUUCAUCAUUAAAUCUUAUUAUUUUUGGUAUUUUUUAAGGUGAAAUUGUAAUUUUCGUUUUGGGGGUAAAAUGAUCAUUUUAUUAAGUUUCCGUUAGUUUUCUUAACGGAUUCCAAACGGAAGUGGAAAAGUGAAAAAAAAUGUAACUUUAGGUGGAUUCCAGCUAAAAAAUGAAGGAAUUGUGUAUUUUUUAAAAAGGUGUAAAAAAUAGGUGGACGGUAGAUAUUUUCCCUUUUAAAAAUUAAGCUAAGCAAACCACACAACAAUCCAAUCUAAUGCCUUAAUAAAUUCGAAAACAAUAAAUUCAAUGAAAGCACAAUAAUAAAUGAGCAAGGGAAGAGAAAGCAAACUCAAGGAUUUUUACGUGGUUCGGCAAUCCCCGCCUAUGUCCACGCCUCCAAGCACAUCGGGCUUGAGGAUUUCACUAUCCGAGCCUUUCCAAGGCUUCAAACGUUUACAAUUGACUUCAAGGUGUCAAUGAACCUUUACAACAAGAGAUUAUCUCUCCAAUCUCUUCACCCCAAGUGUUUCUCACACUUGUACACCGACAAUUUGAUGAGAAAUGAAAAUUACAACAAUGAAACUCUCUUUAAGAGUGGAUAUACAAAUUGAUAGCUCAAUAAAGAUUUAAUCUAUGAUGAUUUUUGAAUUUGAAGCUCAAUAUAAGUUGUGUGCAUUUGUUUAUGCUUGCUUAGAUUACCAAAAAUGAAUUGGUUUUCAGUUUAUAUAGUUUGAGUUAAAAAACUAGCCGUUAUGCACAUUUUGGUCGUAACCGGCUUACCGUUUAUGGAAUCCGGUUAGCCGCUUUUAUGUUACCGUUAAGGCAAAAAUUUGAAUUUCAGAAUAGCUGGCAUGCCGCUUUUCAUAUCCGGUUAGCCGCUUUUGAAAUAUGGAUUGCCGCUUACGAAAUUCGGAUAGUCGUUUAUGCUCCAAAAGUUUACUGCCCAAAAUCCAGAUUGUCGUUUACCAUAUCCGGUUAGCCGCUUGCUACAGUAACUGCUACAAUGAAAUAUUUUCCAAAUUUAUAAUUUGACCCCAAAACGUUAUGAAAUCUUUCAAAUAGGUCCAAUUUUAGAAUUUCAAAAUAAUGCUUUGUCAAUCCCAAAACUUUAUGAAAUUAUGAUAUGGCCCAAAAUGAUAUGAAAAUUUUCAAAUAAAUCUUUUUCCAAAAUUUCAAGCAAUAUUUGUUGAUUUCAAAGUUUUCAAAAUUCUUCCAAUUAAACCAUAAACUUGAAAAACAACCAAUUUCAUAAAAUCAUUUUUCCAUUAAAUAUGAAACCUUUAUAAUGUGAAAAUAAUGAUUUAUUUAAAAAGAAAAUAAUUUGAGCAUAAAAGAAUAAUCAUUCUUAAUCUUGUUUGUUAUCAUCAAAAUCAACAUUUGGAAACAUAUAUGUUAACAAAGUUUAGAUCUAGGGUUUCUUUCUUUUCAAAAAUCUCCUUUUUUCACAAUAGAUUCCUCCCUUAAAUACUCUCUCUCUCUCUUCUCCUUGAGAGUUCUAUUUAAAAUAAAAUAUUAAUAUCUGAAAUAUUAAAUUCGUAAUUACAAAAAUACAAAACACGUUAAAUUAAAAACUGCAGGUCCGUAGUUGACAGCACGCGCCCAUGCCUUAUCAACAAAGUUCUUCUGACACUCAUAAUUUCUCCAAAAGAACAAUCAUCCUUAAACAUCAUCUUGUAGCUCAAUUUUAUCACCAAUCAAUAGAAUUGCACCUACAAAAGUAAAACACAAGUAAAUCAUUAUUAUUAAGUGCAAAACAUCGAUAUUAAGGGAAGUAAACAAUGCAAAACUAGUGCAUAAAUUGCACUCUAACAGGGGAUCCUUGCACUGGAGCUACCAUCGAUGAUUCCAUUGUCUUUGAUAACCCCGAUUACAAUCCCUUCAUCAAAUGUGACUGCUCUUCCCAAAAUGGCACCGUGUGCCACAUUACCCAGUUGUAAGUUUUUUUAUUUUAUUUUAUGGGGACACACUUGCAAGAAUUAUUUGAUCAUAUCUGUAUAUCUUUCUUUUCAUGCUUGCUUGUUAUUAUUUUUUCUUUCUUUUUGAAACUUUUGUUUACAGGAAAGUUUAUGCGCUAAAUGUGGUUGGUGUGGUACCAGAUGAACUAUGGAAUCUGACUUCCCUCUUUAAUCUGUAUGUUUUCAUUUUUUUUCCCUUAAGUGCAGACAUAUUUUAAAAUGCAAAAUCGAGAGUAAUAUUGAUUCGCAUGGCUGGCCUUGAAUAAUUUGACAAUUUUCCACCUUGUAACAGGAACCUAGGCCAGAAUAUUGGUGGGAGAAUAGGAAAUAGAAAUUUAGGGUUUUUGACCUAACCUUUAAUUUCAACUUUUGACCGGAUCUAAGUAAGUGUUGGCUGCCGAGAAUGACUCUGGGAAGCCGCCGACGACGAGUGAAUAAGUUGGGAGUGAAUUCGGCGAGGAGAAAGAGAUGAAGGAGAGGAAGAGGAGGAAAGAGAGGGAGAGUUAUGGGAGGGGUAUUUUCGGUACUAGGGAUGAUUAUUGGCUAAUGUUGAUAGGAAAAAAAAUUGAGGGGUUAGUUGUGAAAAUAACAAUUUUUUUUAGGUUAUUUGUGUAAAUUUCCCAAUUUUGUUGGGAUUGAAAGACAAGGGGCCAGAUGGUAGUCCGGUGGGAAAUAAAAUCAUUUUUUCUUAAAAGACAUAUAAACUUUAUUGAAAGUUAUUAGUUAACAUUAGCCACAGUUUUUUUUUUUUUUUUUGAGAUAAGAGAUAGGUAAAGGCUAAAUCUAUUUUUUAGCCCCUACCUCCCAGGCUAAGAUCUAACUUGGGUGGCAAAUUAAAUAAACUUGUUUGAAACUACUCAGCCACAUCUUUAGGGGUAUUAUUGUUAGUUGUCUUAACUACUAAAUUAAUAAAAUUUGUAAUCUUUUCAAUAAAGAUUUUCCUAUAAUAUUGUAUAAGCUUGUAUAGUAUUAAUAAUGGGACUGUUGUGGACCCAUGAAUUUAAGUGUUUUAUGGUGCAUUCGGUAUUGUUUUCAAAUUUCAUUUUCUAUCUUCUAAAUUCAAGAAACAUCAAAUACAUGUUUGGUAGAUUGUUUCUAAAUAUACUUUUGAAAAUUUAAAAUUUAUUUAUACUUUUAACAAAGAAAAUAAGAAAACAACAUUUUCUUGUUUUCUUUGUUUCCCAAUUCAAUUUAAGCUUCAAUAUGAAAAAUUUUCUUCCGCCAUCUCUCAAAAUAAUAAUGACAUCAACAACAACAAAGACAACAACAACAUUGUUGUUGUUGUUAUUAGACCACCUAAAAAUCAACUUCCAUUACAAUAAUCUUUUCUUCUUUUAUGCAUUAUAAUAUUUAUGCUUUUAUAUAUUAAUUAAAUCAAGUAUGCAGAGUUUAUCAUUUUUCUUUAAACAAAAAAAGAUCACCUAAUUUAUUCUUAAAGUUAAAAAAUAAACUAAUUAAACAAUAAAAAUCACCUAAUUACACUACUUAAUAUUAAGUUUAUGGAAAUUAUUCUAAUAAUAAUUAUUUAAGAUAUUCCUAUCGAGAAUGUUUUUCUUUUUUCUUACGUUCAAGAUUAUUUUCGAAAAUGAUAUCGAACACAUUUAAAAAUGUUUUAAAAUAAAUUCGAAAAUAGCAUUUUCAUUCUCAUUUUUUUUAAUGAAAACAACAAUUGAAAAACAAUACCCAAAUAUGAUAUAAUGAUAAAAAUUUAAUGAAAUAUAUAGUAGUGGGUAAUGUUCAGGUUAUAAGUGAAUGUAGAUAUAUAUAUAUAUAUAUAUAUAUAUAUAUAUAUAUAUUACUUUCAACUAAUAGAUAAAAGAAAAUUUCUAUGGUGUUGGGAUGAAAAUCCCAUUAUCAAUGAUGAGAUUAUUAUUGAUCAUUAGAUUUAAAUAUUAGAAUCUUCAACCUUAAUUUAAUUUUAAUAGUAAGUAAUUGUGUAACAAGUAAUUUGCAUGUUGUGAUAUUUCUUUAUACAUUAAUUUAUUUUUAUCCAAUCAAUUGAUAAACAUUUUUAGGUCACCAAAAAAUUGUAAAAAAAGUAAAAGUAAUUCUGAAAUUAAAAACGUUAUAUACUGCCUAUAGCUAUAUAAUUUUACUGUUUCUUCUUUCACAAUUAAUAUUCAUAUAAAAAUAGCUUCUAAAUAAAUGUAAUAUUAUUCCAACAAUACUUUAUAGGGACAAUGACACCUAUACCCUACAGUUUAGGGAAAUGUUCACAAAUAUCUCUAAGUUUUUAGGAAGGGACAUCAACACCCAUUUUAACCAUAAUGCCCUUUGAAUUUAAUAAUUAGAAAAUUGACUUUAAGAUUUUUUAAUUGACAAAUUUAAUAUAAAUAAUAUAAUCUAUCAAGUAGACUAAUAAUACUAAAUUAAUUAUUUUUAACAUUAAAAUAAUAUUAAAAUUUUAAAUUAUUAUAUUUAUUUUAAUAAUAUAUUUGUAUAUAUUAUAAACAUUUUCAAUAAAUCUUGGGUUGAAUAGAUUUUACAAUUAAAAAAAUAUACCCCUAUUAAUAAUAUGAAAAUUAUUUUUACAUAAUAUUUAAAAUAAUUUUAAUUUUAACUCAUUUAUUUUAAUAUUAUGUUUCUAUUUGUUAUUAAAAGUUAAUUUAUUAUCUUAAAUUUGUGUUAAUUAAAAAACUUUAAAGUAAAUUUUCUAAUUCCUAAAUUCAAAGGACAUUACGAUUAAAAAGGGGUUUCGGUGUUCCUUUUUGAAUACCUGGAGAUCUUUGCGACCAUUUCCCCAUACCUUAGAGGUGUAAGUGUCUUUUUCCUUACUUUAUAUAAAGAUAUUUCAUAGAUCUUAUAAUAAUUUAUAUUGUAUGAAUUUAAUUAAAUGACCAUUAAUACUUAAACAUUAAUAAUUAUAGAAGGUAUUGUAAUAAAUUAUUUGAUAUAUAUUAUUAAUGAUACUAUAUAUGUGUGUAUAUAACUACAUGAUGGCUUGGAUAUAUAUUUUUAGUAGUAAGUAUUUUAACUUAAAUUUUUAAAACAAAAUUUAUACUAUUGAUUUCAUGUAAUUCAAUGGUGGAUGAUUUAACAUCAUAAAAUAUUGUUUUGAUGUUUAAUAUCAAUCAUUAAAUUGUGAGAGAUUAAUUUCUCAAAUUUUGUGUUAAAAUUUUAAGUUAAAAUAUCCCAAACCAAUUGUUUUAUGAAAAUACAAAAAUAUAUAAAGAAUUUUUCUCAUUAAUUUUCAUAUGAAUAUUAUUAUAGGUAAUAUUUUAUAUAUUGUCACCAUUAAUUACCAUCAUUAAAAUAGUGACUCUUAGUAAUAUAGAAUUUUAUAAUAAGUUAAUUGCAACCAAAGUAUACCAACAAAUAAUAUUUCACGAUUCAUGAACUAAAGCUAAUUAAGAAUAUAUUUUAUGUUUAACUUUUAUGAAAUCAACAAAAUGAUAUUAGAAAAUAAAAUGAAAAUAGACUAGUGAAAGCUUUGAGUAAUUUUCUGCAAUGCAAGAAUAUUAAUUGUAAUAUAAACCAUAAUUUCAUCGUAUAGCUACGCUAAAUGGGAGUAACAAAUAAUAUAUACUUUACGAUCAACUAUUAAAUGGUCCUUAAUAGCAUAUAAAGUAGUGGGUAUUUUAAUAUAUACUAUUAAACUUUUUUAAAACAUAAGUAGUUAAGUAUAUGAUUUUUAGGAUAUAAACAAUCACGACCAAAAGUUUAUUGAUGUAAAUUAUAUGGCAUUCAGUUAAAUGUACAUACUUAAUUCUAAUUGGUAAACAAUUCUCUUUCUUUCUUUGCUCUCUUACAACUUGAGGCACAUAACCAAACGCGUGGCUAUUAGCAUUUGCCACCAUGUAUUUAACAACCCCAAAUGAAGAUAUUAAUUUUUUUAGUUCAAUUGCUGCUUCAAAAUGGGGUACUGAAUUUGGAUUUUGUUAUCCAAAUACCAAAAAUUUCUCACAUUGUGUUGGACAGUUUUUGGUUCUAAAGUUGAUGACUGGUUUUGCGAAUCAGGCUUCAAAUGAGAACUUCUAAACAAUAAGACAAAUGGGUUUUGAGUUUAUAAUCUUGUAAACUUUGUUCUAUUGUAUAAGUUAUGAAAUCGCUGAAACAUCACUACAGCUACAGAUCUUUAUGUGUCAAUGAACUGCAGAAGCUAAUGAUCUACUUGUAGUAGACUUCUAUUGCCCCUGCCGUUCUAGGAAGACAAACAAGUUCAGGAACUACUUUUGGACCAAACUCAUAAUAUUGCCACUGCUUUGUGCCAAUCUGAGACGGAAAGAAGAUUGAAGUUCCUAAAUAAGGCACAUCAUGAUUUGAUAGAAGUACCACUAUGAGGAACAAUUGAUUUCAGGAAAGCACUAAAAUAUGACAUAAUCUCCCCCUAAUGGUCUAAAGUAGUCAAGAAAUGAUAUCAACCAAGCAAAAACACAUAAACUAGUUGAGAUACAAAAUUAUUGUAAAAGUCAAUUUUGAUCACAAAUCCAUUAAAAUUGAAAGACAUCAGAAACUUAGAGAACAUUAUAAUUUAGGACUCAUCUAAGUUGCAGAUUCUGUAACUAACAGCUGAGUCCACAUUGGUCUUGCAUCAGCUGAGUUUGGGUUGCUUUUCCUCUCUCCUGCAACUCGUACGUGGAAGCGCCCCAUUUGCUGUGUUAUAUACCGAGUCGAUACCGUAACAAGCUACUAUAAUUUAAGUUUGAUUACUGUAGACAAUAGUCUGCCCUGCUCAAAAGCUAUGCAGCAAGACAUAACAUCUUUGCAAUGUUAUACUUUCUAAAAGUAAUAAGAAAUGAAACCAAGGGGUAAAUAGAACACCAAAAGAAAUUUAGUCGGCCAACCACAUUAUGUUCCCACACAGUCCACUAAUUAAGUUAAUAAUUAAAGGGAAUCAAAAUCUAAGAAAUCUCAUCUUCAAGCAAAAUACAAACACACCGGGAUUGAAAAUCACAAAAUCAUAAAAAGAAGCUGACUUGAAAAGCUCAAAUAUACGUUCAUCAGCCUCUCAACUUAUAUCUAAGAACAAAUGCUUGCAGCUUGUGAAGACAUAGAUAAUUGAAGCUGAUGAGGCACAUUUAACAGAUGAUAAUCAAAACUCGUGUGAUUAAAAUUGUAAUUCAAUAAUGGAGCACAUAAAACAAGAAGUAACUAGUUGUAUAUAUACCAAACAACUUUCUGAAGUUAAGGCGUAAAACAACAACGUAGAACAAAUUAAUUAAAUAUACCAGCACCAAUACUCUUAUUAUUAUCCAAAUAUAGAAGACAAAUGUAUCAAACAAGGAAAAUGAAAUAUUGUUAAUAACUCAAAAACCACUAGUGUCAAGAAAUAAACUAAUAAGUAAAACCCAUAAUCAGACACGACCACUUCAAAAUCUCUGAAAAUUGAGGUCUAAACAUUGAAAACAAUUAGACAUAUAUAACAGUCAAUCGAAACAAAGCCUUAAAAUAAUAAUGAACUAUAAUAAGACAGAAACUAAAUUAUAAACAACCGCAUACCCAGUAACAGUAAUCAAGUAACAAGUCAAAACCAUAAUCAAAUGUAGAAUUUGAAAUCCAUACGAACUCUAACGUAUUAGAAUGAAAGAAUAAGGACGAUCGAUAAACUAGACUAAAAAAAAAACAUGCCAAGUUAAAAAAUGAAGGUAAAUAAAUAAAAAUGGUAUAAAACUGCGAAAAAAAUUAAUGAAAUGAAGAGAAAAUCACAGGAAUCCUAUGAAAAGGAAGGUAAACAAAACCUUCGAGAGCCGAGAAGAUGCCUUUUUUGUUCACUUUUGUGCCCUUACAUACAAUUUUUUUUGGUAAUUUUGAAGAAAGUAUUGGUUAAAUAUUGUCAGAACGAAAUAUUAAUAGAUGCUGGCAAUUUCAAGAAGGACAAUCUUCGAUUCAAAUGUAUCCCUAUGAUAAAGAAAAAGCCUACUUGGCUAAAUUUUGAGCACCACAUUACAAGAUCUAGGUGUAUGUAACCAUGCAAAAUGAAACAUCUAUUAAUUGUAAGUCCCUUGACCUCUGGAACCAGCCAACCAGUCUCUUUUCUGCUAGACAACCUUCUAUCGAUCAGACUAAUAAUAUUUACUAAAUCAUGUUCUACAGUUAAUGGAGUUGGACCCAAGGCAAUUGUUAGAAGUCCGCCUAGACAUAGAGUGCGCUUAGACGUGGGAUGCUUAGAAAUGAGCCGCCAACACAACCAGCCAACUGUAGUGUGCUUAGCAAAGCACCCAAGCACGGCCCAAGAUCUAGAACUAUCUACAAAUUGUAAAUAAGCUAAAAUUUUAUAAGUUUCUCCACAUAGGUCCCUAGGAUAUUUAUGGAAGUUGCUAGGAAGUUUCCUCCCCUAGAACUCUAAUACCUAUAAAUAGGGGUAAGACCCCUCAUUUGCCCACCAACCACACCACACACACAAACACUCUAGCACACACACAGGCACUCUAGCUUUUGUAAAAAGCUCUCUUGUAUAUUUUCUCUUUGUGAGUAAUAAAAUCAUAUUCAGCCAUAUUGCUCUACUUCUCUCUAGCAUUUUCUGCAAGUGUUCUUGCUUCGCUAGUUUGAGGAGUGUUCUAGGGUUGCUUAACAACUUGUUCGCUAGAAGGACAUCUUGGUCACAAAACAUGGACAUGCAAGAAAAAAAUAAUAUUGAUACGUUCUAAAAAUAAUAUGCGUUCUUCUACAGUGAACCAAAAAAUUUAGGCUAAUGGUAGCAAGUGAAGAAUUGUGAUUUCACGUGCAUUUUUUUGACAUGAACGUAAAGGACUUUUUUUAUAGUUUAUAUUGUUUAAUAUAACAUUUGAAUUGCAAAAUAGGGGUACAAAAUAGAUACACGAAGUGAUAAAACUAAGCUGAUUAUAAUAAAUAUUGAAUUAUAAGAUUUAGGUUUAAUCAAAAAGACAUAAGUGGCGCACAAAGUCAUGAAUUGAUAUCAUCCAUAAUGCAAGUUCAAACAACUGCAUAAUAAGUUGCCCCAAGCUAAACUAUUAAUCUAGUAACUAUUCCAGUCGAUGUGGGGCUCCGAUACUAUAUAGAAGCCUAUGACCCAAAAUUAUACUUAAAGGUUAUCUCAAGAUUUGAGGGUUGCCUCAAGCUAAUAUUAUUUUUAGCCUGGUAACCUUUUUUGUUUGUUGAUAUGUGAUAUUUUCCCUAUAACUUUUAUUAAUCUUUAUGCUUAUGUUUUGUCAUUUAUCCCAAAAUAUAACAUUAACAAAAGUUCCAAAAUUUCCUUCAAGAGAUAUAUUUGAGACAAGUAAUUUGUGCAAUAACUUUGUAAAUUGAUGAGCAAAUUCAGAGAAAAGAAUAUAUGUGCCAAACAUAACGUUUAUUAUUGUGUUUAUUUGUAGAGCUAUUUAAAGCCCAAAAAAAAAAAAGCACCGGUCCGCUAUGAUUUCAAAUAAGUUCAAGCCCUAUGUCAUCAUUGGUACAAAAAUGUAUUAAAAAGGUUAAAAACUAUUUUUAAAGGUUAAAAACUAUUUUUAUUUAACUUAUAAACUUAGGAAAUUAUCAACUGUCCGCCCUUAAAUUGUGCUAUUAUAAAAAAUAUUACAAUAUUUUCAGGUUGUGUCAUUCAUCUACCAUAAAUUUACAAUCUGCAUCAUUUAUCCACCAAAUCAUUAACUUCGUCAAAAAGUGAUAGACGUCACAAGGGUAAUUUAGACAUUUAACACAAAAAAAUAAAAGAGAAAUUAUCUAAGCUUACCAUGUUAUCAAAAUUGCUACAAAAUUUUAAAUUUGUUCAAUUUUCCAAUCUAAGUUUAUGACCUCCAAGAUGUUAAUUGCAGUUUGUAAUUAAUGACUUCAUAAGGAUAAUUUAGACACUCAAUAUGCAAAAUAAAAAAUAAAAUAAUGGCUUAAAACAUUAAAACAAAAACUACUUUUUAUAAUUGAUAUUCAAUUAAAUACACAUAAACUCUAUUUUUUCUUAAUUAAAAAUAUUCUAAUUUAUUUUCUCAAUUUAUCUUCAUAAAUUUACAUUAAUAAACUAAAUCCACAAAUUACCCUAAACCCUAAUUCAUAAAUGCCCAAUCAAUAUAAUAGUUUAAUUCGAUUUCAUAAUUAAAAAAAAGCUAAAUUUAUUAUAUUAGUUAUGGUGCAAUGUCAAAAAUGUCCUUAAAUCCAAGGGUAAAAUAGCAUUUUAUUUAAAUUCUAUGAAUUAUUCUAACAAUGUUAACAUUUUGUUGGACGGUUAAUAUAAGUUACAAACUUAAAAUAGAAAAUCAAAUAAAUUCAAAAUUUCAAACUAUUUAGGGCAAAUUUAGGAUAUAUGGUUAAUAAUUUUCCUAUGUCUUUUUACAUUGGUUGAUAUAAGUUACAAACUUAAAAUAGAAAAUCAAAUAAAUUUAAAUUUUUAAAUCAUUUAGGGCAAACUUAGGGUAUAUGGUUAAUAAUUUUUCUAUUUUUUUUACGUUAAGUUGAGUUUCAAAGACAUAAUGGUCAAUUUAUUAUAAAUCUAUUAAUUUUUUAAUGGAAGCAAAUGAUAUAAUGGACGAAUGAUAUAAAUUGUAGAAUUAAGGUGCAUGAACGAUAUAACUUUAAAGUAUUGUAGUACUUUUAAUAAUAGAACAAUUUAAAGGUUGAUUGGCGAUAAUUUAAACUUUAAUGAAGCAACUAAAAAAAAAAUUUAACAAAGAAAAAUAAUUGAAUGCUUUGUGAAACCAAAAAUAUUUGAAAUGUUUUAAGAAAAAUAAAGGAAAUUAAAUAUCUUUUUAAAAAACAUAAUUGAGUAAAAUCAUUUUACAAAAUACUCUUUCAAAUGCACAUUCCACAAGCCAAGAAGAACGGGUGGCUAACAAAAAUCUCACUUUUUAUGAGUUUAUAAAAUCUCACUUUCACAAAAUCCAAAAAUAACCAAUACUAUCACACAAAAUAUAAAAAAGUAUUGCUGUCACGACAUUACACACUUUCUUCGCCGUCUAGAAAGGUAGAACAUUUUGAAGUUCCUCAAUACAAAAUGCGUACUAUUACUAAAUUGGCCCAAUUAAUGCCCCCCCAAAGGCCAUCAAUUUAGCCAACAAAUUUGCCAAAGUUUUAACAAUUGAAGAAAUAGUGAGCUCAAAAGGAACAGAUAAAUUUUGAAGUUGAACAAACCUUAAGGUACAUGCAACAAAGCCUUGAAACUUUAGUCUUCACAAUUUAAGCACGCAAUAAUAUUAAGUAUCCACCUAAAAAACAAGUAUAGAACAAAGCUUGUUAGCUUCUUGGGCAUUAACUAUGAAUGAUGAGUAAAAUUAAAAAAGCAAACAAAGAAAAUUAUAGGAAGAAGAAAAGCAAACAUUUAAAAAAAAAAUUAUGAGAAGGAAAAUUUUGGUAGAACUCCGUGGCUCAUCUGUGAAAUUAAUGUCAAUAUGUAUUUUUAUGUAAAUAGGGUCUCUGGAUUUUAGGAUGAAUCAAUCAGCUACCACAAACGAAAACAUGAACCAACUGUAUAUAGAGUCAAUUAAUUAAAGUUCUCAAGAGCUUACCUCUGCUCCAGAAUUCUCGGAAUCAUCUAUUUCCUUCUGAAUUUGCGCGAAGCUUGGGACAACUAAGAAAGCGUCCAUGUGGAGCUGGGAUCUGAUAACCCGCAGGCCAAAAGUUGGUGAGGUUUGGUAAAUCUAACAGUGUCAAGUUCCAAAAUCCAUUCAUAACAAUUUCAUUGUAAUCCGUGACAUCUGCUCCAUCUUUAUGCCAGAAUACUUCUUCUAAUUCAUAAUUACUUUCUACCCAUAGUUGAGUUAGAUUUUGAAGACUUGGAGCUACGCUAAUAUGAAAUAGAUGCUUUAGUUUGGGGCAAUUGUAGAAAGUGAUCCUUCUGAGUUUUGGGAAACAUACAGGUUGGAGAUGAUCCUCAUCCUCAUCCUCAUCAAUGAUUUGCUCUAAUUCCAAGCAUUUCCGAACAGAUAACUCCUCCAAUUGCAACAGAUUUCGAGCAAGUGUCGAUGAGAGGAGACGUUUCAACUUAGAGCACCGGAUCACGAGUAAACGGGUAAGAUUUUGCAGGCUAAAAAUAUGCGUGGGACCUUCAUGAUAUAAUACUUGCAGUUCUGGAAGAUUUUUCAAUUGCAACGACUUCAAACAUGGGAAUAGUUUGUUUUCUUGUCCCUCAGCGAUAAUAGCUUCCAAUUGAAACACCACAUGUACUCCAAGUUGGCUAAUUUUCAAAUCUUCCAAAUUUUUUAAGUCGUGCUUCAACAGUGCUGGAAUCGUGUCACUCAAAUGGGAACAAUUGUCCACAUUUAGAAUUUUUAAGUUCUGAGACAAAUAAAUAAAUAACUUGAUGUAAUUAAAAUCUAUUAGUAGCUAAGAUUAUCACAUGAUAAGUGAUGAACACCGCAAAAAACAAAAAUAGAAACAAAAUCCAUACAAAAAUAUAAUAAUACAUAUGUAAACUAAUAAAAUAAUUAAAAAGUAAUAUGGAUUGAUCAUGUGAAGUGAUAUAAAGGUGACAUUAGAUUGUUUGAGAAAAAUUAGUAUUCUAUUAAUUUCUAUGGAUUGAUCAACUAAUUAAUUGAAUUUGAGUAAUAUUAUAUUCACUUCAGUAAGUGUUUGUAUCAAUUCUUUCUAAACCAAAAUGAGAUAAGACUUCCAUUUGAACAAUGAUUUUAGGCCCUAAAAUAAAGAAAUUUCCCUAAGAUAUUUGAGCAUUAUUACUAUGAUCACCACAUCCAUGAUCAUCAUCAUCUCCAUAGGACCAAAUAAUUAAUGGCUGAUCAUAAAAUUUAUUGCUAAAUUAUCAUUUUGAGUAAAAUUGAAGGAAAAGAAAAAAUAUAAACACAAACAAACAUACCUCUUCAAGAUACUGCAAAUUGGCUUCAAGUUCAGUACUGCUGAUGGUCAAGUUGGGACAGUGCCUAAGGUGUGACUCUUCCAAUGCUGUCCAAAUUGAACAAUAAUUUUCUGAACAGAAGCUCUUGAGUUUUGGGAGAUUGUGAAGUGUUAAUUUUGUCAACAAAGGGAGGGCAAGCAUCGAAUUUCCAUCUCCAACACUUAUUUCCCCUUCAUUGUGAUCAAACUUUGCUUCGACAAUACAUUCCAUUCUCCAGCAUCCACUUACAUAGAGACUUUUAAGCUGCUUCAAACUUCUAGCUUGUGACAACGUGAAGAUAUAUGUCAAAUUGUUGCACCCACACACAGUCAAUUCUGUAAGAGCUUGGAGGCUGAUCACAUAUUGGGCGGGCGCCUUCCAUAUCCACUUCAGUUCUGGUAAUUGCCACAUAGAUAACUCUGCUAAUCUUGAGAGCAUCACAGGAUUCCCACUCUUUCCAUGCGGCGACUUAGAGGCAUCCAUUAUGCAUUCUAAUUCUUUGCACUCGUUGACAGAAAGACAAGUCAACUCAUUUAAGCCCCUUGGAUCUAUGCUUGGCACAAUAUUGUGACAACCUAUAAUCGUUCUUAAAUUAAGAAUUUCCAGUUCUUGAUACAAUGCCGAAAAAAUACCGAGCGAGGUUGCUUCACAAUUAUUAAUCUUUAAGCCCCUUCUCUGUCCAAAAAUUUCAUCUUCUUCUUGCAUUAGAAAUUCAAGUUUGUUACCGUUACUGACGUGGUGCCUUUGCAAUUUCGGGAAUGUAAAGUCUUUUGGAAGACGUGCAAUUUUUUUGUCAGUAUGUAAAGUCUUUCCAUCGUCAUUUUCUUCUGAACUCAUCCCUUCAGCCUCCCAAUCUUUUAUCCGACCAUAAAAUUCUUCUAAUUGAGGAAAUUUUUUUAUCGUAAUGGGAGAAAUACAACCAGAAUUAAUGAAUAUAAGAAGUUUCAAUCUACUAAGUUGAUCCCCAAGUUCUUCAGGAAUUUCAAUGGGAGACUCCUUGACACAAAGAAUUUGAAGUCUCUUCAACUUUCCAAGGAAAGAUGCGUCACUUACUUUACAUUGAAUCAACUGCAGAACUUGGAGGUUGGUCAGGAAUUGAAGCGAUUUAAGUGAAAUGACUCCACCUAUUACAGUAACAACUUUCAAUGCUGGCAUCCCUUCGAAAAAAUGCUCUGGAACAUGAAAUUGAUAGUCAUAACCACUAGGAAGCUCUUCUUUUACAUAUCCCAGGAAAGAGAUUCCUUCAUAUUGUUCCAUUGCCCGUUCCGCCAAUCCAUCUGUAGUAACAACUUUCAAUUUGUAGUUAUAUACAGUAUUCUGCAGUUGCAAAAUUUGAAGGUUAGGACAUACCAAACUGGUAGGAAGCUCUUCUUUUUUAUUUCCUACCAAUGAGAUUCCCUUGCAUUGUUCCAGGCUUUCUUCCACUACCCGUUCUGCCAAUCCAAUGCCAACUUUACUAGUAAAAUAUUUCUUUCCCACUGAGCCUAUCCAUAAGGAAACAUCACGAACAAUGUCAUGCAUUUUCACAGAUCUAUCAUUACCGGUGUCUAACAGCAGUGAAGAAGCUUUGAGCUCUUUAAUCGUUCCACUCACUAGGAUCCUGGCUUCUUCGAUUGACUCAACUUGAUACCAAUCCAACGCCACUGCAUAUCCAACCAAAUCAUUCGAAUCUAUCUCAUAAUCUUCUGGAAACAGCGAACACAACAAAAAGCAUGACCUGGAAUCCUCACCAUUCAAAUUAUCGUAACUAAAUUUGAGACAAUGGUAAACGUCUUGGUCAUCCUUACCAAUACCUUCUAUUGUAUUGAGUUUUGCAUUUUUUAGUUUAUGUAGAGCUACUUUCCAUUGACCAAAUCCUUUACCUCUUAGCGCACUUCCAACAGCCUUAAUAGCUAAAGGCAACCCCUUACAUUCAUUAGCAAUUUGUUCUGAAACACCAAUCAAGGUUGAAUCAGCAUCAAUGCCGGCAUGCUUUCUUAGUAAAGCCAAUCCUUCUUCUCGCUUUAGAACACCUAGUUGAAUCUGCGUGUCACAACCCAUGCGAUCACAAACUGGCUGAAGGCGAGUGGUUAGAAGGAUUUUGCAACAAUUGUCUCUAUCACCAACAGGAAUACCUACUGUCUCCAAGUCAAGUUCAUUCCAGACAUCGUCAAGGAUUAUGAGGAUCUUGCGGCUUUUACUCUCAGAGAACAUCAAGCGCAAUCGAUCUGCUCUAUCCUUCUCAUCUUUCUCCGUUAAUGCCCAACCUAACGACUUUACCAGCUCACUUUGAACAUUUAUUAUAUUUGGAUCCCGAGAUAUAGUGGCUAUCCCUACGUCAUCGAAAAUCUUUUGUUGCCGAAGUUGAUUGCCCGCAAAUUUUGCCAAGGUCGUCUUUCCAACACCACCGAGACCAUGCAAUCCCACCAUCUUUGUGCUCUCUUUUUUCAGUGCUUCAAUGAUCUGAUUACAAGCCAAUUCUGUAGUCUCGAAAGACAUAAAAUGUCUUGGUGCAGGCAAUUCUUUGUUCGAUGAUAGAGGUGUAGGAUGGGCAACAGUGCUGAAUUUGCCGCGGUCUAGUAGAUCGGCCAACUUGCUAGUCUUCUUUAAUGCUUUUCUGCCCAGCCAAUAUCGGCAACCCCAAUUAGGACACCAUCCAUUAAGACAACUCUUGUUUUCAUCUAUCUUUGCUUUCAAAUUUUGAACAUUGGCCAUUUCUUUGACUACAUCCGCCAGCCACUUCUCUACAUCUUUCUCCACUACUACGGCGCGGUGUUUUUGUCGAUCUUGUUCUACUUUUUCAUUGAUGCCAUCUUGUGCCUCCUUCAAAUUAGUUUCUUUAUCCCCAAGUUCUUUAAUAAUGCUGUUGAAGCAGAACAAAUAGCGAGCUUGGUUUAUGGUUGCGUCCGCCAAUAAUUCUCCAAGUUUUGAUGCAACACCUGAUAAAAUUUCCAUGCUAUUUAUCUGCAAUUAAUGAAAUUGAUCUCAGUAUGCUAUAAGCAAUUAAAACAACAUGGCUUGAUCGCAAGAUCGAACGUGAACGUUUAAUUACUUUAAUUUUUUUUCUUUUGGCUUAUUAACGCCAGCAUUGAUCAAUAAGAGCAAAAUGCAAAACAAAGGAGAAGAAAUAAGGUAAACGUUAUAUAUGAAGGAUUACAUUGAAAUUAGAUUACUUUAGAAAUUUUUAAAUAAAAAUUUAAUAGAAUCCGGAUAAACCUAAGAGUUUGUUGUGCAUUGCGAGUGAAGACAGGCAGUUGCGUGGGGAAUAUGAUAAAAGUGAUGAAUAACUGAAAGGGUAAAAGCUUGUUUAGUCCUUAUAUUAUGAGGUUAGUGUCCAUUUUGUCCCUGUAUUUUUAAAAACACCUUAAAACGUCCCUGCUACUAAAUAUUGACACUUAUGCCAUUAUUUUUUUAUUAUUUUUAACUUGUUUUUACAAUAUUAUAUUUUUACAAUAAUAUUUCUUUUUUGGAUAUUAAUAAAAAAUUAAAUUAUCAAAUUAAACUCAAAAAUAAAAUAAAAACAAAAAAGGUAUAUAUUAAUUUUUGUGGAAGCUCACGUAUGUCUAAAAAUUUAAUAUCGUAAAAAAUUACAUUAUCAAUUUUUUUAGAAAAAUUAAUAUUUUAACUCAAGAGUGUGUUCCACAAAAAUUAAUAUAUAUUUUUUAUUUUAUUUUAUUUUUUGGUGUUAAAUUGGUAAUAUAUUUUUUUCUUUUUAAUAAUGUCUAAAAAAAUUAUUAUAAUAGGGUUAUUUUUUUUCUUUUUAAUAAUGUCUAAAAAAUUAUUAUAAUAGGGCAAUAUUAUAAAAAUAAGUUAAAAGGAACAAAAGAUAAUGGCAAAAGUGUCAAUAAUUUAAUGGUAGGGAUGGUUUGAGGUAUUUUAAAAAAUAUAGGGACUAAACGGACACUAACUUCAAAAUAUAGGGACUAAACGAGCUUUUACCCUAACUGAAAAGCCACCCAUAAUAACAAUUAAAAAGAGUAUUAGAGAUUCGAGGAGUUCAACAUCCUAUGCAAGCCCACUAACGAUAAAAUUUGAAUGGUUUCAACAGGAUUACCAUUUUUUGACCUUUAAUAAAUAUUCUAAUAAAAUAAUACCAUAAUUCCAAACAAUAUCUGAAUUUCUUUUUCCUUCAAAUGUUCAUUAAACUCACAUAUUGGAUAAUUAAUUUAAUUAUUUUUUAAAUUAUUUAUUACCCUAUCUUAUUAUUCAAUAGAUAUAAAUGACACCUUAUUUGGUAUGGUAAAAAUUGGAGUAAAUUUUCUUUUAUUCUCUAAAGUUUGGACCUAUUACCAGUUAUAUAUAGUAUUUGUAUUUUGUAAAAUUUUACCUAAAUCGUCCAUAUCAUUACUUUUAUAGCUAUUGAACAUGAAUUUUCCAGUGUAAGAUACUAUUUUUGUCUAUUAUAAAUUAAAAUUCAAAUAAAUCUAUCAUGCAACAAACAAAACGUAAAGAAAAUUAAUUAGGUUUUAAUUGGAAACAAAUAUAAAAUAUUGAUUUUUUGAUUAAUUUUUGUGAAUUCUUUUAUUGUUCGAAUUAGAAUUAAAUAAUUUGUAUAAGGAUAAUUUAUAUGAAGAUAAUCUGCAAAAUAAGCUUAUAUGCCGAAUUUAAAACAUCUCCCGUCAUCGCACCAUCCGAUUUUCUUUUGUUUAGUUUCUCACUCCACGUCCAACCACAUCCAACGGCUGAUGCUGCAGUCUGUACCUUACAGAUUCUGUAACGUAGUUUUGUCCUUAAAAGAGUUAUAUUAGCAAUCAUAUAUUUAUCAAAUUUUUUUAAUAAAAAUUUUGUUUAAAAAUUGGCCAAAUGGGUUUCAUGAAGAAAAUAGAAGGGCAUGAACAGCGCCGCUUUCAAUAUUUAUUGUGGUUGUACAAUUGAAAAGACGCAUUGAAAUGGACCAAUUUGAAAUGGCAGGAGAGCAUAACGGACUCAUGUUGGGACUUGGGUAGGAAAAUUGAUUUUAUUUUUAAAGUAUGGUCAACAAUACUGACUUGGAGGUGAUUGACGUUAAGUUAAAUUAAUACAAACAAAUGGCAAAAAUAAUUUAAUGAAAAUUAAUUAAUAAAAAAAUGUUUUAAAAAUAAGAACUUAAGUUCUUGAUCAUUAAUAUCCGUAUGUUUUUAAUCCAACGGCUCAGAAUUGGCAUAAAACUAGCCAUUGGAAGUAAAACACAAAAUUCAAAUUAAGGGCCUAUGAAACAAUAAGAUCUCAUACCUUCUUCGUUAUAAAUCCUCAAUUACUGCUGAAAGCUCCAGUUAAGAGAGUCGCACAAGUUCGGAGAAAAUUAAAAAGCUGCAUAUGGCAAUAUAAAUAAACAUCAGAUCAAAACGACAUAGGAUAUAUCUGGCUAAUUAACAUCUUAUAUAAGUCCUUGUUCUCAGUCAAAUCUUUCAUACUUAGAAAAAAAAAGAUUGAAAUAAUAACUGUAUGUUUUUAAUCCAACGUGCAAAAUUGGCAUAAAACAAACUAAUAUAGCAUAAAAACGAACAUCAAAUUAAGAGCCUAUGAAACAAUAAUAUCUCAUACCUUCUUCCUUAUACAUCCUCAAUUACUGAUGAAAGCUCCAAUUAAGAGAGUCGCAUAAUUUCCCAGAAAAUUAAAAGCUGCAUCUAGCAAUAUAAAUAAACAUCGAGUCAAAACAACAUAGGAUAUAUCUAGGUAAUGAACAUCAUAUAUAAGUCCUUGUUCUCUAUCAAAAUCUUUUCUUCUUGAAAAAAAAUAAUAAUAACAAUAAUAAUUGAAAUAAUAACUGCGGGUGAUACAGGAAGCAAAAGUAACAUACCGAAAUGAGAGCAGCUCACAUAUCUGGUGACUUCCAAGAGAAUGAAAAAUGAAUGACCUUAGGCAGCAAGAUCCAAAUCAUGUAUCACAAAUUGCUAGUUUGCUACUGACUUCGUGGCUUCACUUUCCUUUUCUUUUUCUUUUUCUUUUUUAAUUAAAUUUUAUAUCACAGUGUGAAUUGAAAGGUGAAAAGUGAAAUGGUACACAUGCGUAUGAUGAGGGGGUAAUUUUUAGACACCUCCCCGAGGUUUAAGGUCUUCUGAAUUAGAUGGAUUGUAUUUUCGUAUUAUCAAAUACCUCCCCUGCCCGUUUUUAUUCCAUUUAGUAUUUUCUAAAUGGCUGAAGGUAAAUUGGUAAAAACUCAUUUAAAUAAAAAAAAAAUCAAAGAAAUUCAAGAAGAAGCUUUGUAUCUGCCAUUUGUAUUUGGGGUAUCUUUUUGGUUGUUGAGUGAAUGAGCUUAAAUCUUAAAUAUUUAUUUUCUUAUUAUAUAUUUCUCAUUGGAAAGAAUUUGAAUCUUAUUCUUAUUAAACUUAUUCUCUUUAAAUAAAAGUAGAUUUCUCUCCAUGUAUUUAGCGUGUAUUUUGAAAUUAAUGUUCAAAAUAUCUUUAGAUCCUAUUAUAAAUAUUCAUAUCUAAAAUCUCAACAGAUUCCAACAUAUAAAUAUAUAUAAAGAGAGAGAGUAACGUUCUAAUAAGAAAUUUCUUAAAUUAUCAAAUUAAAGGAUAAUUCAAAAGAUAAAAAAAAAUACAUAAUCUAAUAUAUUAUAUAACAAAAUAUACUAUAUUAAAAUAUAUAUUUUGCUUAAUUUUUUAAUAUAUCCCAUAAUAACUUAAGAAACCCUUUAUUUACCUGAUAUAUAUGUGUGUGUGUAUAAUUUUUUACAAAAUAAACAAUUUAGAGUAAAACAAAGGACAUUCUGGGGGCCUUUUGCUAGACUACCAAUCUACCAUUUUGGAUUGCAAUAAAGUGAAAAUACUGGACUACCAGUCUACUAUUUUGGAUUGCAAUAAAGUUAAAAUGGUUUACACCAAAAAAGAAAAAAAAAAGUGACAAUCAAUCUUGUCGGCCAAUACAUCGACUUUUAUUAUGCAAAAACAAAUUAUUGCAAGCACUAUUAAAAAGCAAUCGAUGAUUUCGCAAUUUGGUUGUCAAAAAGCAAACUAGAUCACGAUUCCUCAUUUCAAAAUGGGACAAAAUUAUGGUAUCAUAAUGGUACCGUACUACGGCUGGAUUCAGCCUACACUUAUUUUUUUAAUUAAAUAAGUGAAAAUUAAACUUAUAAUUCAAAAUAGAGGACUGUAGAUGCGUAUAAAUUGAAGAAGGUAAAUUUUGUGUGUACAUAAAUAUUUUAGUUAACAACAAAAAAUUCUAACAAGUUAAUAUAAGAGUAUCAUAGCAGUACAAGAGAAUUUUUUUUUUUUAAUGUUAAGAGUUAUCGAGAUACCCAAUAUAUAUAUGUGUGUGUGUGAGAGUGGAGGAAGAAAAAAAAUAUUAAGAAUAGUUUUGGCAUUUUGAUGGGUUUUAUAGAGUAAAAUCUAUAUUUUCAAAUAUGAUAAUUCUUUAAUUUAAUUUGGUGUUAUGAAAAAAAAGGGCAUUUUAAAUAUGUUUUAAGUUAUAAAUAACUCCAUCCAAAAUUUAAAAAUGAAAUCUUAGGGGGGAAAAAAUUUCACCCGAACUAAGGCCCAAAGUAGCCGCGGCAUUUUUCACCAAUUCUCCAAUUCCCAAUGUGGUCUAAUUAUUUACAAGGAAUAUGAGUAGGGGUGGCCACGGUUCGGUCCGGUUCGAUUUGGAUCAAAAUUAAGCAGAACUGAUUUAAAUCGGUUAUUUUAUAAAAAGAACUAAAUAAGAACCGAACUCAAUAAAAACCGAACAUAAAUGGAUCUUUUCGGAUCGGUUCGGUUUUUCGGUUUUGGGCUUAUUGGGCCUAUUUUGAAUUUCUAAAUUGUUAGCCCAUUAGGCCUCAUGAAUGUAAUAAUUUUAUUCAAUAAUUAAUUUAUCCUAAUUUCAUUACAAAUAUUAACAAUAAAUACAAAGUAUUCAAAACACAUUUUAUCACUAAUAUCUUACUAACUACUAAUAAGGUACUUACAAAAUAUGAAAUAUUAAGAUUUCAAAAUACAUAAUCAAACUCCAAUACUCCAUCUACAUAAAUAUAAUGUUGUAAAGACAAAUAAAAAUAACAACAAUUAAAACUUACAACACAAAAUAAAAAGAAAAUUUGGAAACAAACACCAACAACAAUUUUUAAAUAUAUAUAUAUACCUGUAAUCGUGUGUGUGCAUGCCUAUUUUAGUUAUCUCACGCAACCGAUUAAAAUUUAACACGUGUCUAUUUAAAAAAAAUUCCAAGAAUAACUCGGUUUUUCGGUUUGGUUUUUUGGUUCAGCUGAGUGAACCGAAUACCGAACCUGUAUUUCGGUUUUUUUACAAACCAUAUAUUUCAGUUAUUUUUUAAAAUUAAAAUUAGUCCGAACGGAAUGGAACGGUUCGGAUCAAUUUUUUCUAGUGCACGGUUUUUUUGCCCACCCCUAAAUAUGAGAUUCUCUACCACUCCAAUUUAUCCCAUUGUUAGCAAUCCUAUUAGCUGUUUUAUAUCCUAUUUUUAUUAUGCUCCCCAAACAAAUAUGUUUCACCUAAAGGUGCCCAACGGGCUGCACCGUCCGUCUGAAUGAGCGCACGAGAGGCUCCACAUGACACGGCAAUCUUUUUCUUUUUAAUGAGGGCGUGUCUGAUAUGCUCUUUCAAGUCUACAUACUUAACGUUCUUUUUUUAAGUGCAUAUAUUUUUUUUAAAGCUCAUGUGAAAUUCAGUAGUAAGAGAAUGCGAUACUAGUUAAUAAGUUAGAGCCUACAAAAUAAUAAUAAUAAUAAUAAAAAAAUUUUCUUUAAGGGUUAACAUUUUGUUGUUAACUUGAAUUUACAUACAGUUAUAGAUUAUAGUCCAUCAUAAUAUUAAUACUUACAAGUUUCAAAUGAAAAUUUAAUAAUUAACAUUUCAUUAACACAACUAUAUUAUCUAAUUUUGCAAUAACAAAUUGUAAUACAACAAUACAUAAUUCUAAUUUCAUAGACAAUAGUAAUAAAAUCUCUACGUUAAUGAAAAUUUUAUUUUGAUAUAUGUCGGUUUGCUUGCUAUUGAUGGCCGAUGGUCGUAUGCUAGCCUGCUAAUGAAGCGUGUUUAUUAUUGGUUUUUUCAUGUGUCUUGCUUUACCACAUCUCUUCCACAGCCUAACCUAGCCUCUAUGUGUGUCCUGCCGUGCCAUACUAUACAAACACGUAUCCGGUACCAUGCCAAGUACCGGUCGGCCGGUCAGCCCUUAGCCAUCUCUAGUUUCACGUUCACACUUUCACUUUCACCCCUAAAUGAAAUCUAAACGGCUACUGGCAAGUAAGAAAACCUGUUAUUCUUUAUUUUGAAAAUAAAAGGAAUUGCUUAGUUUGAUAUUGUUUUUGGUAAGUCAUUUUUUGUUUUGAAACAUUUUUCUGAGAUGUUGUUGUAUUUGGUGAAAAAUAAAUUAUUUUAUUUUAUACUUUUAAUGAAGAAAAGUAGAGAAAAACAUUUUGUUGUUUUCGACAACAUUUGCCUUAUAAGUGCACCCGUGCCACUUUUUUCUUGUUUUAUUUGUAUGAUAAUUAUCAUGGACCCACGUAACUUUCUUUUGCAUUUAAAAUUUCAUAAUAAAUUAAAUUAGACAAAAGAAAUGAGUCCCACAAAUAAUUUAUUUUAUAAUUUUUUAAAUAAUACUAUUUUAAAAUAAAUUAUCAAAACAAAUUUCAUAUUCACUAAAAUUAAUCAUAUUCAUAUUAUAAAAUAAAUAUAAAAACAAUAUUUGAAAAGUAAUGCUAAAUACACUCUUAAAUUUUAUGUACGUCAUUAGAAUUGAUGAACAAUAUGACAAAGAUGCUACGACUUAAGUAGGGAUGACAAUUAAAGCUGGAUUUGGAAAAAUUCAUGUCUGCAAAUUAAAAAAUGUGGAUUCGGAUAUGGAAAUUUUGAAUUCACAUGGAUCCAGAUAAAUUUUAUUUUAAAUUAAAAAUUAAAUGAAAAAAUAAAAAAUAAAUUUUAUUUGUGGUUUUAUGAUGUUGUUGUAUAUUAUUCAUGUUGAAUUAUUAAUGGUUGGAUUAUGAUUGAAUUUUAUUUGAUAUUAUUAGGUAAAUUAUUGAAUUUUAUUUAAAAUUAAAAAUAUAUAUAUUAAAAUUAAAUAAAAAUAAAAAAUUAUAUUUUAUUUGUAGAUUUAUGAGAUUAUUGUAUGUUAUUCAUGUUGAAUUAUUAAUUGUUGAAUUAUGAUUGAAUUUUAUUUGAUAUUAUUAGGUAAAUUAUUGAACUUUUAAAUUAUAUAUUAAAUUAUUUAAUUUUAAUUUUUACGGAUCUGGAUCCAGAAUAUCCUCCAGUAUCCGUUGCGGAUAUUACCUGCUUCUGGAUCCGCAUCUUUUUAUGCGAAUUCAAAUAUAUAAAUAUGAAUGCGAAUCCGAAUCUGGAUUUUACCAACCCUGAACCUAAGCAUGAAUGGGCCUAAAGUUUUUACAACAAACAUGGAUCAUUCAAUGACACGAGAUGUUUUACAGCUNNNNNNNNNNNNNNNNNNNNNNNNNNNNNNNNNNNNNNNNNNNNNNNNNNNNNNNNNNNNNNNNNNNNNNNNNNNNNNAAAAAAAAGAAUCGUUCACUUGAGGAAAAUUCCAAAUUCUCCACGUAGAAUUUAGAUUCAAAGCAUAGCAAAUUAGACAUAAUUCUAAUUUAUAUGGGAAAUAUAAUUAGCGAAGACACUCUUUAUAUAAAACAUUAUUGUCACAAGAUGCCAAACCUAAUAAGAUUCAAGAUCUUAACAUACUUCAUAUGAAAUUUGAUCUUGACGCGUACCGACACGCAUAACAUCAAGACUCUACUGCAUAUAAUGUAACUUCAUGUGUUUUUCGCUCUCUUGUGGGUCUAUCGUUUGUUUGCAAACUUUUCCAUUUUAAAUUGACAAUUAUAGGCGCUCUCUUGUGGUACAUAAAAUAAACGUUUAUUUUUAGAAUAUUAUUAUUUGUCUCAAUUUUUGAUUUUAAUAGUUAAUCUUAAUCAAUUCUUAGACUGCCAUAAUCAAUUAAUUUUUUACAUUAUGGCAUCUUAAAUAAAUUUAGGAUAUGUAAUAAAUAAGAACUGGUAACGUUUUGUUCUUUUAAAGCAUAAAACAACCGUAACAUUGGUUUUUACAUUUUGAAUUUUUCUUGCAUCACUAUUUAGAAAAAUGAUGUUAAAUCAACUCACAAAAUAUAUCAAGCCAUCUAAAAUCCAAAUAUUAUUACAUUUGUAUUUGCAUUGUUAAAUUGUUGGAACGACGGCAAAGCAAUUGAAAAGAUAUUAACAAAAAAGUAAAGAUUGGCCAAGGAUUAUUCAUGUUUAGGAAAUGCCUUAACUUUUGAUAUAAUCAUUGUUAUAAUUAUAUUGUAGAAAUAAUCAAUUACCUAAUGUUUGUGGUGGUAAAUAUUAUUAACUUGUUUUACUAUACCCGUGUUUAUGUUGGUCUCCUUUCUGUCCAUUUCUGUACAACGAAAUAUUCGCAUGUUUUGAUAGAAAUUGGUUUAAAUGACAUUUAAAAUAGCAUAUCCCCAGACAAUUAACAAAAUAUUUGGAUGGUAGGAUGAAGUAAUAAAUAGUUUUACAAAUUACCAUAUUAGAGGUAAAAAAAAUCGAGAGGUUACUUGACAAUUAUGACGUUACUAACUACAAAUUUAACACAAAAAGUUUAAUUAACUUUUCUUUUUGAGAUGGCAAAAUCUCUGGUGUUGAAAACAAUGAGGUUUGAGGUUCAAGCUUGAAUAUCAAGUUACAAUUAGUAGAUGGUCUUAGGACAUAUCAAAGAUUUCUUUAAAGACAAAAUAAUUAUUAUAAGCAAUAGGAAUUUAUGGUAUUCAGAACAUGUAACCUUGGCACAUGAAGCUUGAGUCCAGCAAAAGAUGCAGCUAGCCAAUCCUUCAACUUCCAAAACCCCACAAAAUCUCUGUCAACAUAUCUGCUCUACUUCAAUAUUAAGCACAUUCAUAGCGGUAUCAACAGCUUACAGCGCCAAAAUAUUUUCCCCAAAAAGAGUGAGAGAUUUCACUGAAGCUAAGUUGUGACUUGUAACUGCUCAAAUGUUCUAUAACACGAUAUGAUUAUUCUAGUAACACAAAUCCAAUAGCAUGCAACAUAAUCUACUCUCUAACAUUGUGCAUUAGUAAAAUAAAACAGAGUAAAAAGAGAAACCAUGCCUGUGAAUCUCUUCUUUUCCCCCUGCCACCCCUUUUUUUGGUGAAGUCCAUCAAAUGAAAAUGCAGCAUGACCACGUUGGCCACUGCCACUGCCAUUGCUUCUUCAACUGUGCCUUUUGUUGCAGGAAAUAUUCAAGUGAAAGAUUGGAUUAUAUAAUUCAAGAUUCCAAUAAACCUGAGCUGCAAAGGUUGCCUUCCACUAGCCUAUCAGAGACUAUGCUUUCUAUUUUCCUAGUUUUUUAAUCAUAAUUUUGCAAGAUUUAUUUAUGGAAAACUGGGACAAAAUUUUAUGUAAGAUACCAUAAAGCCAAACACAAUCUUUUUAAUUCUCAGCAGCAACAUUUAAAGUUAAAAAAGGGAAGCCAUAUAAAUAUAACUAUGUUUGGUACAAGCAACAAUUAUUUCAAGCUUUCAGAAAUGCUAGCAAGAGAUUGUAAGAGAACUUUACCUAGUCACAGAAUAUGUCAAACAUACUACCACCAACUGCCUUCAGCACGAUUGUUAUGAAGUAGCUUUUGAAUCGGAAGAUUCCAGCUUCCACCAGGCACCAUUAUUUUCAUUCUUGAUACAAUCUGCAUCACUGGCAUUAGUUAUAUCAUCAACAUUUGCAUCCUCACUCUCAUCAUCCCAAUCAAGGCUUCUUCUCCAGCACUGGAUUAUAAGUCCACUCCGACGUCUUCAAACAUCUCGGUCCUUCCAUUUGCCAACAACCGAUAUGGCUUCCUUCCUUUCCUUCCCCAUUAAUAUAUCACUCGAAGGAAAAAAAGCAUCAGCAAUUCUCUUCAACGUCUCAUCGUUUAUAACCCCCCAAAAAAAGGGUCUUCAGACACCUCAACUUUGCCUUGUGCAAAACCUCCACAAAAUCUGAAUUAUCCAACACAACAGCCAGACACUCAAUCCUUCUUUUGUCCAUCAUAUCCACCGUAUGAUUCCUCAACAAAAUAUCUACAGCUUGUGGCUUAUCUAACACUGUCUUGAUCCAAAACCCCUCUGUUUUCAACUCAUCUGCCAAACCAUAACCCACUUUUGGAGUCAAAAUUGUCCUUGCAGCCCUUUUAUAUUUUUCCAUCUCCAUCGAAUACUUGCCACUCAAAUGGAAUUACCAGACAGGAAUCCCAGUAACAAGUCCACUCAACUUCUUCUCAUCUGAUCCCUCUUUCACUCUGGCGGAAACAUUAAUAACCAUUCACCAGCCACAAAUUACCCAAGUAAGUACUCGUGUCGUCAACACUUACCCUUCACUUCAUCUACGCAAACAAGAAUUCAAAUUGCUUACUAGCUAGUGCUCGAGCAAAAGCCAGAAUAAUUUAAAUAUGCGUGUGUGUGUGUUAAAAGAGAAACGGUAGCGAAGUUAUUAUACAAUAAAGCAAACCAAAAUAAAUUCUACACUCGUGUGGGUGUUUCGCUCGCAAAAUCUGGACAAGAAAAAAUAAAAUUGAUACAAUCUCCAAAUAAAGAGCAUUCCUCUUGGUAAAAUAGACAAAUCCUAUAAAUUUUGAUUAAUGGUGCCAAAUGAAAGAGUUGUCAUUUCAUGUACAUUUUGUUAACAUGAAUAAGGGUACAAAAUAGAUAACAAAGUGACAAAAACAAAGCUAAUCACAAUGAAUGAUAAGGUUUAGAGUAAACAUAAAGUUAUAAUCUUGAACAUAAGUGGCGCUCAAAGCCAUGAAUUUGAUAUCAUCCAUGAGGGGAGUUCAAACAACAGCAUGUAAGAAGCAACAAGUGUUGAGAAAAAAAAAAUUCAUUCUAACACAACACUUCUCUUCUUGCUAUCAACAGAAGCUUUUUGCUUAGCUCCCCACAGACGGCGCCAAAAUGUUGAUGCUGAAAUCUGCUCGCCCUUUGACCGACCAGAUUCUUUCACCAACGUUUACGUUAUCAGCUGUUGCUCGAACCACUGGGGUUGGAAUCACUCUCCUCUCCCUUACCAGACCUGCGUUCACCAAAAACGGAUCAGAGACGCCGGUGGCUUUGCCGGCGUAAACCCUCCGAUGCCUAAGUUAGCACAAGGUGUUUACGGGAAAACAGUUAAAUUUAGAUUCAAGAAUGGUUUCUAAUUUUCUCGAAGUUUGUAAGAAAAUAGCCUGAUUUCAAUUUGGCAGCGUUUUCCCUCUCUCAGUUUUUCUGUCCUUUUCUUCAUCGAUUUCUUCUUCUUUUAUAGCCGCUGUCCCACGUUCCUGUUUAGCCUUCAUUCCCCUUUUUUCGGGUGGUGGCCGCCCCUCAUGGGACUCUAACUGCUACAUUGUGGGCAAACGUGGGAUCUCGCAUCUCUCGCAACGGUUCUGGAAAAAGCGCAACUACCGUGAUUCUGUGGGAUCGUGUUCCCACUUUUUCGGGGGAUGAGUAUCGGCUCGGAAUAUACCUCUGGUUGGUACUCGUCUCUGGUCGGACCAUGUUCGUCUCCGUGUUCUGCUCGUACCAUUUGGUUGAGGUGAUUCAUGCCAGCGUGGAAAUAAUAGCAUGGCCGACCUGAUGCUUUUAUUUACUUAACAAUAAGCACAACAAAAUUUGACUGAUUAUUAAAAAUGAGAAAUGAGUUAUAAUGAGAAUUUUGGCUUUGUGGUGAAAUAAAUUGGGAAGUAUCAAAGUUCGCAUGUAAACAAUAUAAAUGAUAAGAAGACGAAGGGAACAAAAUGAUAAUAAGCAAGCCAAAUAUUAAAAUGCAGAUUCUACGCUUCCGCCCCCCCAUACUUCAAGUUAGUGUCUCGCUAAUCAUUUUAGAUGUAUCAAUUACAAAGGGAGGCCAUCUAUUUAUAGUAAGCGUACGCCUCUAAUGCUUUGCCAAGUGUCCAUUGAUAAUAUCACAAGGGCAAUUAAAUUGGUGUAUGUGUAUUACACCUCCUAAAGUCAUGUUAAGAUAGUUAGUGAGCUGAUAAAGUUUGUUGCACGUGUGAGUUGGUUAAGUCUGCUAGAAUUGAAAACGUGUAAAGCUGAGUCAGCAAGUUAGUUAAGGUUAUUAUGAAUGCUUAGAUUCAGCUCACGUGUAUUGUAUGUAAUGCUUAGAUUCAGCUCAUGUAGAUUGUGUAUACAACUUUCUAAUAUUAAUGAUUACCGAAGCUAUAGAAGUAUCAAAAUCGGAAAGCAAACAAUUGCAAAACACAUCAAUGACUGGAGGUUAGGUUCUAAAACUUCCGCAUUUAAUUUUCAGAGCAUGUUAUGUAUUAUUCAGAAAUAUGCAUUCACUUCAGGCACUUGACCAAGACGCAUUAAACAUAAAACGCGGCGUUUUCAUGGACUAGUACAUUCCAUGCUUCGAAAGUUUAUGUUUUAGACUGAUUGGUUUGAUACAUUAUUUGUUUAUUGUGUUUUUCUUGCUUUAAAUAUUAUGUUGGAUUGAUAAGCUUUGUACACAUUUAUAUUGCUCGCAGUAAAUAAUUUAUGACAUUUAAAAAACUAUCAACCGUCGGUCAAAAGAUUUCUACUAUAAAUAUAUAUACACAAAAAACUUUUAAUUUGGUCAAUUUGUUCUCUUAUUUAUUUUUGUUCUAUUUCUCUUUUCCUUUCAUUUCAUUUUAUUGUUUUAUGCUACAAAAUAAAAAAAAUAACCUUAAAAUUUAAGGGUAAAAUACUCAUUUUACUAAAAUUCCGUUUAAUAUUAUAAAGCUGUCAAAUGUCAAUGGCAUAGCACACGAGUGAUACAAAUUAAAAACAAUAAAUUGAAAGUUUUUAUGCAUUUUUCUUUUUUUUUUUAUAGUCGAUUGAGAUUUCCCUUCAUAUUUUUAAAUUCAAUAGGUUUAGACCGUUUAACAAAUCUUAAAUUAAAAAAACCCGCGGUGUAAUAACAAACUCACAUCAAACCCUGUACACUGUCAUGUCAUCCCUAAUUAUAUUUACCACUUCAUACUCACAGUGAUAAUAACUGUGUAUCACAAUUGUUUUUUUCUGGAAUUGUAAGGGAAUCUGAUCCUGUGUUUGUGCAUAUGAUUCAAUUACUUAUAGGUGAUACUGUUGUGUCACCGCAAAAUCUAAUUGGGAAGCUUCAGCUGUCAAUUUUUUUCCAAGGGUUAAUUAGGUAGAACUUUCAUGUCGUCGAAUUUAUUUGGAGAUUCUAAAAGUAGUUUCCAUAUAAAGAGAUGGACCAAAAUCAACAAUGUGACAAAGAUACUUUAGAUUUUUUUUCCUUGUGGGACACGAAAAUUGAUGCAUGUUCCAAUGCAUUGCUCUAUCAGAAUUGGAAUUAAACUUAGUUUGUAUUCUCCUAUUCCGAAAGCAAAACUUGUAAGUGAUAUUCUAAGAAGAAGAAAUUAAGAACCAUAACAAAUUUGAUGAUUCUAAUUUGCUAGAAAUAUUGCAAUCCAAAACUAAGAAAGUUCAAACCAAUUAUUAGAAGAAAAAAGUAGGACGGAAGCUCCCAGAAUAUUGUUAUGUGUUGUAUGUUUUCAGUUUGUAUUUCCCAAUCAAUAAGGAAAAGUAAGUACACAUGUUACAAAAAUUUAAUAAAAAAGAUUGGAAGUGACAAAACUGUCAAUUUUCUAAUUAACUUUCUCUCCUUUCGAAUUUCCUAAGUUUGGUAGAGACUACUUAAGUGGUGUAUCUAUUAUAAAUGCCUGAAGUGAAAGUUAAUGUUUUAAUUGUUAAGAAAAGUUAGAAGAAUAAAUUUUUGUGUAAGAGAAUUGGGUUUAAAUUUAGAAUUCCUUGGGAGGAAAUGAGUCUAAAUUCCAAUAAUAUAAUUCAACACUAUUUAUAUAUGUCAUUGGUUGGGUGAAAAAUUAAUUUACAUCCUUUGAUGUGAAAAACUCUCUUGAUCGUCUAUUUUUAUAUGAUGGUAAUUUUUUAUUUAAAGUGAAGUUAUUGGCACCCUUUCAUUAUCCUUAUAAAAUUCUACUUCAAAUAAAAUUACACUUAAAGACAAUAGAAUUAAACAAUAUAGUUUUUUCUUUAAAACAAAUUACUCAUCUAAUUUUCUACAGGUUGCUUUGUAUCUAAUUAAAAUAAAUUGUAUAAAUUUAAAAUAAUCUAUUUUUUUUCAAAUUUCUUAUUGAUUAAAUAUUUGUGUGCUUAAGAUAGCUUUAAAAUUAUAAGAUAAUAUAUAUAAUUUAAGCCAAUGAUUAACAUUAAAAAAUUUAUCUCUCAUAAAAGUUUUUAAUUUGUGCGUAGGGUAAUAAUAAAAUUGCAAAAGAAAUGAAAAAUAGCGUAGCACCAUUUUGAGUUUAAACAAUGAAAAAUUUAAAUGAAAAAUUAGAAGUGUAUUUAAAAAAAGGAUAUUUUUGAAAAUAAAAUAAAUAGAAUUUAAAAAAAAAAGAGUUUCAUGAGGGGUGCAAUAGUUCAACUCUUUUGUUUAUAAGUUUUAAGAUGUUGGUAUCCGUAGCUUAGCUUUUCCCUAAUUAUUGUAUUAAAAUGUUACAACAAUGAUGAUCAACCCUAAUUAUUGUAUUAGUUCGGUCAUACUUUCUACAAAUUUAUUUACAUUUAAUAAUUUGACCAAGACUAGGUAAGGUGCCGCCUGGAGUCAUAUAAUUUUUUAUGUCAAAAGCGCGUUUCACUUCAAUUAAGCCAUAAAUCUCGUUUAAUAUGCUCAUUUGUAUUUUUUUUUAAAAGUUUUAUUAAUUUUUUUUGUUUUUAAAAAUAUCAUUUAUUUAUUUUUUAAAAAAUUUUUUAAAGGUAAAGAAGUGGGUAAAGUUCAAAUUCAAUUUUUAUCCCUUGCCCCUAAGAUUUGAACUUUGGUGACCAAAUGUAUAAUAAUAGGUAUCUCAAGUUUCAUUUCAAAUGAUAUGCAAUAUAUUAAGUGAUUGUUAAUCUUUACAAGAUUUGAGUUAAUUAAUUGUAUUAUCUCACUAAUUAAUUGAUGAGUAUCAUAUUAUUUGGAAUAACUUUUGGAUAAAAAAAUUGUGACGGAUGAAAUAUUCUUUUGAGAAUUUAUUGACUUAACUCAUUUAUGACUUAUUGUUGCAUUUAAGUGAUAUUGCAAAUAAUUUUUCCGAUAAUAUUAUUGUUUUGAUGAGGAAGUUUGGAGUAAAUAAUACAUAUGGCAAGUGUGAGGUUUGCUAUUGCAUUUAUUUUGUGGAUCUAUUUUAAAGCCAAAAAAAGACAUUUCGAUUCAUUAUGAUUCCAGAUAAUUUCAAGCCAUAUGUCAUUAUUGGGAUAAAAAUGAAGUAAAAUGGUUAAAACUAUUUUUAUAUAAUUUAUAAAAAUUAAUGAAGCAACGACAACAUUUUUUUAUCAUGAAAAACAAUUGAAAUGUGUGCGGAAAAAGAAGAAAAAAAGAAGGCAUUUAAAUAUCUUUUUAAAAAAUAUGAUUCAGUAAAAUCAUUUUACAGAAUACUCUUCCAAAUUAGGAAUGACAAAAUCCUCCACGGGUUUAGGGCCCCAUGAAGCCCCACCCAAAAUGGGAAAAAUUUUGAAUAAUUUUUUGGGAAUGGGGUGGGAGAAAAAUAAUCUCCAAAUUCUUAAUGGGGUGGGGUUUGGUUUUGUACUCCCCACCCCACCCCCACCUCAAUCCCCAUUAUAUAUAAAUAUGUUUUUAAUUCUUAUUUAAUAAUUUUUAUUUUAUCAAUUAUAAUGUCAAUUAAUAAUUUUUUUUAAUUUUUAUGCAAUAUAAACAAGAUAUGAAUGAAAGAAAAUCCUAUAAAUUUUUCAACCCUGAAACAUUAUUAUAUUUUAUUUUCUCUUUUAAGGUGCUACGCUCUUUAAAUAUUUUUCACUUUUAAUAUCAUUUUAAGAUAUUGUUUCAAACUUUUAGAUUUUUUUUAAAAGAAUUUAAAUACUUUAUAAUAUGAUGAUGAUUUUAUUUUAAGUCUCUAAUUUUGAACUUACUAAAAUAAUAUAUUUAUACAUAUUAUAAAAUAGAUAAAUAGGGAAUGGGGUGGGGAUGGGGAAAUCAUUCCCCACAUGAGGAUUCUCCAUUCCCACCCCCACUAAAUUUAUUAGGGAAUGAGGUGGGGAAUGGAGACAAAAAUUUCUAACGGGGUGGGGAAUGGGGUAGACCUCCCCACCCCCACCCCACCCCGUUGCCAUCCAUAUUCCAAAUGCAAUUCCACAUUUUUUUAUUACAUUGGAAUAUUCCAAAAUUGGCACAGCUCAUCAAGAAUUCGGCAACUCAAAUUUUAUUUAUCUCUCUUUGCAUUUGACAAAUUAAAAAGAAAAAAAUUCAUAUAUCUUCUGUUAAAAAGAAACCUUGGUAAAAAUUGUAAAACAAAUUACCAAUUUUUUAAAUUUAUGCCAUUAUAUCGUCGCUAUUUUCUCGCCCACUUUCUUAAAAUAGAAUCAAUAUUUAUUGAUGGGUUGGGUUCCAAAGUAAGCACCAAUUCAGCAAAAUGGUUUUAUAGCAGAAAAAGCACUUGUAAGACAUUCAAAUCACAUUUUUCAAUUUUGUCUUCUGAAAUUGAGUCUUGAGUUUCCACAAGCCAAGUAGAAUGGCUAAAAAAUGUAUGGUAUCAAAGAAAGAGAAGCACACACAGAGAUUAUUGGGGAGAUAUAUGAGUGUGUAAUUUGUAUAUGUAUCCCCAUUAAUUGUUGAUAGUCCAAUGGGUAUAUGCAAAAGGAAAAAAUUGGCUGUCCUUUAAGACAAAAUUGACUGUCACAUGAAAAUGUUAGCACACUUGCCACGCAACGAAAUAAAGAUUCCAAGAACAACUUUAUCGUCCCCUUUCUGUCCAAACGUAUGCGAUAGAAAUUAGUGUAAACGACACUUGAAAUAUAUAUGUAGAUCCUCACACAAUUGAUUAAAUAUUUAUAGUAGGAUGGAGUGAUAAAUAGUUUCACAAAAUUAUUGGAAUUAACUAUUUAAUACAUGAGAUCUAUCUCAUUAAGUAUAAAAGAUUGAGUGGUACUUCAAAAGCAUGACGUUGCUGGCAACAAAUUUAAUACAAAAGUUUAACUAAUUAUCCUAGUUGAGAUAAUAAAAUCUCGUGUUGAAAAUAAAAGGUUUGAGGUUCGAACCUUCUCAUUCAAGAAAAUCAAGUCAAAAUAUUACAUCUUCCAGCACAUAUCAAAGAUUUUUUCAAAGGCAGACUGAUAAUUCAGGGUAAAACAAAAAAAACAAAAGGACUAUUUGCUAUUCAAGACAGGUAUACCUUGGACAUGAAGUCUGAAUCCAAAACAAGAAGCACCUAGCUGAUCUUUCACUUUCAAUUUCCAAAACCCAACAAAAUCUUUGUCAAAACAUCUGAUCUAGUCCCAUAUUGAGCACAUUCAUAGCCGUAUCAACAGGUUCAAAAUAUUUUCCCCAAAAUGAGACAGAGAUUCCACUGAAGUUGAGCUGUGAAUGUCCCAACGUUCUGUAAUUAUAUGGUUUAGGAUACCAUGCCUAUUAAUCUUUUUUUUUUUCCUUUUAAAAAAAGGAAGCCAUAUAAAUAAUGCUUAAAGCAUUAUUUGCAACAAGGAACAAUUAUUUCAUGCUUUCAUGCAUUAGAAACUUUCCAAAAAUUCUAGCAAGAAAAUGAAAUGGAACUUUACCUAGUCACAAAAUAUGUAUUGCUGUUAGCCCAAUUGUUAUGAAGUGGCUUCUGCAUCAGAAGAUUCCAGCUCCCACCAAGCAUUGUUAUCUCUCUUCUGAAUACAAUCUGCAUCGCUCGGCAUGAGUUAUAUCAUUAAUGUCUGCAUCCACUUACAUCAUCCCAAUCAAGUGCUUUUUCUCCACAUCUGGAUUAUAAGUACCCUCUAAUCUCUUCAAAACAUCCCAGUCCUUCCAUCACAACUAAUACGACUUCCUUCCUUACUUCCCCAUUAAUAAAUCGCUCCAAGAAAAAAAAAGCAUUAGCAAUUCUCUUCAACACCCCAUCAUUCAUAUCCCCUACAACAACCACCAAACACCCAAACCUUCUUUUGUCCACCAUAUCCACCAUAUAAUUCCUCAACAAAACAUCGGCAUCUUGUGGCUUAUCUAACACCAUCCUAACCAAAAACCAUGCUCUUUUCAACUCAUCUGCAAAACCAUAACCCACUUUUAGAGUCAAAAUUGCGCUUGCAGCCAUUUUAUAUUUUUUCCAUCUUUAUUGAAUAGUUGCCAACCAAAAGCACUCUCACCUUCCCUCUAGCUGAUUGUAUUUGAUUCGACCUUUUCUUUUAUUCGCCCUCAUGAAUUUGCUUAGAAUGAUUAACAAGCUUGUCAUUAUUAUAAAAUCUCUUUCCACAAUCACCAAUACAUACGGCUUAGCAGGCCUAAUUACACCCUUGAUUUCGGUUAAACAGUUCUCUUUCUUUCUUUGCUCUCUUACAACUUGAGGCACAUAACUAAAUGCGUGGCUAUUAGCAUUUUCCACCAUUGAUUUUUUUCAGUUUAAUUGCUGCUUCAAAACGGGGUACUGAAUUUAGAUUUUGUUAUCCAAAUACCAAAAAUUUCCCACAUUGUAUUGGACAUUUUUUGGUUCUAAAGUUUAUGACUGGUUUUGCGAAUCAGGCUUCAAAUGAGAACUUCUAAACAAUAAGACAAAUGGGUUUUUGAGUUUCUAAUCUUGUAAACUUUGUUCUAUUGUAUAAGUUAUGAAAUCGCUGAAACAUCACUACAGCUACAGGUCUUUAUGUGUCAAUGAACUGCAGAAGCUGAUGAUCUACCUAUAGUAGACUUCUAUUGCCCCUGCCGUUCUAGGAAGACAAACAAGUUCAGGAACUACUUCUGGACCAAACUCAUAAUAUUGCCACUGCUUUGUGCCAAUCUGAGAGGGAAAGCAUAUUGAAGUUCCUAAAUAAGGCACAUCAUGAUUUGAUAGAAGUACCACUAUGAGGAACAACUGAUUUCAGGAAAGCACUAAAAUAUCACAUAAUCUGCCCCUAAUGGUCUAAAGUAGUCAAGAAAUGAUAUCAACCAAGCAAAAACACAUAAAUUAGUUGAGAUACAAAGUUAUUGUAAAAGUCAAUUUUGAUCACAAAUCCAUUAAAAUUAAAAGACAUCAGAAACUUAGAGAACAUUAUAAUUUAGGACUCAGCUAAGUUGCAGAUUCUGUAACUAACAGCUGAGUCCACAUUGGUCUUGCAUCAACUAAGUUUGGGUUGCUUUUCCUCUCUCCUGCAACGCGUGGAAGCGCCCCAUUUGCUGUGUUAUAUACCGAGUCGGUACCGUAACAAGCUCCUAUAAUUUAAGUUUGAUUACUGUAGACAAUAGUCUGCCUUUGCUCAAAAGCUAUGCUGCAAGAUAUAACAUCUUUGCAAUGUUAUACUUUCUAAAAGUAAUAAGAAAUCAUUUCAAAAAAAAAAGUAAUAAGAAAUGAAACCAAGGGUAAAUCGAACACCAAAAGAAAUUUAGUCGGCCAACCACAUUAUGUUCCCACACAGUCCACUAAUUAAGUUAAUAAUUCAAGGGAAUCAAAAUCUAAGAAAUCUCAACUUCAAGCAGAAUACAAACAGACCACGAUUGAAAAUCACAAAAUCAUAAAAAGAAGCUGAUUUGAAAAGGGGUGGGCCGCCUCAUUUGCCCACCAACCACACCACACACACAAAUACUCCGGCACACACACAAGCUCUCUAGCUUUUGUAAAAAACUCUCUUGUAUAUUCUCUCUUUGUGACUAAUACAAUCAUAUUCAGCCAUAUUGCUCUACUUCUCUCUAGCAUUUUCCUCAAGUGUUCUUGCUUCGCUAGUUUGAGGAGUGGUCUAGGCUUGCUUAGCAACUUGUUUGCUAUAAGGACAUCUUGGUCACAAAACAUGAACGUGCAAGGAAAAAAAAAUAUUGAUACGUUCUAAAAAUAAUACGCAUUCUUCUACAAUGAACCAAAAAAUUUAGGCUAAUGGUAGCAAGUGAAGGAAUUGUGAUUUCAUGUGCAUUUUGUUGACAUGAAGGUAAAGAGCUUUUUUUAUAGUUUAUAUUGUUUAAUAUAACAUUUGAAUUGCAAAAUAGGGGUACAAAAUAGAUACACGAAGGGAUAAAACUAAGCUGAUUAUGAUAAAUAUUGAAUUAUGAGAUUUAGGUUUAAUCAUAAAGACAUAAGUGGCCCACAAAGUCACGAAUUGAUAUCAUCCACGAUGCAAGUUCAAACAACUGCAUAAUAAGUUGCCCCAAGCUAAACUAUUAAUCUAGUAACUAUUCCAGUCAAUGUGGGAUAAUUUUCCUAUCACCAUCUAUCACGUGCAAGCUGAAUUUGUUGCUUGGUCCUUACAUGUGGUAAGGUAAUAUGAAUCCACUUGUGCAUAAAUUUGGCUCCGAUAUUAUAUAGAAGCCUAUGACCCAAAAUUAUACUUAAAGGUUAUUUCAAGAUUUGAGGGUUGCCUCAAGUUAAUAUUAUUAUUAGCCUGGUAACCUUUUUUUUUUUUUUUGUUGAUAUGUGAUAUUUUCCCUAUAACUUUUAUUAAUCUUUAUGCUUAUGUUUUGUCAUUUAUCCCAAAAUAUAACAUUAACAAAAGUUCCAAAAUUUCCUUCAAGAGAUAUAUUUGAGACAAGUAAUUAGUGCAAUAACUUUGUGAAUUGAUGAGCAAAUUCAAAGAAAAGAAUAUAUGUGCCAAACGUAAUGUUUAUUAUUGUGUUUAUUUGUAGAGCUAUUUAAAGCCCAAAAAAAAAAAAAGCACAGGUCCGCUAUUAUUUCAAAUAAGUUCAAGCCCUAUGUCAUUAUUGGUACAAAAAUGUAUUAGAAUGGUUAAAAAUUAUUUUUAUUUAACUUAUAAACUUAGGAAAUUAUCAACUAUCCACCCUUAAAUUGCAUUGUUAUAAACAAUAUUACAACAUUUUUAGGUUGUAUCAUUCAUCUACCAUAAAUUUACAAUAUGCAUCAUUUAUCCACCAAAUCAUUAACUUCAUUAAAAAGUGAUAGACAUCACAAGGGUAAUUUAGACAUUUAACACACAAAAAAAAAAGAGAAAUUAUCUAAGCUUACCAUGUUAUCAAAAUUGCUACAAAAUUUUAAAUUUGUUCAAUUUUCCAAUCUAAGUUUAUGACCUCCAAGAUGUUAAUUGCAGUUUGUAAUUAAUGAGUUCAUAAGGAUAAUUUAGACACUCAAUAUACAAAAUACAAAAUAAAAUAAUGGCUUAAAACAUUAAAACAAAAAACUACUUUUUAUAAUUGAUAUUCAAUAAUACACACAAACUCUAUUUUUUCUUAAUUAAAAAUAUUCUAAUUUAUUUUCUUAAUUUAUCAUCAUAAAUUUACAUUAACAAACUAAAUCCACAAAUUACCCUAAACCAUAAUUCAUAAAUGCCCAAUCAAUCUAAUAGUUUAAUUCGAUUUCAUAAUUAAAAAAGCUAAAGUUAUUAUAUUAGUUAUGGUGCAAAGUCAAAAAUGCCCUUAAAUUCAAGGGUAAAAUAACAUUUUAUUUAAAUUCUAUAAAUUAUUCUAACAAUGUUAACAUUUUGAUCAAAAAUGCCCAUAAAUGCCCAAAAUGUGUGCUACUACUAAAUUGGCCCAAUUAAUGCCCAUCGAAAAGGCCAUCAAUUUUGUCAAAAUUUAAACAAUUAAAGAAACAAUGAUCGCAAACGGAACAUGUGAAUUUUGAAGUUGAAUAAAUCUUGAGAUACAUAC